CAUGGGGUGGUGGGAAUUGGGAUGGGGCCAUUGGCCACGCUUGCAAACUGCAGCUUAGUUUAAGUGCUUAACCAUGCACAACCAAAACUAAGCCAGCAUCCUCCUACCUGCACAAUCGACCCGCGCUGCACCACUCAUUGCCCUGACGCCCAUGCCCGUGUUGCCAUUUGUACAGACUACAGAGCACAGCUAGCUCUACCGAAGCCAGCCAGCCGAGCCGAGCACCUCUGAGCAGUGAGCUCUGACUGAGACUGAGCCAUUGGGGCUGGGGAUUUCUCGAAGCCAUAAAAGAGAGAGCCCCAGAAAGAAGCCUACAAAGUACCACCAGGCCUCCGACCAGCAGCCGCAGCACCACCACUCCAGCGAGGGAAGGGCAGGGCGCAGCGCAGGCGGGGAAGAAGGGGGGUCGAGGAAUCAACCCGACCCAACCCAAACCCCCAAUGGCUUCCCCGCGCUCCCUCGCCCUCUUCCUGCUCUGCAUUCUGGCGCCGGCGCCGCCCGUACCAGCCGCAUUGCUGUUCGGGGGCGGGAAGUCGGCCAAGGCGGCGGGGGGCCUGGACAUGGAGUGGCGGCCGGCCACUGCGACGUGGUACGGCGACGCCGAGGGCGACGGCAGCGACGGUAAGCGCUCUCAUCCCAGCUCCACACCAGCACACCACACCGGUCUUUGGCCUAGCAUUUACUGGGAGCACACGGACACAUUGUAGUACGCCAUUACCAUGCUAGAAAAAUACUCAGGACGAGUAUUGGUUCGCCGGGUUGAUUAUUGAAGGAGCUGGCCGUUGCAGAAUUUUCUUUACCGCGGCUAGAAGGAAAGGUUUUUCUUUGUUCGGGGUAGUAAAAGAAGACGAAUAAAUUCCUCCCGUUGCGACAUUUUUUUUUGGCGGGACCUCUGCGGAUCCCAUGAAUCCCGGAGCGAAUUUCGGUGGGCCCCGCUCCGGGUCCCGGCACACCUGUCAAGCGGCCAGGCUUCGUCGUCUCCGCGUCCGGCUCCGGCGGCAAAGCUCCCAGCAGCUGCAUGCAGUCCCGGCACCGUUGCUGAAACUGAAAUCCUCACGACAUUAAUGCAGCAUUGCUCUCCCUGGCACGGCCAGUCCCCACCGACACUGCCGGUAACCUUGAUUCUACCACAAGUAGAAGAGGUUAAUCCGGCGACGGACCAAGACCAUGAGCUCGCUGUUACUGCUAGCAUUUACGCCGUCCUGCCUGAGCACUGUGCUGGGGGGUACACCAUGCGGUAGAUGGGCCUUCAGUUUUGUCGUCCUGUUUGUUUGACCCGUCUCGUAACGGAAUAGUGCCACACCCGUGAGCCCCGCGACUUGUCCAUCACCAGGCUCUGUUCUUCACGGCAACUUGCACCCUCGAUGCGCUGCACCGGCUGUUCCCUCCUUAAGACAGAGUAUUUUUCUGCAACUGACACUGCGAUUAGCUUAACAAGCAAUUGGCAGCUGCUACUGGCAGUAGUAUUUUGCAUGGACUCUCUUGUGUUUUAUUAUUAGAUCAUAACGGCAGCAACACAACCAUCUGAUUGUUUCAUCAUCUGCAGGCGGCGCGUGCGGGUACGGGACCCUGGUGGACGUGGUGCCGAUGAAGGCGCGGGUGGGGUCGGUGAGCCCCGUGCUGUUCAUGGACGGCGAGGGCUGCGGCGCCUGCUACAAGGUCAAGUGCCUGGACCGCGGCAUCUGCUCGCGCCGGGCCGUGACGGUCAUCGUCACGGACGAGUGCCCCGGCGGCCUCUGCGCGUUCGGCCACACGCACUUCGACCUCAGCGGCGCCGCCUUCAGCAGGAUGGCCGUCGCCGGCGCCGGAGGACGCCUGCGCGACCGCGGCCAGCUGAACGUCGUCUACAGGAGGUGAGCCGCGCGGCGCAGCACUCUUCCCGUCCCCUGUCCUGUUGUUAUAUACUGCUUGCUAUCUGAAUACUUUCGUCAGUUCAGAAUCAACUGCUGCAUUUGCAUAGCACCGAUAGCAGUGGACAGGUAGACUAGAAACAGUGUCUCGUAAACCGUGAUGUCGUGCUGAAAAAUGGCCACCUGACGUCUGAAAACAUCGCUGGACUGGACGCUGGUGCUAUGAUUUCCUCUGUAGGAGUAGUACUAUGAUCCUGAAUCCUGAUGAUGCGCGGUGAAUUUAUAAUUGUUCAGGGGUUAAAUGGGAGGGAAUGCAGCCCAGCUGUCUGUCAGUCUGAGGGUUAAGCAUGCCUGUCAGCCUGCGCCUGACGUAACUCAUUCAGAGUGGCAUCUAAUCAUCUUUGAACAUCUCCUGAUCAAUCUCUUCAGAGAGAAAAGGACUCGUGAUUAAAAUUCAGUUAAUAUCCAGCAGCGAGAUUCCCCGUUUUGUCUUCUUUCAGAAACUGACCGGUGCAGUGUCGUUUGUCUGUGCAUAUACUCCAGGACUGCCUGCAAGUACGGCGGGAAGAACAUAGCAUUCCGUGUGAACGAGGGCUCGACCAGCUUCUGGCUCUCGCUGCUCGUCGAGUUCGAGGACGGCGAAGGCGACAUUGGAUCCAUGCAGAUAAAGCAGGUAACCAACACAACCGAAUCCUCCCAUGCCAUUUCCCUCGUCCGGAUUCAGAGGCCUCUUCACCCUAGCACGCUUCUUGGCCUAGUCUCUUUCUUGCACGGCCCUUUCGCAACAAAGCGAUUGGGAAAAGGAGGCGAUCUCUUGUCCUUAACAACCUUUAUUGCUUGAUCGGGGAAAAAAAAACCUUCAGUGCUAGGGCCAUUCCUCGAGAUGCACCGGACCAAGAGAGGGCCACAGCUCACAGCGGCAUUGCCUUACCGAGCAUCCUGGAGACGCGCGUGCUGCAGUGUUGCUUGCUUUCAGUACUCUCCUCGCUAGCAUUGCCGCUGUUGUUUGGCCUCUACCCAGUCCUUGUAGCUGCAGAUCGACCUGAAGAAGUGAGGCCAAAAGACCUGGCAGUUAAAAAUAUCUUCCUUUGUUUACCCAAUCUAAGGUUACACACAGCAAAAAGGCAGCACCUUAUCUCGAUCAGGGCAAACCAGCCACGCGUGGCCAGCCAUGAAGGCGCGCUAGUGCUUUUCUACUUUCUUGCUUUGUCUACCACUAGAAAGAAAACCCUAGUCAAUGCUUUGCACAAAGACAUACGCAUACACGACGCAUGAUCGUCUUCGCCGAAUGAUUCCCGUUCUGAAUAUGUUGGAAAAGCGGCAUCGCCUGAACCCUAGCCGCCCUGCCCCCAUGAUGCUGUUUCUUCAGCUCGCCUCCCUGCUUAAGACGACGACCAGCAUCAAGACUACAGAGUCUGAUGGCCCCUCAUGCCUGCUUUGCUUUUUGCGCUGCACUAGUGAGUGCUUUCACGGUGGUUGUUAAGUGAUGAGGCCUGACAGCCAUCCUGUGGCCUUGUGGCGAGCUCGUGGGUUGUGGGCUCGUCGUGAGGCCUAGUGGGCUGGGGAAUCCAAAGAUACCAUGGAAUCCCAUGCAACCGUGCUAUUGCUUUCUGUUGCUUUGUAAAGCUUCAGAUGCUGCUGCUGUGCUUUGCCUAGUGGUGGGUUAACACUUAACAGUAACAACUCGAGCUGAAUAAGAAUAAUGCAGGCACACUACAGACAGCUGCAGAGCUGCUGACUGACUGCUCUUCCAUUCACCUUGCUAAUUCGCCAUGCUUUGCGGUUUGGGCCUUGCAGGCCAACUCGGUGGAGUGGCUGGACAUGAAGCACGUGUGGGGGGCCACGUGGUGCCUGGUGCGGGGCCCGCUCGUGGGGCCCUUCUCCGUGAGGCUGACCACGCUGUCCGCCAAGAAGACGCUCACGGCCCGGGACGUCAUCCCCAGGAACUGGGCGCCCAAGGCCACCUACACCUCGCGCCUCAACUUCGAGCCGUCCCUCUAGAAAAGAGGAGCCGCCGCCGGUCGGUGGGAGCGCGGCACCCCGAGGCCCACGUUUUAUCGGCCCCGGAUACUGCCAUGUGGUCCCGCAAAGGCUGGUGGCCCACUUGGCAGGCAGCUAGGCAGGAACCCUGCCUAUUCCUAUUGGAUGGAUCGGCAGACUGUUUUUUCUGUAUUCAGGCAGCUGCUUGGCCUGAUCGUAUUAUAGCUAGCUAGUGUAUGCUGAUGCAUCAGACGUGUGUGGUGCUAGUAGUUUUGGUCGUGACUUGUGAGCAGAAUUCAGGAGCUGGGCCAGGUACCAAGCAGCCGCCGUCUCCAAAGGAGAGAGAGCGUUCGCUGCUUGCUGCUCGGGUUCGGUCUGUGGAGGCCAGGAAUCCGAUGCGGAAGCUGGUCGGACUCGGACCGUGAGGGUUUUGGAUCCCUCGUGGGUCGUUUCGUGGCGUCCUGUACUCCUGUUUGCUCGUGUCGUGUGCGCGCGCGCGCUUGUGCUUGUUCUGGUGUUUCUGUUUUGUGUGUUUCCCUGAUUGAAACGCAGGGUUCGUGACAGUGUCAGAAUCUUAUCUGUCCGCAAUGAGAAAUGUGUGUGGCGCACAGAACGACCUUGUUCUUUCCAUGUGAAUGCCACAAUGUUGGCUUGUCCAUUCUCUUGCUGCCAUGUCAGUCAAAGACAGUUCUCGUAGUCAAAGACAAUGCAUGCGUGAAGAUGGAAAGAGAUUUCCACUGGUAAUGCUGGCAGUGGCAGUGAUGAUGGGCGGUGUGCACCUGCUCAAGGUCAGGAACUCAGUACAACGGUAUGACCAACGGCAACUCCGUUUCACAAGGGGGGCGAGGAUUAGGGUUGCCGGUGGCAAUAACAAGGUAAGGUCGGCUCUGUUCCUCUUAAAAGAAAACUUGUUAGGGUCCCAAGACGAGCUAUGUUCAACAUUUAUGUGAAGUCCAGAUGUAAUGUCAAUCUUUAAGCAUGUGUUGCAGUUUCUAAAAUAAUCGCGCAUGAUGCCAUUCUGAAAAUCACCAUAACUGGUUAACAAAAUAGAAGGACAGCGAUGUUUCGAGACUCAAAGUAAAUUUACUAAUAUACAUUCGUUGAUUUUAUGGGUCGUAUGGCUAGGUCAGUUUGGCAAAAUUAAUGGUAAUGCAAGGAAAAAAGCUCUCUCACCCGCAAGUGUUUGGGCGGCCUUCAACACUCCAUUUCUCAUCCUUUGAUAUUGUCUCCAGCUCCGGCACAUGGAGGUUAGAAAUCAAGCCAAAUAAGUUGAUAGAAAAAGGCCAUGUGUUGGGGCGCGCUAGUGUGCUUCUUCUUGAAGUCUUUUUUUUUUUUUGAAACGACUUCUUCUUGAAGUCUUGGUGAAAGUAGUAACGGAAAAUCUGACUGACCAGAAAUUGUAAAUGUGCUCUGUUUCUAGCCAUAUAUAAGAUUUCUUAAAAAAUUUCUUUGAGCGCGUGUUGCAAAUUGCAAUAAGCAUGAAAUAGUUAAGUCGGAAAAAAUGUAAGUUCCUCGACUAGCGAGAACAGUUUAAAAAUGAUAUAUUUUCCUACCCGUUUUUAUCCCAGUUCAGUAGUGCGGUCCACACAAGGCCCGUGAUUUGUACGAGUUUUCCUUUCUUCUUCCUAGGCCUCACAUGGGCCAUGACCCACGGAUCCGGGCCAACACCACCUGGGCUCAGGCCCAAAGCCCCAAACCACCCUCCUGAGCCACGGUCAUCGCUGCCCAUGACAUGCCGACCCCACAUUGCCAGCUUGACAUCACCCACGACCCGCGUCACGUUCUCUUCCAGCCAGGGCACGUUCAUGGUCGUCGUCACCCCCCGGAUUCCCUGAAAUAGACAAAUCUCCCACCCGCUCCGCCGCUGCACGGCUCCACCCAUAGCCGGGAGGAGUGGGAGAUACUUUCGUCAAGGAUAGCACACAGGAUUCGCGCCGCCCCUGAGCCGCCCGUGGGAAAAGGAGGCGACGAAUCUACCCACCCCGCAUUCGGGCUCGGGCGCCACCCCGUGCCAUUGCCGCUGCGUCCGCGAGCCGCCGCCCGUUCGCGGGGCCAGAGGGAGGGAGGGAGCAAUGGGCGCGGGGAUGGAGGCGGACGAAGGGGUGAUGGCGACGGACUUCUUCUGGUCGUACACGGACGAGCCGCACGCGUCGCGCCGCCGGGAGAUCCUGGCCAAGUACCCGCAGAUCAAGGAGCUCUUCGGCCCGGAUCCGUGGGCCUUCCUCAAGGUGCCGUGAUCUGCCUCUUUUUUCCCUGCUCUGUGCGUCUGUUCUCUCCUCCUUGUGUGCUGCAAUGGGGAAUUGGGGAUUGAGCUUGCCGGAAAGUAUAAUUCAUAUUGUUUUUUUUUUCAACGAUGCUUGGCGUUUGCGGUGAAGUGUAAGUUGGGUAGCCUUAAAGCCGAGAUCUCUAAUUGCCGUGUCUGAAUUAAGAAUCAGUAUACGGUUCUUUACUGUUUCAGUAGGGGGAUUAGUUUGGCGGUGUUCAGCUUCUAGUGCUUACGUUACUAGAGUUAUUCUCAGGAAUCUCAACUAUGACAAAGUGAUUGCAGUUAUACCUUUUAAAGGAAAGAUUGCAGCCAUACUUGUUUUGAUUUUCCCAUUUUCUUUUGUUAAUUGCUUGUUUCUGUAACAGUUAACUUGUUACCCUUGUCUUCAACCUGAAAAUUUGAUGCGCUUGGAAACUGUUAAGCUUGGGAUUUAUCGUGCAAAACGGAAUAACUAGUAGUAAUUAAGCAAUGCAUUUAAAGCAGGAGCUUCUUCCAUUAAGCUGUCUUAUCCAGCCAUAACGAGCCUAAUAGAAUUUGUUUAAGUGCCAUAAGGUGGUCUGACAGUUCUGCUCAACCUUUCUUGUUGGUCCUGGAUCAGUUCCACACUUCCACCAGUAACUUUCAAGCCUGAAAUGGUAGUUGCUUCUUCCGGUUGGCUACGUGCACUUCCUUUCAAGGCAUGGAAUAAGCCUAUGCUGUUAGUUAAAGAUUAUGACAAUAAUGACAUCAGGACCAACUAACAAAUGAUAAGACUCAUUGUGUCAAGCUCCUCCUUUGACUCUAACCUCUGCUAUAAUUUCACACUUUCACUCCAGUUGCCUCUUCCUUUUUACUUAUUUGAUUUGAAUAUGGGUGCCACGAAGGAAAUUAGCCCUAACUACUUUUUCCUUAAAGGAUAAGCCCCCAAUCACUUUGCCCAUCGAUAUAUCUGGCUGCUAAGCCUGCUGCAUGUUCUGUUUUGCAUGACCAAUUUGUGAUGGUAACUUUUAAGCCAACCCUAAGAUGCAAACAUAUCUUGGUGGUGUCUCAUAGUGAGACUGACAACAACAAUAGGAAGCAUUUGAGAAAAGUAUAUUUCUUUUUUUUCCUGUACAGAAGGUCAUUUGUGAGAAAUACAAAUCCACUCAGACAUCUUUGCUACUACUUGAACAUGAUAGAAUUCUCAGAUGAUCUAUAUCUAUAGAUUUCAAUACAAUCUGAAUUUAUAAGCACAGACACGAACUCACUGAAGUUACAGUGCCCUGCACCAUUGCUCUGCAGCUGUUUGAAACAGAGUAUCCCUGUUCUCUCUCCUUGCUAGUAAGAAAUUUCGAAUUCAUACGCAAAACUGGUAUUCAUAUACCCCUUUCACCAACAGCUGUUGUGCUGGCCAUUGAACUCUGGCAACGGAAACUAGCAACUUGAAACAGCCAGUUUCGUGACCCUUGUUUGAAAAAUCAGGGGCCUUGUCAUCCUCUCCAUAAGUUGUAUUAGCUUGGUGCCUUGGUUUGUUUUGUUGUGCUGUAAGUUGUUCGUGCAUACAUGGAUGACACACUAUGGUACCAACUGUCAAUGGAAUUUCCAGGGAAUAUGAAUAUAGAAACUAGAAACUUUAUCAUUCGAUUUCAUCAGCAAGUUAUUACUGCAAAUUGUAGACCCUUUUUCAUUGAGUUUUAUUAGUACUGUUUUCUGACGGCAAUGCCAACUUUAUCUGCAGAUUGCUGUGGUUGUUUCGCUUCAGCUGUGGACUGCUACAUUCCUCCGAGAUGCCAGCUGGUUGAAGCUCCUGAUAGUCGCCUACUUCUUCGGCUCCUUCCUGAACCACAACUUGUUCCUUGCUAUCCAUGAGCUGAGCCACAACCUCGCCUUCACAACCCCAUCCCUGAAUCGCUGGCUAGGUAUCUUUGCAAACCUCCCCAUCAGUGUCCCCAUGUCCAUAACAUUCCAAAAGUACCACCUGGAGCACCACCGGUUCCAAGGCGUGGACGGCAUCGACAUGGACAUUCCCAGCCAGGCAGAGGCGCACGCCGUGAAGAACGCCAUCAGCAAGUCCGUGUGGGUGGUGCUCCAGCUCUUCUUCUACGCGCUGAGGCCGCUCUUCCUGAAGCCGAAGCCCCCGGGCCUGUGGGAGUUCACCAACCUCGCCAUCCAGGUCGCGCUGGACGCCGGCCUGGUCUACCUCCACGGCUGGAGGUCGCUGGCCUACCUGAUCCUCUCGACGUUCGUCGGCGGCGGGAUGCACCCCAUGGCGGGCCACUUCAUCUCGGAACACUACGUGUUCAGCCCCGACCAGGAGACCUACUCGUACUACGGCCCCCUGAACCUGAUGACCUGGCACGUGGGGUACCACAACGAGCACCACGACUUCCCGAGGAUCCCCGGCGCCAGGCUGCACAAGGUGAAGGAGAUUGCGCCGGAGUACUACGAGAGCCUGAGGUCGUACAGGUCAUGGAGCCAGGUGAUCUACAUGUACAUCAUGGACCGGACGGUGGGGCCGUUCAGCCGGAUGAAAAGGAAGGCGCCGAAGAAAGAGUCGUAGUUGAUGGACCUCCUGCCUUCGGGUGGAUAUUUUUGUCGUGUAUGAACUCUAGCAGAGAUGUUUCUUUUGGUGUAAACCCGACGAUCCGUUGGAACUGUGUGCUAUCACAAGUUUUGCGAGUAAUUUUUACACGUUCCAGAGGUAUACUCCAGCGUGUCACUUGAUGUGUGCUGAAUUAGAAGAUGACCACGGUUCUUUAAAACCUGAUCCAUCGUGCGCUCCUUUUCCCCUCGCCCGCUCCGUGAGUUGCGAUCCUGCGGCAGCCUGCUUGCUGAUCGCGGCUGCUGGCAGUGCAACCAACGUGGAGCUUAACUCGUAUCCUUGCAAGCACGCGAGUGCAGCCAAUCCUGAGGGCCCAAGGGUACUGUUAUUGGGUGCCCACGUUCUGACGGUGGUGAUGAAGAGUUCAGAAAUACAGUUUAUACAGCUUACCAUCGAUCCUUCCCUUUAAACAUUGUUUGCAGCUAGUUUUUAAAAUACCACUUGAAUUACACGGCAACGAUGUUAGCAGUGCAGAUGUUUGAAUAUACAACAUAAAUGUUCCAGUAUUCAGCUUGAAAGUGCCUCAUGGAUCUUGACUCCACUAGCUGUAUGGCACAAUGAGGAAAAGCGAACAGAACGCAGCAUUCGCUCUGAAUGCUGAAAGCCUCAGCAAAGCUGCACUUUUGUUCGUCUCCUUCCUGAUCCUACCCAUUCCAACUGGAGGAUAGAUCAUCGAUCCCUGGAAAGGCUACUCCGAUCGUCUCGCGCUCAAGGAUGUUGAAAAGAUGGAGGGACUGUGCACCGGCACCACCACCACCAUCUGAGGGGCGCAUCAUUGGCUUCUUCAGAAUCCAUGUUUGUCCUCUACGACCUCUGCCCGUGUUUGAUGGAAUUGAAGCCCGAAAUUGCGCUUAAUCAAGGCCUCUUGACUUGGAAGAAGCACAGGAACAAACAUCUUCUUCCCAAUUCCCGUGGUUGUACAUUGUCGUCGUCUUCGUCUUGCCCAUGGUGCCGGAGCCGAUUUGAAAGCAGCGGUUCGGUGCUGGAGGAAGCGGCGUCCUACGAUUCCGGAGCCGGAGCCGCGGCUCAGUGCGCCCUGUUGAUGGGGGCGGCGGCGCGGGAAGCAUCACGCUUGACGCAACCCGCCGGUGGCCGCGCGGGCUCGUCGGCCCGGCCGGCCGCCGGCCCGGAGAUCAUGCAAAGAACCCCCGAUUUGGAUCUGGUAUUUACAAUACCCCCUGAUUUGGAUCGCGAUUGCUAAUCGCGAUCCGAUAUUACAAAUAAACUCCUAGUUUGGGGAUCGCGAUUCUUAAUUGCGAUCCGAUAUUUUUCAUUUAGACCCUUAACUAUUUACAGAUAUACCCCUCAUUUAGGUCGACGCCUUUCUUUCUCCUCUCUUGUCGGCCAUCGCCGCCGCCCGCCCCGCAUUCCGUCCAGUGGGAGGACCAGGCCCGACCUAUCCAUGCCGUUGUCUUUCCCCUCCUCAAACCCUAGAAUCUGGUAUCCCCUCCGUCCCCGCACCAAAGAGAGGAAGCGCGCGUGCGAUUCGCUGGGACCAGGUAGUGCGCCUCGCCUCCGACGCUGUCGUGCCCGCGACGUCCGGCUGCGGCUGCUCGCCUGCUCGGGAUGGUGGAGUGCUUUGGCACUGCAGCAGGCUAGCAGUGUUGUUAGAGUUGUGCUUCUGCACCAUCUUAAUUCGCUUUACUUGCAGACAUAUGUGCUGCCCAAAGUUUCUGCAAGCAAUCUUUUUUGCUUUCAGUGCUGAAUGCUGCUUUGUUUGAGCUUAUCAAAUGACUGCACACAUGACUCGUGAAAGAAAAUGGCUGCACGUACCCACCAUCUCUCCAGUCUUUGAUCUCCAAUAGUCUUUCGCUGAGGUGCUAAUUUCCUUGUUAAAGCUUUGGCUGAAGUGUCAGGAUUCCAUAUUUGAAUACACGAUGUAAAGAGUCAUCGUUAGGCUGGAUGCAGGUACAGGAAAACAUGCUGCGGAGAUUUUCAUCAAUUGGAUUGGACGCAAGCCCAGUUGCAGACUUGCAGGAUUGCAAAAGGAACUGCCCGAAAUACGCGGUUCCAAAUCGUAUCAUCGUUGUUUCUCCUUAUACACUCUACUGCCCUGGCUGUCAGCCUGCCAUACAGGGUUCGCGGCGUUCACAUCUUUCGCAGAUUUCGUUGCCUCGAGCCAAAAACUUGCCAUUUCUGGCGCUCAGUCCUGCCAAACCAGCGUGGCCAAAGCCGUGCCACGGUUUACCUUCAAAAACAAAAAAAAAAAGAGCCACGGGCGCACAGGACAGGCGCACGACGCAGCGGUCAUGCCGUUGCGCCGGCCCACGACGCCGAGAGCCCCCAGACACGGACGACACGCGAGCGCUCCAGGUGCUCGGCGAUCGCGUUCGCGUUUGAGAGCAACACCCAUGUUCUGGUGGUGGUUUCGUGCCGAACCAGCAGCCCCGACCCCGGGCACGUGCAAGCGGGCGAGCACGAGCGUCGAGCGGUCAAAACGGCGCAACAACUUGUGAGAUCAGAAGCACGAGUCCACGGGAACCCACCACCGGCACCUCGGAAACUCGAGGGUUCCCAUCAAAAAAGGAAACUCGAGGGUUCUUGAUACCUCCCUCCUUUUGCCAGUUUGUUCCUUGGAGAGUGGAUUCGUUACCAGAAAGACUAAAACCUGACCUAACCAUGCGUAAGUUCGACUCACGAUCCCUACCGAGGUUUUUCCCCAGUCUCUCCUGCACGUGUGCACUGCGGUCACAACGGUCAGAGUGAUGUACCCGUCAUGUGCAAAAUCUAGUGAUUUCGGAUACCUCUGAGCCGCGUGAAGUUUCUAGGUAUAGAUUGCAGAUCUUGCUCGUGUGUAGGUACCCGAGUAUGGUGGUGUGAGUUAGUGCGUGAGUUGAGAUACCACAGCUGCUACGUUGAGGCAUAAAAAAAAAAGAAGAAGCAUCAGAUUUUCAUCAAUUCAAAAAACAAAAGAUGCCUCAGCAGCGGACGUCUCUGCCUUUUUCCGUCGCGCAGGAACCUUUUCCAUCUCCUAACCGAACUCCGAAAGAACAGUUGGCAGUUUGGCACGGACUGGCAAAUGGACCCUCUAAUAAACUCCAGCCACGCGCCGGACCCACAUGUCAGCCAGGAUUAGCACCUCAUUAGAAGCGGUUUCCUACCUAUGAUAAUCUAGUACAAGGAAAGAGAUACUCCAUAUAUGCGCUCUGAUUCAAAACGUCAACCGCCGCUCUUGACCGUUCCUUGAACGCCGACGCGGCCGCACAGCUCAUCUCCAAAGCUUUACAGAUCGGCUCCGAGCUCGCGUCCACACCACACCGCCCAGCGGCUACUUUUAUAUCCUCCUCUCCUCCCCCUCCACACGCCUUCGCGACAAGUCGGCAACCGCCGCCUCUCAUUUUUCCUCCUCGCCUCUCCUCGUCUUCCUCCACGAGACGCAGCCAGCGGCGGCGGGUUCCUCCCUCCCGAUCGAGGAGCGAGGGGAACGGACGAAGGAGAUGGGCGGGUUCGACCAGCAGGUGAAGGAGCGGACCAAGGACCUGAAGCACCUCAAGGAGAAGGCGAUGAGGGGCAUCAAGGUGGCCGGCGAGUCCUGCAAGAAGGCGUGGAGCAAGGUCAGGAGCAGCAUCAAGCGCUAGGCGGUUGAGUUCGCUCGGAUUUCGACUGUAGCAGCGUGCUAUUCUGAGUUUUGGUUGUGAUUUUGCUAUUAUUGGAUCUAUUUAUUUUAGCAACUUUAUGUGAAAAAUGAAAAAUCGUAUGUGUGUGUAUGGCUCGUAUCUAUCUUUGCUCGUCCCUUGCGUAUGAUCUUCUCCGUGCUCUUCUUCCGGUGGCAAACUUUGCAGUUUGCGAGAGAUGAUAGAUCUGUUGCCGCGAAGUUCGCAGAGAGUCUCAACGUCUUUUCUUGAAAAAAGAAGAGGAGGAGGCAUAGCCACGUAGCUGUCGAUGGUCCGCUGCACCUGAUCAUCGUUGAUUGAAGCAAUUACCACCGGUGUUAGUCGUUAGCCUGCUUCUUAACCUGCAGGGCUUAAAACGAACCGAACUAAGAUCUGCCACGACCCGCGGCUGCUCCAAAUCAUGUAGAGGUAUUUCUCCCUUCGCCUUAACAAGGCGCGUGGUUGAAAAUGCCCCCAAACAAGGGGCAAUCAAACCAAUCCAGUUAGCCUAUUGUAGAAAGCCUUUUAGAGUGGUACAGCACUAAAGAAAUUCUCUUUCGGCCAUUGAGUAAGAGCAAGUAUUCAACAGCUUUACAGGAAACGAAUCGGUUGCAUCAGUAUUCAUUUUCAUUAUUCAAGAAAGAAAAUGGCAGUCCAGACGGAUCCUAAUUCAUGCUGACAGCUGGUGCCGUUCGUUCACGUAGGCUGCUCGUGUAGAACGACGAAGCUCGAGCUGACCGGACAGCCGGGUCUAAGAAUAAUAAUGCAACACGGGAGCACACAGCAUGUGAAGGACCAAGGACGACGAGGGUAGCUGCAACAGCAUGUGAAGCAACCUAUAACAAACACGAAAAACCCUGCACACAAGGGUAGACCAUGUGAAAACUGGCAGUAUCUGGAAUUCAAAAUUCUGCUGAUACAAGUACAGCAAUCGACACGCGAACUACAUAAAAAAAACUUGGGUAAGAAACAGCAGUUUAAUAUGCUAUUACUAGGUAUGCUCGUCCUACAGGUCCACAAGGAAUAACUGCAGGGAAUUAGGCUCUCCGGGCCGACUACUGCAAAGGGGCAUCAGGAUCCAAUCUUUUUUGGAUUGCAGCUGCAGCCUGAUAAUGAAAAAGAUUUGCUUAAGUUAUAGGAGUAUAUGUUAACCCAUUAUAUCAGGCUUGUAAGUUGAGAAAGAAAGAGCGUACCUGAAAAUUGCCCAACCUGUAUUGAUAGUUCAUUUCCUCGCGUAGACGGGCCUGCUCCUUCAUAUCUUGAGCCUAAGAGCAGGUAAAACACACAAGAUAAGCACAGCUUAAUUCGCCUUCAGUUACUAUACCAUAAUCCUACUGUAAUAUUUCCACAACAACACUCUGCUAGGUAUAUUAACGGAAAAACCUAGAGAUAGAUAAACAACACAUCAUUUUACUACAGCAUGUAUUAGUAUUAUAACACAUAGAUUGAAUAAGAAAAGCAAAUAAAUGUGUGCCGCGUUGGAAUCGAGUAUUCAAACAAUAAGGUCAAAAGCAAUAAUUGUCGCUAAAUUUGUUUCAGGAAAGGAAUUGGCAUAUCUAGGUCCUAGGAGACUAUGAUACAAUGAAAUAUCCUAAAAGGUAGUAAAAUUGUACACAAUGGACUGGGAUGCCUGUGCAAUCAAACUUGGCUGAUCAGACACAAGCAGUAGAUGUCAAUUACAAAGGUCUUCAUAUACUAAUUCAGAGAAAGAGCUGUUAUGUGCAGACAAGUUAUUUGUUCGCUUCGGUCACAUAGUGCAUUCUCUAUCCAUUGCAUAUCACUUCCCAUUAUAAAUAGUUAUUCUUUUUUGGGCGAAAUAACACAUGACAUUAUAAUAGCUGUUCCUAAGCCAUAUCCAUUUAAUGCUGGAGCAUGAUCUUAAACUAGUAGCAAAACCCUUCACGAUCGUUAUAGUAUUUAAUUGACAUUUCAAAGAUGAAUCAAGGCUGACAAAAGAAACACAAAAUUGAUCUAACCAGUCCAGCUUGCAUGGAGCGUUUUAAAGCUUCCACUUCUUCCUCCUUUCGUCUCUCACGUUCCUUCAACAGUUCUAAUCUGCAUGAUUUUUUUAAAAAGAAGUUAAAAAGGAACUACUCAACAUAUAAUAGACUCCAAAUCCAAUUAAAAUACAAGGGUUUCAUAAUAUUCCCUUCAUUGAACAUGCAGGAAUGUGAAAAGAUAAAAGCUCACAGACUUAUAAUCUGUGUUCCAUGUUUUAAAAAGAAGUAUAAGGAUAACAUUAUAGAAAUAAACAACAAAACAAAUUCAUGUUAGCGUACCGCCGUUGUUCCUCAUCAUUAAAUACUGUACGUUCUGUCACUAAGGUCUUCAAACCCUUCUUUUGCUCUUUCUCCAUCGCUUUGCGAUGAUAAGCAUCUAAAUUAUAAUAUCUGAAAGAUAACAUAAAGAGAUAAAUGAUAAAACCCUAUUUUGAACCUGUCAUCUAAUUCAAAGUUAUACCCAGAAGACGGAAGCCAUUACUUUUUCGAUGGGAAAGUGGCUGUAUUGUGAUCCUCCAUGAAUCUGAGAUACAAACACCAUAUGUUAAACAUCGUUGGAAAAUCAAGGACACGGUAGGAAAUACUUUUCAUGGUUCAGAGGGCCGUGUAAUUAUUCAAGCAACUUCAUAGCAGUAGAAUAACUUACUCCUUAAACAUUUGCUUCUCUUCCCAGUUUGACAAAGCUUCCAAAUUAACCUGGGGCCACAUUAACAAGAAAACUAAAUUGAACAACAGGAUUACUUUGGUCUUAAAUUUUAACAUAGACAUCCAUGCAUGCCUCACUGUGUAUCUACAUGUAUGGAAUGGCAGAAAAGAAAUAUACCUGCUUGACUUCUGAUAACCAUGCAGUGAACUCUGGUCGCUUGCUCCUACAAAAUAUGUUGCACACUUAAUUUAUAGAAAUGUGGUAGAAAUAAUUUGGUACUUCGGAUAUAAUUAUUUAGUGUGAUAGUGUCUAAGUUCAUCUCAUUUUGUCAUAGAUACGACAUGUACUCAGUACUCAGUAGUAGUAUAGAACUGUUUGUACCUAAAUUGGAUAUGUGAAUGCAUAAAAUAUUUCUCAAAUUUUCUACUUGCAUCAUUCCUAUGAAUUUUGAGACGUGAACUAAAAUCUGCUUGAAAGCUAGUAGAAUAGCAGCUCUAUAAACUCUAAAGAAUAAAGAUACUAACGAGCAUUCCUGUAACAUAACUACUCAUCUUCACUUUCAGUAAGCCUACGAAUUAGAGACAACAUUUGCAUAUUUCAGAUUGAGCUAUACAGUGCCAGUGUGCCACACAAACAAAGUACAGCUGAAGAAUUCGAUGUAAAUUCAUAGCUUGACAUGCCAAACCCUGAACUUUCGAAUUAAGCCACUCACCACAUAUCGACCUCACGGAUGAUACCAUACUUCCCCCACGAGUUGGUCACGGCGCCCUUCUUCCCCAAAUCCUUCUUCUCCUCCUUCCUCCUCCUCCUCCUCUUCUUCUUCUCCUCCUUCCUCCUCCUCUCCCUCUCCUUUUCCUUCUCCUUCCUCUUCCGCCUCUCCUUCUCCUUCCUCCUCCGCCUCCUCUCCUCCUCCUCCUCCCUCUCCUUCCUCCUCUUCCGCCGCCGCCUCCGUCUCUCCUCCUCCGAAUCCAACUCCGACCCGCUCUCUGACUCCGCGCUGGACCCCGAGUACGACGACUCGGACUCGGACUCCGACGACGAGCCCGAGCUCUCGCUGCGGCUCCGGCGCCGCCGCCGCCGCUCCUUCUCCUUCCUUCGCCGCUUCCGCCGCUCGCUAGAGUCCUCACCGGAGCUCUCGCUUCCCUCCUCCUCCUCUUCCCGCCGCUUCGACUUCCCGCGGUGGCUCCGGUCCCGGCUUCCCUUCGAGUGCCCCUCCCUAUCGGCUUCUACCGACUUGCUGCCGCUGCGCGCCUCCUCCUCCUCCUCCCCUUCGCCUCGAACAUCACGGGGCGAGCCGUUCUGGUCCUUCGCCAUGGAGUCGCCUGACUAGGGUUUCGCGCCGCGGAGGCGAGAAGGGAGGUGGCGAGGGCGAGACAGAUCGGCUCGCGAGAGAGCCGCGAGUGGUGGCGGCCUGGGACUGGGCGUGAGAGAGAGGACGAAGUGGCUUGGUUGCCGCCUUGGGAGAGCCUUGGGGGCGUUCGUCUAUUUUCCCUGGACCUCACUGACAGGUGGGUCCAGUUUUGUCAAACAGUGGUGGCCCCAUAUUCGUUCUCUGUUGCCUCUGUACACGUCUCCCACCUUCGCGACCCGUCUCCCUCUCGCGCUCGCGCCCACCUCGCCGCCCGAUCUGACGCGCCGGCGCGGCGCCGCCCGCCGCCGAUCCAGCGCGACGCGGUUGGCGCUUCCUGCCUCCCCCUGCGCUUGUGGCUAAUAAGCGCGCCAACGGCGCAUCUCGUAGGCUUACGAGCGCCUCUGGAUCUGACCCGAGGAGGCGGCGGCUGCUGCUGCUACUGCCUCGGCGAUGUCGAGGGUUCGGGACAGGACGGAGGACUUCAAAGAGGCCGUACGCGUCGCCGCGCUCUCCCAUGGCUACACGGAGGUAAGCUUCACCCCAGCCUCACCACCCCCUUCCCCUCAGGAAGCCGAACGGUCCCCAAUUCGUCACGCUCCGUUGUGUUGCUGUGCAGGCCCAGCUUGCCGCGCUCAUGUCGUCUUUCAUCAUCCGGAAGCCGUCCCCCAAGUCGCCAUUCACCAAUGCCGCGAUCAAGACGGUAGGAGUCUGCGGUGAAUGUGUUCCUGUGUUGCGUGUGGGGAGACAGGUUGCUAGAGUGAUUGAUGAUGGGUUGUGUUGAAUUGUAGCUUGAGAGUAUCAGGGAACUUGAGAGGUUCAUAGUGAAGCACAGGAGGGACUAUGUGGACCUGCAUCGCACUACAGAGCGAGAGAGGGACAACAUCGAGCAUGAAGUAAGUGUUGCACACUUUCACACUGUGUGUUGUUCGUUUUGAUUUGCUAUUUCUUUUCUGAUGGUUAUGCAUGUAAGAAAUCUUAAAUGUGUGUGUACUCUGCAACCAAUAUAUGCUUAAUGUCCAUGAGUGAUUUCCUGCGCCCAUAAAAAGACUUUAGUUAGUGGGUUGUUUGACAUUACAAGAGAUACAUGUUGCUGUACUACGUAGUGUUCCUUUUUGUAAGAUAUACUUGCUUGCCAAGUAUUAUUUUCCUACCUGUACAAUCUAGUCUCGGAUUACAGUUAUUGAAGACCGUAGCCCUGAAACAAUGUUGAAGAACAUGCAUAUGCACAAUGACUUAUCCUCUUUGGCGCUUCACAUUCAGUUUGGGUAGCUUGUGCAUCUUUCUCUUCAUUCUGCUAAUCUAUGUUUGGAUAUAGUGAUGAGGCAUUCCUCGAGUAUGCACCAUGCUGACAACUUAUAUUCAUUCUGGUACACAGUGUAUUGAUUCAUGUAAUCUUAUGCUGUUGCUUUCUGUUCUCAAUUUAGUAGCUAUGUCUAAUUACUCAAUGUAUAUUAGGUUGGUGUGUUUGUAAAAGCAUGCAAGGAACAGAUUGAUAUCCUAAAGAACAGGAUCCAUGAAGACGAGAAGAGUGGAAGUGUGAAGACAUGGCUUGGCACUAGGGAUGAGAGUUCCCGGUUGGACUUGAUAGCUCAUCAGCACGGUGUGGUAUGAUUAUUUUCUUUGCCGUUGAUGUUAUAAGUUUUGAAAGCUCUGCUGGGUUAAUUUGUUUUUUGAGGAAGUAUACAAUAAAAAAAUAGGUAGCAGAAGAAUAUAUUUUUGGGUAGCUUACUGGUCUGAAUGUGUACCAUUCAGAGGAUCAGACCAAGUAAUUUCUUAGGUAUUACUUGCUAUAUUGCUAUGCUUAUGAUGACCAAAAAUUUCCUUUCAUUGGAGAGGAUUGAUUGUUUGAACAUUUCUUUUCGAAAUAUUUAAGUUGGGUAUAUGCUCUACUAGUUGGUAGCAGGCUAUCAUACCUCCAUUGGUUGAUAGCAUUUGGUAGAACGAUAGAUUAUGCUGUGUAAUUUUUAGAGGACAGAUUGCCCAGUCGCAUCAAGUGAAUUUGAAUAACAUCUAGUUUUCUUGUUCAGUGCUGCAUCAAGUGCAUUAUUCAGGCAAACACAUGUAUGUGUUUUUUUCUUUAUUGUUUUUUUAUUUUUUCUCUAUAUUCAUACUGUAAGUAGCACUUAAACAUCAGUUUUAGGGUUCUUAUGUCCAUUCCAGCUAGAGUGAGCUAUUUGUUUUGUGUACAAUGUUAACAGGUUUUAAUUUUGAGUGAGCGUCUCCACUCGGUAACUGCACAGUUUGAUCGGCUUCGGUCCAUGCGUUUUCAAGAUGCUAUUAAUAGAGCAAUGCCAAGGAAGAAGAUUCAGAAGAAACCAGAAAUCAAACCUGCUAAACCAUCCAAGUCCAAUCUUGUUCUAAAAUCUGAUGUGUCAAAUAUUGGAGAUCAGGAAGUAUCUACUGCACCCAUAAGAGUUCAAGAACAACUACUGGAUGAUGAAACAAGAGCUCUCCAGGUAAUAUAUAGAUGGUAUACAAAUUAUGCGUUAGUGAAAAACUUGGCUAUUUUACAUCCUGAAACUCUUCUCAGGUGGAGUUGACAAGUCUUCUUGAUGCUGUCCAAGAAACGGAGACAAAGAUGAUGGAAAUGUCAGCACUUAAUCAUCUUAUGUCAACGCAUGUUCUACAACAAGCUCAACAGAUUCAAUAUUUAUAUGACCAGGUAUACGAUUCAUCUAAGCUUGCUUUUUUGUACUACCAGUUUAUAUGUAGUACAUGCUGUAUCUUGUUUUCCAUAUGUGAAAAUAAACAUAUAGAUUGUCAGAAUCUACCCAAGAUGGAUAAUGGGCACAUGAAGCAAGACCGCUAAAGAACUUCGUAAAGUCUAGAAUUAAAUCAGUGUCUCCAUCCGCUGGACUAUUAAGGAUCUGUAGAGUUUGUGUUCCCUUGUUUAGAGUACCAUUCCUAGGUAUUUAGCUGUAAGAUAUAUAUACUUGUUGACUGGUCAACUGUUAAGUAUAACUUAAUGGGACUGUAGUUUGUGUGUGUCCAUAGGGUCAGAUUUUUCCUUUACUGAAAGAACACAUAAUUCGGAUAGGCACUAAUGAAACCUCAUGAACAUCUUUUGCAUUAUCUCAGGCUGUUGAAGCUACGAAUAACGUGGAGCGUGGGAACAAGGAGCUAUCCCAGGCGAUUCAGCGGAACAGCAGCAGUAGAACAUUUCUCCUCCUCUUUUUCUUUGUUCUCACUUUCUCCGUUCUUUUUCUUGACUGGUAUAACAAUUGAAUUAGCACAUGAAGACAUUGUAAUUAUUUUGUUUAUUCGAAAUGAUCAAAUUACCAAAACCACAUGUCUCUCUAAAGUCUAAAAUGUGACCUUUUAGGCACUCUGUAUUACUUCCCAGCCGUUUUGUUCACUGCGCUCUCUAUCUGAAUAUGCUGGGAUUAUGUUUUAUUUUAAGUAUGCACAUGUACUAAAGAUGCAGUGGCACUGUGCUAUACUGCUAUGUCUGUUUAAAUUCCGUCGUAUACAUGAACGAGCAAGAUGCCGUUCGGAGCUUUCAAUCACUUGUAGAGAUGAUAGACAAGGUCCCACGUCUGUCUGCAGACUGUAUGAGCAUAACCUGGUCAUCCAUUUCAUGCUAAUCAGACCAUUAUCAGAGUCUCAACAUCUUGGGUGUGCAGUGUACCUUAAGUAAUCAAGUGAUACGUCUCCUUCACUCUUCCAGUUAGCUUUGAAGCAAACAAUAGUUGCUUCCAUCUGCCUCGGAUGCAUGAAUCACGUACAGAACAAAAACUGCAUCUGAUUGUGAAAUUGCAAUCUGCAUAUCAAGAUGCAUUUUGGAAUAGGGAGUACAGUGGACACGGGAUAGACAUUGGUAGCCAAACAUCAUUUUCGAUUUAUAUACAAAUCCAAUUGCCCUUGGCAGUGACACCAACCAAUGAACCUAACAAGCCGAUGGUGACAGGCCGGCCAGGCAAGCAAGAAAAAGGCAACAGCUCCUGACAUCAAGACGAGAAGUAUGAAAUCUGCAUUUCACCUCCAUGUCUCAUCAUAAUACAACUCUAUUAUCAGCAUGCUUACGCACAUGCUUAUCGACACAGACCAUUACCCUCUUCACUAUACGCAUCAUCCAUUAGUAUCCCCCCUCCCACUUUCGAUAUCUACAGAGAGGUGCACAGGACAGUCUCAUCUCAGAACAAGAGCAAGCACAGCACCACAAACACAAACAGGAAGAACCAGAUCUGGUGCAGGGACCGCUCAAUCUCCAUCUGAUGCCGCCUCAGCCUGGGGUUCACGUUCUGUGCCGCGACAUGGUAAGGGCUUGUAUAGUACAAGCUUGCUGGCAGCUGGCCACGGAGCACCAACGGGAGGACAGCCUCUGCCAUCCCUCCAAGCACCCCUCCGGCAGUUGAGUGGAUCAAGCCACGUCCUAGUGGUGCGGGAGGGUAGAUGAAGUCAAACCCAGUGGGACUGGGAUGGUAGUGUGCGUGCCGCAAUGGCUGGUGCGGAGGGUUGGUUUCCAUGCUCUGGUGGUGGUGCUGGUCAUCGACGUUGCUCUGUGUGUUAUGAUGCUCAACAGUCUCCCGGUGCACCAUGGGACGGCGCGGAAUGGCCACGCCAUUCAGUGAUUUCUUUGAGUUCCCUCCACGGCCAUAUAGUGGCACUAGUGUAUCCGGGGAGAGUGUUGCCUUACAUACGGGGCACUGCCGCCUUGCUGAACUGCUGUUGUCACUGGCAGUUGAUUCCACCCCAGGGCGCAGCCACUCAUAGAUACAAGGCCAGCAGUAAAGGUGACCACAGAGGGUAACCACAGGUUCUGCUGCAAAAUCAAGGCAGAUGUUGCAGUCGAAGCAUCCACUUCCCAUUGGUGCAGGCAUGUCCCCACUGGCUUUCUUCACUGCCUCAACAUCAGCCACCAAAGGCUGGCUAUUGAUAGCAGCCAUGCAAGGCUGAUCCAUUCUCCCAGCUUCCAUGACAAUCAAAGAUACUUAACUCUUGAAAAGUAUUUUUGGUUCAGUUACUGACACUACUGCAGCAGACAAAAUAAAUUAACAGGUCAGUAAGAAUACAUACAAUUGAUAGAGCAACAUAGAAAUUGGGCCAUAGCUAAUUGCACAAAAUGUUAAGGGAGUCUAAGCAUUGGAAACGUUCAUAAUGCGAAGACGCCUACCUAACCAUUCAGGACUAUAGAAAUAAAAGAAAUAAAAUUGAGAGCAACAAAGCAAACCACAUGGCAAUCUCUAUCUUAUCUUCAAAAAAAAAACAUGGCAAUCUAUAGUUUUAAGAUAUGUGCAAUUCUGCAACAGACGCGGAGCUAGGUGUACAGACAACAGACAACAAUUAAACUAAACAAAGGGGUGCAUGUGACAACUGAAGCAAAUGUUAGGUAAAUCUCCAAAACAUGUUAAGGAGCCAGAAACUUUACCACUUAAGCUAGUUAUGCUUGCACUAAAGAAUCCAUCUUUCCUAGUAGCACGAGUCAGUAGUCAUGGAUUCUCUAAUAUUAUAGUACUGGGGACUACAUCUGCUGCACUUUGUUUCUAUCCCCUUUGUUAUGGUUAUCCCCGUGCUACUAUGUGUUCCAUUGACAUGUUAUCCAUGAAGAUAUUUUAUCAGAAGUUAGGAAACUUAUGUCAGCAAGGAAAUGAAACUGCUUGCUUUAUUUCCAAUGCGUGCAACGGCAAAAUGUUGACUCAAAGUGUUGGCCCCAUGUUCAAUGCAAGGGCCAUCAUUGCCAGCUCGAAAUUGCCUUGGGAAGAAAAUAGAAAAGAAUUUAAGUUUUAAUGGCCACCCUGCCGCUUGCAAACGUAGACUUUGACAAGGCUGGCAGGUCCUAAAGCUGAUCCUAACAAAUUAUAUAUUCAGAUAAGGGAUGGGGAAGACCAAAAGAACAGAGUUGCAUAAACAAAGGAAUGUAUGAGAUAGGCUAAAGGCAUCCGUCCUAAUCUCCAAUAUAUGCUUGCAAUGACAAAUUCGUGUUUUCUUUUUUGUGGUUGUGGAGCUUCUUCCAAGGAGCAUAAUUGAAAACAACAAUAAAUGGGGGUACUGAUGUGGACUGCGACAAUGAUGGAGUAGCUACAACACUUGGCAUAUUCAAUGGAACCAAUCACACCGAAAAGAUGAUCACUUAACAUAUCUAGUGAUCAACAAAAAGAAAGAAUAACCCAGUGAUAAUUGCACCCACUGUAUCAGGAUCAGGAAACAAAGAAUGGCAUUCCCAACAGCUUCCUGGAAAUUUCUUAAUCACUCUGGCCCCAUAUGUACCGCUAAUAUUAUUUUUAUACUGGUAAAGCUUCCGCAAGUCUUUGUAAGUUAAAACGGACCUUAAUUACAUCAAGUACCUACAGAUGAGGCUCAAAGAAUAUCAUCUCCCUACAGUUUUAGUUUGUGGGCUGAUGACUAGCCUAAUAGAUAUAGGCAGUAAGGAUUGAUACUGAAGGUGAAGGCUGUGCUCGACCAAAAGAAGCUGUGAAACUCCAGAAAUAAACAACAUGCUAAGUUUGACACAUAUCAGAUACCAUACUACAGAUUUUAAGCACAUUUCCACGGCAAUUGAUCUAAUUUAGGCGUCCCAGCAAGACAUCAAAUCAGGUGCUAUCCACAUUUAGUUAGAACCAAGAACAAAGAACUACCUCGAUCCCCCCUCUCCAAUCUAUAACACAGGACGAUCAAUUCAUAACACGCAGUCACAAUUCGCAAGGAUACUUGGUCACAAAAAAAAUCACAUGGGCACUAAACAUAGGGAUCCCCUAAACAUACGCACCUACAAGAGCAAUUUCUUCAGGCCCAGGUAUUAAAUACAAUCACCAACUAAAUUUGCAAACUGACGCUGUUCUCUCACCCCAGGAACAAGGGGCAGACGAAAACAUUUUGGAAAAAUAAAGUGGGAUAGGCGCUCCACCGGCAGCAAACCAAUCCGUCACACCCACAAGCUGGGCGGAUUGGAGAAUCCGUCCCGGAAAGGAAGGUUGAGACUUGAUUUCUUCGAAUACAAGAAAGGGCGAGACCGGAACGAAACUAACUCCUCGGAGCAACCCAACAAAUCAUUACCAAACAAAUAAAGUACAAUCCGUGCAAGCAAGAGACAGGGCUCCUUACCAGCAAAGGACGAAAUCAAUCCGAGCUCGGGUGGAUCUGCUCUCCACGCAAGUCCAGCGCCACCAGCGAGGAUAAUGAUGUUGACGGCGAGGAGGCAGGAAUUCGACGCGACGCGCCUCGGUGGAAGAGAGGCCUGAAGAUGGGUUCGGCGGCGUGGUCGGUAGAAGAGGGGCUUGGCGCGGUGGUGGCUUGAGGAGACCCGCGGCGGCGGCGCCUUGCGAAGAACGCGGGAGCGGGGAGGAGGAUGCGGCGGCCCGGCAGGCGGCGAGGUCAAUUUGGUUGGGAUAAGGAGGAAGGUGGGAGGAGGAAGCAGGGGCGAUGAUGAGAAGAGAAGACCGAGUUCAGGAGGAGGAGGAUUUUGGAGGAGGGGCUCCGCUCCGUCAGGGAUAUAUAAUGAGUUGGGGAACAUCGGAAUUCGGUGGGGGAAUAGACGGUGGGGAUGGUGGUUUUAAAACUAAUCGGCCGCCUCCGGGUGAUCCGUGCCUUGCAAAACUAAUUAAGCACCCGUGCACUCUGAUAAAACCAUGCCUUGUUUUGAGAACAUUUAAAGCAGAUCUCGCUCGAACACGUCGUCAAGGGUAUGCUGCGCGAGCAUCGCCUACGGCAUGGCGUCUGCUCACUCGCUGCUUGGCAUUUGUUCGGCUCCAAUGCACGAAUUGGUCUGGCCUUAGGUUACUGGGUGCCCUGUUGCUUUCUGUUGAGGGGAGUCCAGGCCAGUCUCUUUUGGCCUGUGAUGAUGUUGCUAUCAAACCUCCUUUUCCGCCUUUAAUGAAAGACAGAGCUCUUGUCAGUUUGUUUAAAAAUAAAGUCAUUGCGUGCAUUGCACAUCUUGCUUGGGUAGAAUAAAAUCUCGCUUUGGUAAGCUUGAUAAGCAGAAUUCGUUCUCGAUACCGUGCAUAGCUAAUCCUGUACAGGUUCCGGAAUUCAGUAGGAGCAGAGGUUCCAGUUUCCAGGCUCGUGAGAAUUCGCCGUGGUAAACAGAAGCGAUCACAUCGUGCCAGCCGGCCGUGGCCCAUGGUCCCCGUCCACAGAAGCGCCCGCACCUGCAGUAGAUUUGCCGAGCGACGUUGCCGCUCCCCGUCCGUACUCUUCGGAUGGAGAUAAGGCCUAUCCGUCCCCCACGUUCGCCAUGUCCGGAGCCGAGUCACCACUGCCGCUUUCGAGCGCCGCGCGGCACGAAAGUGAAGGAGAUGCCCCGGCCCGGGCCUCCCGGCGGCUAGUGUGCACUUGCGCGGAGGCGGGCGGCCCCCCACUGCCUGGCCCUUCGCGAUCACUAGCCCCGGCCACUAUCUUGGCUCGAGAUCGCGUGCGAGAGAGAAAAGAAAGAAUAUGCUUUGUAGAUUUUGCUCGCCAUUAUCGGUGCCAUACGAUCACGCCCCGUACAUGCAACCAUGUUACCUCCUGUUGCUUGCUACUCCUACUUCUGGAUGGUUUCUGCAGCGCCUUAUCGCUUUUCAGCGAGAGUGCUGCUGGCUACGGCAUCGCGCAUUGCCAGUUGCCAUUCGAGCGCAAGCAGACAGGCGAUCCGUCAGCCACAAGCAAACUAGCCACAGCCACUCGAUGCUGGGUUUUUUUUGACAAAUAAAUAGAUUUUUUGACAAGCAAAUAGAUUUUUUUUUACAAUCAAUCGAUGCGUUCGGCCUUGCCAUGGCAUGGUAAACACGGACGCCCCAAAAUUUGACGCUGGAAAAUGGGUCAGGGGAACACAGGCCGCGCGGACACGUACCGCGGCCGGAUAGGCUCGCAGAGCCGCAAGUGAGCUGUCGCGGUCACUGGUCCUGGUGACCAGCCAACCUCCGGCUUUCCAGUUUCCACAAACCAGUGUGCCACACGGACGGAUUGCGGAUCCGCCAAGUCAAAACCAGGGGUCAGUAACCGUGUCCAGCCAGCCAUCUGGAUGCGCGGAGCCGUGGCCAGUGGCAGCAGCUUCCGUGCGGGACGGGGUUCCUGCUUGGAUGCGCAGAGCCGAAGCGGCAUGUGCGCGCGCCUCUGGCCGCGGCCGUCCGAUCCGCGGCGUGCGUGGCCGGCGCGGCCACGGCGCCCACACACGCCAUCGCUCCAACUCCAAGCAAAAGCUGCAAACUUGUGCAAGUCUGCUGCGUGCUGCCCCAUUGGUCAAACAAACAAGUCGCCUCGGCGGCCGCAGAUUCGCGUGCCCUUCCGUCAGACACGGUCACCACCUCCUGCUCCGCGCCUUCUCGCCGGUCACAAGCUCCGGGCUCGCGCCUUGCUUUGUUUAAUCCCCUGUUCCGCCCGCCACCAGAGUUUAGUUUAAGCGUACGGUGCCGUGCGCGUCGCCGCCGUCGCGGGGAUAAGGAUCCCGCCACCGAACAGUGGCCGCAACGGUUGGUGCGCGUCUGAUCCGGUCGGGCGUCGUGGCGCGACAGGAUAUGGGGGCGCCGCUCGGUGCGCGCGCGCGCACGAGCAAUCAAUCAUUCGGGGUCGGGUCCGGUAGUUGCGGGGCACCCGGAGGGCGCGUCGCGGCCUGCCGGCAGCCGCGUUCCGCCACGCCGACGGCGGGCGGAGGCCACCUGCCAGUGCCAGUGCCCAGGCGCGGGAGUCGGGCCAUGUUGGCAUGUGAUCGAAAUCCCCCCUGAUCCCUGGCGCCGACGCACGUUUAGGUUUAGCACCAGCGGGCGCGCGAGGGUUCUUGUUUAAUCGCUCGACUCGACAGGUCCGUGCAUUUUAUUCGAGGGCUGUAGCCUGCUGGUGGGGUGGGGUGGCGCUACCAGUCGUCUAGUCCGGUAGGGCACAGCGAGGACGACGGGACCGGAGAUAAGGCCUGCAUUGAAUCUAGGAGAGAGUACAAUACGCUACUGCACUGUCCACACACAAGCGUCCACUGUACAGCCCAAGAUCGCAGAGCCAUCCAAAAGUAGGAACCCGCCCACCGUUUGCAGCGUCUGCCCGUGGAUUAGACACAGGUUCGUGCAGCGGUUCACUCGGACGCCGGACCACGGAAUGGAUCGUGGAUCCACCGGCCGAUGGUUCUUCCCUUCCCUGUGGUCCUUGGCUGGGAUCUCAGGACUUUGACAAAUCGACAUUCUUCCAAGAGAUUUAGCAUAUUCAGCUAUUCAGGAGUAAAUCUGUAGAAGUGUCCCAGACUGAAUGCAACGCAGUCCGGAGUUUGGGCUCACGCAUGAUGAUAUAUAAUAAUCGAAUGAAUCUCGGAAACAGGACGUAUAUCUCAAGCACAUAUUGAAUUAUGUGGAAAUGAUCAAUAGGAAAGAUGUACAUCAUUCUAAUAAGAAUAGAAUGUGGUUCUUGGCCGUCCAUGUCACACAUUUCGGAGCCAGCAAAGAUCGGGAGAAUAAAGCCAGGCUAGGGCGGACAGCAACCCAUGCCAUGCCGCUUUCCUCAAACAAUAAUCGAAUGUGAUUCCGAUAUCUACAACCAGGUACUAUAUAAACCUGGUCUGCGUAUGGGUCCAGUGAUCUGAACACAGUUUUCUGAAAGGCAGCCGUGUUCAAGAGACCCGUUGGGCAUUUUACUUCUCAACGAAUUUCUCGAUGCAUGCGGUCAGCGUGCUCUCAGGGACAGCCCCGAUCACCGAGUCCUUCUUCUCGCCGUUCUUGAAUAUCAUCAUGGUGGGGAUGCUCCGCACCCCGUACUGGCUUGCUAUGUCUGGGCUCUCAUCUGUGUUGAGCUUGUAGCACUUCAGCUUCCCCUCGUAGUCCUUUGAGAGCUUGCCAACAACUGGAUCUAUCAUCUUGCAUGGCCCGCACCACGAAGCCCAGAACUCAACAAGGACAGGAAGCUCACUUUCCAUCACAAGAGAUUGCCAUGUUGCCUUUGUCACCUCUGGGACUGCAAUUGAACAGCUGAGAAGUGAGAACACAACAACUGACGAAAACAUAGGUAUAGGUACCAAGAAAGAAAAAUCAACAACAAUUAACACAAACAUAGGUAUAGUACCAAGAAAGAAAAAUCAAGGACAAUUGCCACAAGCAUAGGUAUAGUACCAAUAAAGAAAAAUGAAAGACAAUUGAGUUGACACAAACAUAGGUAUAGUACCAACAAAGAAAAAACCAACGACAAUUGACACAAACAAAGGUAUGGUACCAACAAAGAAAAACCAACAACAAUUAACAUGGAUAUACGUAUAGUACAAAGAAACAUAGCAACAAAGAUAGUAGUUCUAUGAGCGACUGAAAUGAAAUGUCAUCAGCAUGAAGCUUGUAGGAUCAGGGAGAGGGAGAUAUCAUGCAAGCUCUGCUGCUGUAGCAUCACAAAAUAAAUAAAAAAAGUAAGAAAGACAGUUCGAUAUGCAAGGAUAGUGAUUUUUUCCUAUUUAUGUCUCUUCAAAAUGGCACUGAGCUAUUUUUCUCACUUUUAUUUUUUAAUACUACUACAUUAAUAAUACAGUUUAGGUAGCCCCUCAUACCAGUCCAUAACUACAGUUCUAGGCACAGCAUAUACAUUGAUUUAGGCAUGCAGCUUUUCAUUCUUAGCCGACAAUACUUCAAAUGUUAUGCAAAAUUGCAAAGGAGUCUGAUAUUAAUGUGUUUGCAAAGAAGCACUGAGGUUUAAGGAAAUUAUAUUCUAAAAAUAAAAUAUUUUGCCCAAACACAUAUUCUUCAAAUUGAUCAAUUGACAAUAGAUGUAUAAAAUGGAAAACCACUGCAAAAAUGGGAACCCAAUAUGACGCGUCUGAACAGUUAGAAUAUGCCUCUAUUUUGUGCAAAGCAAGAUGCGUAUUAAAAAAUUAAGAAGUGAUCAACCUCCUGAGCUUUAUUCAUGGCUAAGCAAUAAGCAUCGCUGCUUUAAUCUUUGCAAAUUUCAAUGUAGUAAACAGCUUUAGUGUCAAACCUUAAUAAAAUUGUGGAAACAACAGUCACACUAAAGGGAGUGAAAGGAAAUGCAUUCAAUCAUCAGAGGACCAAAUAGUACGAUACAUCCUCUUACAGUUAAAGGGACUAGUAUUUCACAUGCCGCCAUAACAAGAUGAUGACAAGAUAACAAGGGGCGCAUGAACCAUGUUUGUGAUACAUACAUACAGAAAUCAAUAAACUUAACGACUAUGGAAAAAUUUAGGACUUAUAGCAGCUCAACUUUUAUCAGGUAUAUGCUUCCAUAUGUGGAUCAUAGUGCCCCACGACAAACAGAAAAGGGUGCACGGCAAUAUUAGGUAUUGUGAUAUAUACUAUAAAGCAGGUCAUCCAUUCACAUGCCUAAAUCUCUGGAUGCACCAAACAGGAUGGUGCUUACCCGGCAAUAAAGAGUCAACCUACAUGAAGGUUGCUGCCUCCAACACAACACAGCCACUACAUUUGCAUGUGCUUGUUCAUCCAUGGGAAACGCAACUACAAAUCUAUGCUUGAAGAAAAUGCUAGAUUUGCUGUCUCUAUCUCAGGCAUGCAACACAUGAUGAUGCAUGCAUGAAGGCGGCCCUUCACAUAGAACUAAAAGCACAGACGUCGGGUACUGUUGCUAGCAAAACCAUAACCUUUACAUCCAGAAUGCUGCGCCCGUUCUGUUCUAACCUUCGCUCCCCUAAUUCCUCCGAACAGUUGCCUACAUCGAGGAUACCGCGCGAUCUUAAGUUCUAAGAGGCGCGACAUCCUACUGUCCAAUUCCUGGAACCAAAUGAAAAUCGAUGUGUAAUCACACUAAAAGCAGGAUCUCACUUCUAUGCGCCGACGAAACCCACGUACACGCGUCACCCGGGUCACUAGCUCACCACCUAAUUUCACAACAGAUCGAAACACGAACAGUAACAGAGUGGUGACUGCCUGACUGGUGAGCCACCGAGCUCGUGCAUGGAUAGUUAGAUACCUUCGAUGGUCGUGUCCUGGCCGUGGACGGCGCACGCUACGGACGCGCCACGCCGGGCGGCCCGUCGGUUCCCGGGCAGGCCGGUGGUCGCGCGGAGCGGCGAGGAUCUGAAGCUGCUGCUGGAGGAGCAGGAGGAAGGGAUCGCGCAGACGCGGCGCGCGGUGUAGGCCGACGCGGAGGCACGGGCGAGCGGGGGGGCGGCGAUGGGGACGGAGACGGCGAGCCCGGCGCCGGCCAUGGUGGUGCGAUCCGCGACGGGGACCGGGGCAGAGUUCGAGAAGGAAGGGGAAGGUGGGGGCGCGUUUGUUGUGGGGUGCGAGUGCGAUGCGGGGGGGAGGGAGGGAGACCGGCGGGGAAUGGGAUGUGGGGGGAAAGAUGGGCAUGUCAUGUGGCCAUGUGGGGCAGCUCCGAUCCAGUUCGCGCGUGGUGUGGUGACGCCGCGCGUCCCCGCGCGCCUGGGCUGGGCCCGGCUGAUGGCGAUAGACGCUGUGCGCCUGAAAUGGGAAGUUUUUGGCUCGAGACAACGAAAUCUGCGAGAGGUUUGAACACCGCGAACCCUGCCUGUAUGGCAGCCAGGACAGUAGAGUGUAUAGGCAGAAACAUUCCAGGCAGUUCCUAUUGCAACCCUGCAACUGUGCUUGCGUCCAAUCCAAUUGAAAAUCUCUGCAGCAUGUGUUUCCUGAACCUGCAUCCAGCCUAACGAUGAGUCUUUGCAUCGUGUAUUCAAAUAUGGAAUCCUGACACUUCAGCAAAAGCUUUAAGAAGGAAAUUUGCACCUCAGCGAAAGACUGUUGGUAGAUCAAAUACUGGAGAGAUGGCGGAUACGUGUAGCCAUUUUCUUUCGCGAGACAUGUGUCGUGUGUGCAGUCAUUUGAUAAGCUCAAACAGAGCAGCAUUCAGCAUUGAAAGCAAAAAACGAUGCAGAAAUUUUAGGCAGCGCAUACGUCUGCAGUGCAAGUAAAGCGAAUUAAGAUGUCUAAUGCAAAAGCACAACUCCAAUAACACUGCUAGCCGGCAACAGUGCCAAAAGAGCAGCCGCAGCCGAACGUCCCGGGCACGACAGUGCCGGAGCAGCACGGCGGCGGCGAGGCGCACUACCUGGUCCCAGCGAAUCGCACGCGUGCUUCCAGUCUUUGCCGCGGGGGCGGAGGGGAUACCCGAUUCUAGGGUUUGAGGAGGGGGAGGACAAGGUCAUGGGUGAAUCAGGCCUGGUGCUCGCACUGGACGGAAUGCGUGUCAGCCGUCGGCGGCGAAGAUCGCCGGUAAGAGAGGAGAAAGCAAGGCGCCGAUCUGAAGGAGGGGUAUAUCUGUAAAUAGUUAAGGGUCUAAAUGUAAAAUAUCGGAUGGGGGGGUUCUGUGCAUGAUUUCCAGGCUGGCGGCCGGCAGACUACGAGCCCGCGCGGCCGGCGGCGGGUUGCGUGAUGCGUCCCGCGCCGCCGCCCCGUCAACAGGCCGCACUGUGCCGCGGCUCCGGCUCCGGCACCGUAGGACACGCGCGCGCAGCUUCCUCCAGCACCAAUCGCCGCUUUCAACUCGAGGAGCCACCCCCGCCUGGAGGCCACCAUGGGCAAGACGAAGACGACAGACAAUCUACAACCACGGGAAUUGGGAAGAAGAUGUUUGUUCCUGUGCUUCUUCCAAGUCUUAAGAGGCCUUGAUUAAUCGCAAUGUUGGGCUUCAGUGCCAUCAGACAGGGGCAGAGCUCGCAGAGGACAAACAUGGAUUCUGAAGAAGCCAAUGAUGCGCCCCUCAGAUGGUGGUGGUGGUGCCCGUGCACAGCCCCUCCAUCUUUUCAACAUCCUUGAGCGCGAGACGAUCGGAGUAGCCUUUCCAUGGAUCGAUGAUCUAUCCUCCAGUUGGAAUGGGUAGGAUCAGGAAGGAGACAAUCAAAAGUGCAGCUUUGCUGAGGCUUUCAGCAUUCAGAGAGAAUGCUUCGCUUUUCCUCAUUGUGCCAGACAGCCAGUGGAAUUCAAGAUCUGGAACAUUUAUUUUGUACAUUCGAACAUCUGCACUGCUAACAUCGUUGUCGUGUAAUUCAAGUGGUACUUUAAAAACUAGCUGCAAACAUUGUUUAAUCAUAGACAAUGAUAUAUACGAUUCAGAAUGGUGUGAUGGAUGUAUUUCUUACAGUUUAUACUGCAAUGGCUGCAACUGUACUUGCAUCUAAUCCUAUGAUGAAUCUUUACAGCAUGUUUAAUGAUGAAUCUUUACAGCAUGUUUCUUUACAAGUUUCAUCAAAUUAUUCCAAAUUUGAACUCCAGAAAGACUACAUGUGUACAUCUUUGUCAAGUUUCGAUGAGCAAUUUGAACUCUUCAUCACCCACCGUCAGAACGUGGGCACCCAAUAACAGUACCCUUUGGCCCUCAGGAUUGGCUGCGCUCAUGUGCUUGCAAGGAUCUAUGGUAAGCUCCACGUUGGUUGCACUGCCAGCAGCUGUGUGGACACGCUCAAAACCAACCAAUUGUUUUAUAGGAAAGCCUGGAACACUUGAUUUUGACCUCGCGAACAGUAGAACAGCAUGGCUCCCAUCCAUGUCACCGUGAUUCGAAACCGCGAUGUGAACAGAGAAUACUAGAGCUUCACAUGAUGCAACAUCUUCGAUUUUCACAAAGUCUAGCCCAUCCCUGCUUAUAUACGCAGGCUUCCUACUGAUAAUGUCCGGAACUGAUGAAUGUGGAACGCUGAUCUUCUUUGGAGCCGACAAGAUGCUAUAUGAAUAUCUGGAAUAACUUAAACCAUAUCCAAAACCGUACACUACAUCUCCAGUGUAGAAUCGAUAUGUUCUUCCUGGGUAACCGCGUGAAGAAUCAGCUCUCAUGUUCAUAUCAGUCAUUGGAAUAGCAGUGAAGGAUUCAGGGUACCAAGUCAUAGCCAGCUUUCCUCCUGUUAUUACAGCACACCAGAUUAGUCCAACAGCCACCACAACUUUUUCAUUGCAAUAUAUGCAAGUCCUGUUCUAACUCAAGACGUUUAAGCUGUUUACUCACCUGGGUUGUACUUCCCAAAAAGAAUUUCUGGAAGGACUUGCCCACCGACCUCGCCAGGAUAUCCAAGCCAAAGAAUGCUUGCUAUUCGUGGAUCGUGCUUUGCAAAAGAAACGUCAACAGGACCACCACCCAAGAGAACCAAUACAAGGGGCUUCUUCGUUACACUAGCAACGGUAUGUAUGAGGUUCAUCUGCUUGCCUGGAAGGAGAAGGCUCACUCUAUCAAAGUCUUCGCGCUCUUCUGUCAGGUUCAACCCAGCAACUACAACAACAAUAUCGGCUGCUUUAGCUGCUUCAAUGGCUUCACCAAACAAAUUUGUUGAGUUACAGGAAACAUCCUUGCAUCCAGCAGCAAAGGUUGUUUGUGCAACAUAGGCUUGAAUGCCUUUAAGGAAGGUUGUAGGAUUGCAGGGAACACCUGAAUAAAGCGAAUCUAAUGUUAAAAAUGUAUUUGUGAUAGUAAGGUACCAAAAUGUUUAAUUAAGGCAGUGGUUUUAGACCUGUAUAGUCUCCACCCAUUGCAUAUGCAUCAUUUGCAGAUGGUCCAACGACAGCAACAUGCCUAACUUCGCUUCUCUUCAGAGGCAAAAAAGCAUUGUCGUUCUUCAAAAGGACAGCACCCUGCCUUACAGCUUCUGCUGCAAGUUCUCUAUGUUCUGCCGUGCACACAUUAUUGGGCCCCAAUUCGGUGUCCUUGGGCUUAUCAAAUAUCCCAAGACGCAAUUGAACCGAGAAUAGAUUAAAAAGGGCACGGUCGAUAUCUUGUUCUUGAAUCUUCCCCUUCUCGAUUGCUGACUUUGUGUGCCGAACUAGGAAAGAACCACAGUUGAGAUCCAUUCCUUCAAAAAAGAGAGUAAUCCUAACACUUCAGCAAAAUACUAGUUGAUAGAUUGAAGACAUAAAUGGUCAGAUGCUCUACGGAAUCUGUUUUGACUAGAUAUCAAAACAUCCGAACAAUAAUGUUGCCAAGGAAUCAAUGGAAGCAGAAAUGAGAAGCCUCAAUAUGGAACAAGUCUGUAAUUAUCUUUCCGAUAUUAGGGGUUACCACAACAUGGUUUAAAUUAAGUGGAAUUGGCAACCGUUUUGCCUAUAAACCCCUAAUGCCUACUUUUAAAAUGCUAGAGUUGAGCAAGAAAUCAAACUUCUAGUCUAUAAAGACAAAAAAAAUAGACAAAUAAAAUCACAUUUGUGUUUAAGGCUACUAACCUGCCCUAAGAACAAUUGCUAUUGAAUCCUCAUCUGAAGUAGUGUAUGUCUGGUUCUCGUGGAUAAUUGCCACAGCAUCACAAUCAGAUGUAAUGUACCUUCAACGAAUCAAAUGAACACGCAUAAACAAUAUUGAAAAUGCUGGGGUCUGGGUUUGAUAUAAUGAAAUUCAUUGUCGUUCCUGACAUAUUCAGGGUCCAAGGUUCAAGACAGACAAAUUCAGAGUUAGGGCAAGCUGCGUACCCCUUGAAGCCCCAUUCAUCCCUGGUCUUCUGCAGAAGAUCUUUGCGAGCACACAUCGGCACACCAUUAACCUGGUUAUAUGCGCACAUCAAGCAGCUGGCACGAGCCUCCUGGAUGCAGGUCUUGAAAGGAGGCUGGUACGUGUCCUCCAAAUCUUGCGCAGUUACCUGCCAGUAGUGGAUUACAAUCAUAACAAAUUCCUUUUUUAUCUCAUUACAAUCACAACUUGUUAUAGAUGUUCACAAGAAAUAUGGUGAUUCCAAGCCUGUAGUUCAACUUUUCAGUCAAACUCAUGAAGAGAAUAUUUUGAUCGGAAAUUAAAAUCUCAGCCCAGUUUUUCAUGAACAUCUCAAAAUGCUCCCUGGAGCAGGACAUGUCAGUGUUUCUCUAUGUGUUGACUAAUAGUAUAAUAAACUUAUAUAUGUAUGCAUUAUAUAAGUCCAGAGAAAUGAUAAGGCCUGAAUGUCUUCACCUUGGCAUUGAAGGUGUACCUCGAGAAGCCCUCCCACUUCUCCAUGUCAUACGCUGUAUAGUGCUUGCAGCAGGCCGAGAGCCUAAUCCUGCCUUCCUCCCCGAACUCCCCCUGGAACCCCUUGACGUACUCGAGGGAGUACGCGGCGGCGACGGCGGGGUCCUCCCCGGACGUCUCCUGGCCGCGGCCCCAGCGGGGGUCGCGGAAGAUGUUGAUGUUGGGCGCCCAGUACGUGAGCCCGGCCUGGCCGGCGCUGUGCAUGCCGAGGGCCUCCGUGGCGACGGCCCCGGCCACGGCGCGCCACAGCGAGCGGUUGAAGGCGGCGGUGGAGAGGAUGACCUGCGGGAAGGCGGUGGCGGCGCGGACGGGGCCCGAGGAGAAGUUGACCCCGGGCCCGUUGUCGGCGAGCCCGUGGAGGGACUCGGACCACCACUGGUAGGGCGGGACGCCCAGGCGCGGGACCCCGCCCGCCGUGUUGGACAGCUGCGCGAUCUUCUCGUCGAGGGUGAGGAGCGAGACGAGCGCGCGCGCGCGGGCCAGGAUGGAGAGCGAGGCGUCGCAGAACGGGUAGGCGCUAGCCGAGUCCGGCGACGCGCACGGGCGCGCGUUCGCCGCAGCCGCCGCCGGCGCGGCGCCGCCGGCGAGGGCGAGGAGGCAGAGGAGGGCGAAAAGCAUGGCGGGGUCUAGCCGUUAGGUGGAACUGGGGGGGAUGAUCGAGCAAAUUUGGCUCUGCCCUCGAGUGGCUUGCGGUUUUAAGCGACCGCUGCCCACUGAGCGGCAGUGCUGUCACGGGACGGCGUCGAGACCUCCGAGAGACCGAGACUGAGCGGAGACUGGCGUGUGGGGCCGGCCGACGGCGUCGUGGAAUAGAGUGGAGCGCGGGAGGGCUAGCUAGCUGCCCAGUGGUAUGAAUAGCCAAAUAGGAUAGGACCAGUUGCUUGCUAGCCUAUGCGUAAUUCAUUUUUGGAUAGGCAUGGCCAGGUCAUGCUCCGGAUUAUCAAAGGACAUCAGGAAUCAUGGAUGGACCCGCAGCAAGAUAUUCCUUCUCUUGCUGUUUAUGCGGUGCUCCGUUCAUCGUCGUUGCUAAGUGAGGGUAGCAUUUGUUUGCUAUUGCUCCUGAGAAGAUACUGUGCUGACGAGCUGCCUAGCUGCCGGCCGUAGCCCGUGCCUUGCUCUUGGCUUAAGCUCUGGCUCUCUAGUUUAGAGGGGGCCACUGAGUGUCACUAGUUCAGAUGGGAAGGAACUGAUGGUCGUCGGCAAUCGCUGUUGUUACCGACUUAGCGUGAAGGACCGAAAUGGCGACCAGAAGCGGGAUUGAAUGGGAGCUUUUCGGAAAGAGAAUAAGAUUUAUAUCCCGAUUUUCAUCUCAACACCACACCAUUAAGAUGACGCAAGUUAGCGGUGACAAGCUCACCCUAGGAACGGUUCAAAAGAGCUUGUCGCAAAACGGAAGCGAAUCAAAAGCAAUAGACUCGAGCAAAGCUAUAAAAAAACGGAAGCAAAUGAAAAGCAAUAGACUCGAGCAACAGCUAUCACCAAAGCUUCACUUAACCAAGCAAGUGACGAUUCAACAAGAUUAACAAAGCUCAAAACCAAGCGGAAGCAAAGCUUAGCUACACAGCCGAUCACAGACCUUUUCAGAUAAACUAAUUAACAAAGAUGCAAAAACUAAAAAAUAUAGCUAAUUAACACAAGUCAACUAAGCACACAAAGAACUAACAAAGAUUAGCCAGAAUCAAAACUAAUUAACAAAAGCUAGCUAAGCAUGCAAAGGCUAUCAAGACUAGUGACACAAAAUUAAUUAACACAAGCUAGAGCAGAAAUUAAAUACAUAUAAGAGGAAAAUAAAAAGAGUAAACCAAAAAUGCUCACUGAGCUGCCUCUUACUGCUGGCCUGCUUGCUCACCCCGCCGGCCUGUUGGCCUUGCUUUCUUGCCUCCUACGUGUGCUGCUGCGCGCGCUGCGAGCCACCGCCGCCGGCAGCUGCGCAGGCCGGCAGGCCGGGGCCGCGUGCCCCGCCCUAUGCCUUACGCUGUGUGCACAAGCACAGCACGCCUCGCGCGCUGCCGUCCCACGGAAAUCCCCUGCACACAAACAGAAGAAGAAAGAGGGGAAGGCAAGAACAAAAUCGAGAUUUUGAAACGCAAAUUCCUUUCUCAAAACGCAACGAUUUCGAACAAAAUUUCAGUCAUAGAUCCGUGACUACUGGACCUAGCAGAUCCAAUAAGAAGAUUGCGAAAGGAUCUAUUAACCAUCGAGAACGAAAAAUCCCAUAAAAAUCAUCCGAAAAUGGAGGAAAAAAACAGAUCGGGAGAGAUAAACGAGGCACACGAAAAUCAUAAAGUAAGAACUCGAAUCCUAACGUCCGGAGGACAAAAGGAGGCUAGGACCUCCAUUCCCAUGAAAAGUUUAGUACAAAUAUUAAUUCCGAAAUUAGUGAAAAGUUUAGUACACAUAUUUAUUCCGAAAUUAGAGAGUAAGCAAGUAAAAUGAACUAGAAUUUCUAACUAAAAUGAGCAACUAGCCAUGCCCAUGCCCAUUAAUAUUACUUUAUGAAAAUACUUCUACCCUAAUAACUACGAUACUAGCCUAGGCAAGGGUAAAAUGGUCUAACUUUUAGUAGAGCCAUUGGACGAACACACCGCCUUCACGACUUUGCUUCGCCUCAACUCAAGCUUCGCGAUGGCGCCCCGUGUCCGCCACUCCGCCGAUCCGGUUGCACCGGAUACACCCCCGAUUUUUAGGCCCAAACCGGAAAACCUGCAUGCGCGGUGGUUUUGAGGCCCAAACCACCGAAAUUUUCCAUUCCCUUGGUCACCACGUGACCACCUUGAUGUCGACCCGUGUCCAGUCUCCGCCAGGCCUCUGACGCCUCCGUCCCGCUUGACUCAACCGACGCCGUCUUCAUCCGUCCAUGUACUCUUGCUCUUCAGUGCAUCACGUGGAUCGUCCGUUACUCCGUCCAGACUCCUCUGAUCUCUCAGUUCAAGCCUACUCACGUUCAUCCUUCACUGCCCUUGAUCCAUCGGCAUGAACCUUUCGCUUGACCUGACGACGAUCGUCACGUCGCAUCAUCACGAUCGUCGCGAGCCAAGAGACAUCAAAUUUACACAACAUUAUCAAUCACUCGUCAUUUAGAAUUAACCACCAUUGUUCCUCAUAGCGACACCGUACGUUUGCUUGCGCUAUCACGUCCACAGUGGUGCCAAAUCCUUAACCCCCCAAUACGAUACGAGGACAGGACACAGGAGCACGCAUCCUGUUUCCUGUGUUUCCUCAUCCCUUUCUCACAAAGUCUUGGUGAUAGUAUGACGUGUGGGCCGAAUUUCCAGGCACUCAACGAAGCUGGCCCGGCGGCCCGCUCCACAUAAAACAGUUUUCGUGGGUUUUGUCUUGUGCCGUGAUUAAAAAAAAGAAGCUUGACCUGCUGUGCAGGUCCUUCCUCACUCCAUGAGCGGUCCAAAAAAAAUUAAAAACAGGAGAUUCACACACGCGACAGGAACACGGCAGUCCCCGUCAGCAGACGCUCGAGCAGGCACUUCCACCUCGCUGGUAGCUGCAUAUCUAAUGUCCAUCCGGCCGGUUCGGUGCAGGACAAUCGGAUACGAUCGGCGGUCAGAUCACAAAGUUUAGUACGUCCCGAGAGGGCACCAAGAAAAGGGACGCCCCAACGACGAGCGCCAGUGCGCCCUGUGACUGCACGUCUGCACGAUAACAGCCGCUGGAGCAGGGCGUCUCAUGCGGUCCGCGAGAAGAUGUUGUAGUGGAUUAGCACCAGUGGUAGUCAUACCAAUAGCACAAUGCAUCAGGGUGGCAUUGUCUUUGCUUACCUAUUUUUGGUGUUCUUCUGAAGCAUUAUUGAUGACGAGUAAUACUAGUUAUCUUAACAUGUAUAGAGUAACAUUAGUCCCUCCAUGCUUUAAUCGUGAAUCUUUUGUUACCUAUAAACGUUCAGCUGUCGUCAUAUCCGGUCUCGGAUGCGAAGGCGGCUUUCUUGCUCUGUUCCUGUUUAGUAGAUCCAAUAUGUUACGGUUAGUCUUUAUUUAUCAAAAAUUUAGUUUAAUAUCUGCAUAACUAGACCCUUCAAAAGGGUUGAAUGUUCCGGCAGUACGUUUGGUGUCUUAUGGCAGCUUAAAAGGAGAUUGUUCCAGGAAUCGGCUUUCUAGUUGGUUUUUAGUCCUCUGUUUAGGUUGUUAUUUUGUUACCUUAUAUAUUUGUUAGGCUCGAUUACGUGUAGGAUGUUCCGAUUAUGCAGUGAAAGUUUUAACCGUUGUAGAUUGGAUUAGCUUAGGGUUUACGGAGCGAGAUUUAUUUUAUCAUUAGACGUAUAUGCUUUAUUUUUAGAUCCGAUGCGGUAUUGAACACAAUUGGUUCUUUACAGCCGAUACCGGGAAGCAUCCGAUAAGCCGAUCACGGUUCGGACUAAUGUUUAUAUGUGUCUGUGUAUGCAUGAAACUAACAUACAACACCUUCCUGAUCAGGUACAAGAUCAGGUGGCACGCCUAGCGACCUCGAAGCCAAGACGUGUGCCAGAUGUCGGGCCGUUGACCGAGGGACCGGAGCCCACCAGCAGUUCCGAGAGCCUCCCGGCUCUUCGUGUUGCCUGUCUCUGCUCGCCGACGGGUUUUGACCGACAACAGGACUAGAUUGAAAGAACAACUAUAUCAAUAUCAAACUGAUGGAAAAUGCUUCAUCUGCUCUCAAGAUGAGCUUUACAUUGAAACUGAUGAUGCUGGAUGGUAGUCAAAUGGCUUUAUACUGUACUACCUCCAUCCUAAAUCAAAAUCAAUUUAUUUUAAUUUUUCUAGAUAUAUUUUUUCCCGUAUUUAGAUGUACAUUAUAUUUAGAUUAAAAAAUUAGAUAUUUAAAAAAAUCAGAACGAAUUAUAAUUUAGAACAGAAGGAGCAGUAAUUCUGGAACGAUAUCGUUUGGCAUAAUUUUAGCUUCUCCCACAAUGGCUCUUGAAGCAGCCGGUGAAGCAGCUUCUGUAGCGAAGCUAAAGCUGUUUUUAAAAUCAUUUAGCGAAACAUAGAUCUUCUGGAGAAGCUGGGCGAAGCUAUAAUUUUCAGCUUCUUCUCCCAAGUGUAAGAUAGUGUAACAUAGAAACAGCUUAAUCAUAUACUUUAUAAAACUUCUGGGGAAAUACGUUUUGGUACAGCUUCAUCUGAAGCUCUAACGUCUAAACCGCGAAGCCCAGUGUAGAGGAUACCCAGUACCAGGCAGCUCCGAAAUCGUUGGGCUUGGGCCUAGCCGCACGGCUGCACCCCGACGAUGUGGUCGCUUCUCUCCUCGUCAAAAUUACCAACCAAACAGCCGGCGAAACGCAGAAACCCAACCAAAAACCCGUAAAACCACGGGGAAACCUCACGCGUCUUCCUCCGUCCAGCCUGUCUCCGGUCCCCCGCUCCCUAACGCCGCCAUCACCCCCCUCCCAAGUCCCAAUCUCGUCUUCCCCCACCCGUACCCGUCAAAAUUCCAUUCGCUCGAUUCUCAGGGAGGGGAAGCGGGACAGAAGGACGCCCCGGGGCCGCAAUGCGCGUCCUCGCCGUGGUCCUCCUCGCCGCGGCGUGUGCGGCGGCGGCGGCGGUGGCGUCCGGGGGCGGCGGCGGGGAGCUCCCGGAGUUCCGGGAGGCGCCGGCGUUCCGCAACGGCGCGGCCUGCGCGGGCGCGCCGACGAUCCACAUCGCGAUGACGCUGGACGCCACCUACCUGCGGGGCUCGCUCGCUGGCGUCCUCUCCGUGCUCCGCCACGCCGCCUGCCCGGAGUCCAUCACCUUCCACUUCGUCGCCUCCUCGACCUCCCCGGCGCGCCGCCUCACGGCCCUACGCCGCGCGCUGGCGGCCGCCUUCCCCACGCUCCCGGCCACCGUGCACCGCUUCGACGCCCGCCUCGUCCGCGGCAAGAUCUCCUCCUCCGUCCGCCGCGCGCUCGACCAGCCCCUCAACUACGCCCGCAUCUACCUCGCCGACCUCCUCCCGCGCUCCGUCCCCCGCGUCCUCUACCUCGACUCGGACCUCCUCGUCGUCGACGACGUCGCCCGCCUCUGGGCCACCGACCUCGGCCCCGACGCCGCCCUCGCCGCGCCCGAGUACUGCCACGCGAACUUCACCUCCUACUUCACCGACGCGUUCUGGCGACACCCCGAGUACGCAGCCGUCUUCGCCAACCGGACGCGCGUCCCCUGCUACUUCAACACCGGGGUCAUGGUCAUCGACCUGGACAGGUGGCGCGCCGGCGGGUACACCGCGAAGCUGGAGUACUGGAUGGAGGUGCAGAAGCAGGAGGCCAGGAUAUACGAGCUGGGCUCCCUCCCGCCGUUCCUCCUGGUGUUCGCCGGCGAGGUGAAGGCCGUGGAGCACCGGUGGAACCAGCACGGGCUCGGCGGCGACAACGUGGCGGGCCAGUGCCGGGAGCUGCACCCGGGCCCGGUCAGCCUGCUCCACUGGAGCGGGAAGGGGAAGCCGUGGCUGCGGCUGGACGCCGGCCGGCCGUGUCCGCUCGACGCGCUCUGGGCGCCCUACGACCUCCGCCGCCGCCGCGGCGCCCGCGACGACCUCCUCGCCGCUGUCGCCUAACAAUGCUGGGCCCACAUCGCUGGAGCGAUCCUUUUGCUCGCGUCCGAUCGGAUCAUAUUCCACGGCGCUUGGCUGCUCGCUUCGCCGCCCCACCCACGGGUGAGUGUCGGCGUUGGGGCACUGAGUCACUGACACGUUCACACUAGCCACUGCGCCUGGGUCCCUUCAUGUGUCCAUGCUGUCAGUCGUAAUGGCGUUGGUUGGAGUAGCCCCAUCGGUACUGCCAUUCAUCGGGCCCACACGUUGGUGACGGACGGGGGUUUUGGGGUGGGGGGCCGAGGUGAAAUGCAGCCAUGGGCUGUGUACAGCUGUUAUUUUGGCCUUUGAGGCAAUGGUUUAGAUUCUAUAUUAUUCUUUAUUAUUUGCUUGUUAGAUUUUUGAAUCUACUGGUCCAAUGAUAGCAAUGUAUAAUACUGCAGGCACAGUUUUAGCACCACUGGAACAAACUUUGGGAAUGUCUGAGUUAGGGUUUCUUUAAUAAGUUCGGAGGUUAGGGCUCGGGAGGUGGAAACAAGGAGUGAUGUUCUUGGGAAAACCGAUAAAGCUUGGUGUAACUUUACUUUUUUUUUUCUGUACGAGUGUAGCGCUGCUAGUUUUAAAAAUUCUUUGAGCACAGUGCAGAGCGAAAUCAGAUGUGUGAUGUCGUUUUGCUCUGAGAAGUACACAAGAAAUAAAGAAAAGGUUAACUGGAUGUCGUCUGGUGGCACAAAUCUCAAUCUGGGGGCUCCAAAUUUCUCAGGAAUCUGAUCUGACUUUCCCGCUUUUGUUUAAAGCCUGAUCCACGGAUGAUUUCAGUGGAGGUUGGUGCCAUGUGAUUCGAAUGGGCGUUUGCCAAGUGCUCAGUGGAUCUUUGUAAAAAGCUGGGAAAUUCGUUGCUUCUCCCGUGCGCGAUUGCGAGCGGGAGAGAAGAGGGGGAAGAGAGAGAGAGAGAAAAAAAAAGGUUCAGUUGCUUUCAGCCUUUCCUCCUCGGUUGCUAUCAGUUUGCUGGUGAGGGAAUGAUCGCUCGACUGCGGUAGCGUGCGAGCUGAUGUUGUCGACCGAAAUGCUGCUUUGCGCAGGAUUACUGCUGCUGUGACAGGCAGCCAAGGUGCUCAAAGAGAAAAGAAGAAAGAACUCUACAAAGCUUUCCGCUAGACUGUGGAUGUGAAUAUGCGAUGAUGGCCCUGUUUGGUUUCGUUUACCUGAGAAUCGCUUAUCUGAGAAUCAAGAUUUUCUGAUAAUCCGCUGUCUGAAGAAUCCGCUGUCUGAAGAAUCUGGGGUGUUUGGCAAUCCUGAUUAUUUCUACUGGAUUGUCUGUUCUGACUGUAAAAUGACCUAUUUGCCCCUGAGUCCUGUAAUAGCUCAUUUUGAUCGGAAUUCUUUACCAUUUUCAAAUCUAAGUAUAUUAUUAGUACCAGAACUUUGUUAUAGUAUAAUUAUAGUCAUAAAACACACAAUAAUAAUAAAAUAAACUAAUAAAUAAUAGUCAUGAUGAUUAUAGAUUAAUAAAUAGUACAAUUUUACAAUGAUAAUCAAGACAUCAUAGAGUCAGCAAUAGCGUCACGAAAGGCACCCAUAUCAAUGUCAUCUCCUGGAGCACUAGCAUCGAUCAUGGUAGGUUGGCUGCCACCGGUAGCAUUAUCUUGCACAUCGGAGUUAAAAUCUGGAUCUUCAUUGGUAUUUUCUCUAACAAAAUUGUGAAGAGCCAUACAUGCAACUAUAAUUUUUGCUUGUUUGGUAAUAGGAUAGCUAGGCAAGUGCAACAAGAUACGCCACUUCAUCUUCAACACUCCAAAUGAACGUUCAAUCACAUUUCUAAGUGAUGAAUGUGCUUGAUUGAAUAUUUCUUUUCUUCCCACUGGUUGGUGAUGUUGCCAUUCCGAAACAUGAUACCUUUGUCCCCUAUAAGGUGCAAGAUACCCUUUUCUAUUAGGAUAUCCGGAGUCUACAAGAUAAUACUUUCCAUUGGGAGGCUUUGGGAAUUGGUUCUGGUACGUGAGUAGAGUAUCCAAAAAUACACGAGUGUCAUGUACGGACCCAGGCCAGCCAGUGACAACAAAUGUAAAUCUCAUAUCAAAGUCACAAACAGCCAUGACAUUUUGUGAAGUAUACCCAUGCCUACCAAUAUAUUUUGGUUGUUCAGAUGCCGGAACAGUGACUUCUAUAUGCGUGCCAUCGAUGGCACCAAUACAAUCUUUGAAAUGAGGCCAAAACCUUGCUUCUUGCAACUUAGGGUGAAUUGUUCCGAACUGUGGAUCCUGUGGCCUAAUAUUGUGAAAAGCCAGUCCCAUAAUAGCAUCUAGAACUUCAUCAACCUUUCUACUAAUUGUUUCCAAUGAGUGUUUGAACCUAUUUCUAGCUUGCCUAAAUGAUUGAGGACCACCACACAUCCACAAAAACAUGGCUACUGCUUCCUUCGUACACAUUUUUCGACUUGAUUUCAACCCAUAAUUCUGUACCAAUGUGUUAUGGAGAUGUAGAAAAACUGACCUUGACAUUCUGAACAUAUCAUAGCAGUCAACUGCAUUCGCUAGAGUUAGCUCAACCCAUUGGAUCCCAGUCAUAACUGGAAUAUUAUCAGGAAUUGGUGCGCUUCUACCGGUUGAUCCAGAUCCCAUGCACUCCAAAGCCAAAUACGCCACCAGAAAAUCAUCAUCUGAGUCACUCAUCUAUUAAAAAAAAUAAAUACAUGAAUCAUAUAGUACACAUACAAUAUAUCUGAAGCAAACAACAAAUACAAAUUAAUUGUCUCAAACAACAAGUUAUUAUAUCUGAAGCUAUUAUGUCUCAAACAACAAUCUCUCAAACAUGCAACACAGGCAAGCUAUCAUGUCUGAAGCACACAACAAGUAGGAAUAAAAUGUCUCAAGCAAACAACAAAUACAAAUUAAUUGUCUCAAACAAACACACUAGUGCUUCUUACUAUCCUCCCAUGCCCUCCUUAGCCAAUUUAACCUCCCAUUUGAUGUCUUUAAAGUAAUGAACACAUCACGGUACUCUUUCUUUAUAAGAAGUUGUGUGGCGUAGUAAUGUUCAUCACUGCCUUCUUCAGCCCCAUCCUUAAUCACUUGAUCCAACAUGUUACCAAUUUCCUCCCUUACACUGUCAACCACAUUUGAGGUGGCUGAAUUAUUGCUACUUUCAGCUUUCUUCUCAUAUGCUUCCACUAAACGUUUCAUACACUGAUCUCUAAAGGUCUUCUUCUUCUUUCCCUUGGGGGAUACUGGAGCUGUUCUCUUGCCUAAAGUUGGAGUGCCAUUUGGGGGAGUAGGGACCUGCCCUUCCCUCCCUAACUCACAGCUAUUCUGACCACCAUCAUCUUCUUGGCCACCACCUUCUCCAUUUGAAGGAACAAAUGAUGUCUCGUUUGUAACACUAACAGCUUCAAACAUAAUCCGCAUUUGGUCCUCAUGCUCAAGUGGUGCAUCCUUAAAGGAUAUACAACCGACCAUAGCCUGAAAAGGAAAGGUAAUAACGUUGUAAAUUGAAACAUGUAACUUUUGUAUAUCAAAAACUGAAAAAUCUGCAAUGUAUACUUACAUCAUUUUGUUCUUUCCACCAGUUGUCUGAAGCCACGAUACACCCUGUCAUAGAAUCCCUACCCAAGCCGGUAGCUCUGUUGUUCAAUGUCUUCCAUUGGGUAUACCUUUUUUUAAGUGCAUCCCACCUAUUCUUCAUUUGCCCCUCAUUGUAAGGUCUCCUGGUACGUUCAAAAAACUUGCGUACAAGAUUCGCAUACCCAGUGCUGUUCAAACAAUUUUGGGGCCUAUUGUGGGCGAGAACUUCUUCCACACAAAUAUCAUUAAAAGUUUUGGCAGCAAAUGAAUCCCAUUUCGCCGCAACCUUCACUCCUUUUUCCAUCUACUCAAAAUACAGGACUAACAUUAUCACACAUAAGUAGUAAGACUGCAGUUUACAUAACAAUUACAGUGUUAAAGCAUUUCCAGAAUGGUCAAACUGCAUAUUCUAUAUUACAAAGAAGUUUCUGAAAACUCUGUCUGGGUCAGCAUAAGAGAUAGAUAAUUAGAUAUAAUUGUGAUUUUAAUGUAUGUGAAACGCAAAAAACAGCUGCAAUGCGCAUUUUUCAGCGAGCAUGAACCCUAAAAAAACAAGAAGGAUAAGAAAACUAUACUAGAUAACCAAUCAAUCUGAUGACUUUAUUAGAUAGCUAACUAAUACGCACACUAUAACUUGAUAGCUAAUCACUACCAGUGUGUAUCUAUAUUUUUCUGCUUCAAUCCUGAUGCACAGUGUAAAUAAAUUUUUACCCACAUCAGCAGUCCAUUUAUCGAUUCAUCAUCAUCAGAGAAAAGGUAGCCGAGCGCACCUGUUUUGACUGUGCUGCUACUUCUGGGUUGGGGAAAUGGUCGGCACGAUGGCAGUGUAGGAUCCACCUAUCGCUGCAGGGAGACGAGUCCCAAAGAAUGACUGGUAUAAGGUAUUGAUGCUGGGAGACAAACAACAGUGUUAAUAAUAACCCGAGCCGGCGAGGAAGAAUUCAUUUCAACAAGAGUGCCAGAAAAAUGAUUAUUGGACAGGUGCCAUCACACAACUUUAUUUUCUUCAUGACUAGCUGGUGAUACGUAAUAACAAUCACUAGCUGGCAGCUAUUCUCACUUACCAAUUUGACUUAGCAGUAACAACAAGAGCUGUUAGGAGCUGGAUGUUCAUAAUUUUGUGUCCCAGCAACUUAACAACAUUUGCCGUGUAGAUUACCCUGCACAUUGACCAAACCUCCUCCUAACAAGUGAACAUGGGAAACACCAGCCUGCUAGUUGCUAGCUAAGGCGAUAUCGAUCACCUUGUAGUCGCAGUUAGUAUGCAAGACAAGGAAGACGCCUGCAGGAUCACAUGCCGCACGUUCCACACUAGCUAGUUAAUUAGGUGAUCCGUUCGAAGCAUCAACUAACCCCAGAAACAAAGUACGCAGAUGCAUGCAGUCAACAAAGGGUACAUAAACAUGCUUUUCACUUCUCAAGAUAGCAAAUCUUUAUAGGAGUCACCUUUAAUUCCACAGCUGAUCGGUCACCUUUGAGAAUGAGCCGUCGAAUCUAACUGCCCUUCAAGCUCUUUUACCUAAUAUAUGUUUCAAAGGCUGUCAGGUACAAGUGAAAGACAAUAACCAAGAAACAAAAGAAGAGUUUUUGCCUCAUCAAUUAUAUACCUUUUCUUGCAAGUUUUUGCAAAGUUGCUCUUUCCCUUUAGCUUUGGUCUCCAAAUUAUGUAAGUUUUCUUCUAGCUUUCUCAAAGAAUCCUCCUUAAAUCUGCCUUCUUGCUUAGCUCUUUCACGCUAACAUUCAUUCAGCAGGAAAAAUGUAAAUUAUCAGUGUCAAAAGGCACAGAAAAAAAAUUAAUCGUUGGGCUAAGUGGGAAAAAAUAAACAGAGGAAAUGCAUCUUACCUAGAAAAUCUUGGGCGCGGGCGGCAGCGGGGCGCGGGGCCGGCGGCAGCGAGCGGGGGCGGGGGCGGGGCCGCAGCGACGCGCGGGGGCGGCAACGGGGAGCGGGGGUGGCGGCGGCGCAAGGGGGAGGCCGCGCACUGGGGCGGCGGCGCGGGGGCCCGGGGCGCGGGGCGCAGGGGCGGCAGCGGGGCGCGGGGGCCCGGGGCGCGGGGCCGGCGGUGGCGCGUGGGGGCGCGUGGGGGCGCUGGGCCAGCGGCGGCGCGUGGGGCGCGUGGGGGCGCGGGGCCGGCGGCAGCGAGCGGGGCGGGGCGGCAGCGGGGCGCGGGGGCCCGGGGCGCGGGGCCGGCGGGGGCGCGUGGGGGCGCGUGGGGGCGCUGGGCCAGCGGCGGCGCGUGGGGCGCGUGGGGGCGCGGGGCCGGCGGCAGCGAGCGGGGGCGGGGCGGCAGCGGGGCGCGGGGGCCCGGGCCGCGGCGGGGCGGCGGCGGCGGCAGGGAGAUGGGAGGGGCGGCGGCGGCGGCAGGGAGAGGCGGCCCGCCGCGGCAGGGAGAGGGGCGGGCAGGACGGCGGCAGGGGGCGGCGGCAGGGCGGCAGGGGAUGGGAGGGGCGGCGGCGGCCGGGGAUGGGCGGGGCGGCGGCGGCGGCAGGGAGAUGGGAGGGGCGGCGGCGGCCGGGGAUGGGCGGGGCGGCGGCGGCGGCAGGGAGAUGGGAGGGGCGGCGGCAGGGAGAUGGGAGGGGCGGCCGGCUGAGGGAGGGGUAUGCGGAGGAAAGUGCGUCGCUUUGAUGGGAAUCGAGGCCAAGGAUGCCUGCCAGAAAAAGCGGUCGCUAGUGUAUUUUGGAUUCCCGAAGAAGCGGCGGUGGGAACAAUCAAACCCAUAAUCGAAGCGUUUGGCGGGAUUUUCGAUUUUUCUCACCGACAAUCCGAUUUUAAUCGGAACCAAACAGGCUCGAUAUCUGCGGCGUAAAAGUUGCCACGUCUCAAGGGAAGGGAUGCACCCUGUACUACUCCACUACUAUUUGAAACUUGAAAAGAGCAAAAACUCCCUGAUGUCUUGUGCUGCUGCUGUAAGCAGGGGGGAGAUCUUGUCUCGGUCUGCAGAACUGACAAAAGGCGGCGCCGACAGUCUCGGCAUUUUGUUAGGGAUGGGGACAAGCGCCGACACACUGCCACGCCGCGCCCACGCAGGCACGCACGCAGCUACAGAGGAGGGACCGAGAGAGGACCAGCAGGGCACCGCGUUGUUCGAGCAGCUUGGAUCUACGCUGGCUCCUUGUCACGGAAAUGAACAAACCCUCUUGCCAACCAUCGCUCUUGCUUAGUGCUUCGAGAGCUGUAGAGCAUCUAGAGUCUCUCUUUUCCGCGAUGUGAUGUAAACGAGCCAAAAAGGGAAAUUCCAAACACAUCUUUCUACGAGCUCAUAUAGUAUUAGUAGGGGAGUGUGCGCAGUUACAAGGAUGCGAUGCGAAGAAGAUGCUUAUCACGUAGACUUUUGUUCAGAAAAAAAGGCCUGAAACUACACACUUCUGGCCCAGGCCCGUACGAACCUUACCUUUCUCCCGCUAGGCCGGGACUCUGGCCUAGCUGGCAACCUGGCAUUGACUGGCCCACAUCACAUUCCUCAGCAGUCGUAGAACAAAAAAGCCUCGAAAUGGAAUGAUACCCACCGUCACCAACACGACGAUCCGGAUGGAUCAGAAGAUUCAGAACCCGCCCUUCGGCACGAGCUAGCGGCUGCCGGUUUCUCCGGCUUUGCGCUCGCGAAACUGGCGCGAGAAGCAAUCAUCCAUCGUCACCCGUCGGUGCGGCGUGGGCGUUGACUCGCACGCGUUCGUAACGCCGACACGCCGGGGAGGCGGGGAAGCCAUGCCGCCUCCAUGUGGAGAAAUAAACGCGCGCGUCCUGUCUCAACGCCUUCCGUAUAAAUAGACCCGCGAGUUGGGAUCGGGUCUCGCGAUCUAGGCGUUUCGUUUGGCUCCGCUGCGAGCUCGAAUCGCGUGAUCGAUCGAGCGGCCGGCGGCGGAAGAAUCGGGUCGAGAUCAGGCAGGCAGGCAGCCCGGAGGGGAGGAGAUGGCGCAGGGGACGCUGGAGGUGCUGCUCGUCGGAGCCAAGGGCCUCGAGAACACCGAUUACCUGAGUACGCACGCUUCGGCUCUUCCCCCACCUUCGAUCGUGGAAAUUUCUGCAACUUUGCUGUGGUCUCACCGCUCUUGAAAAGUGGCACCAAUUCUUGCUAGCUGAUAAAAACUUUGGGGCUCGUUGCAGGUAACAUGGAUCCCUACGCGGUUCUGAAAUGCCGCUCCCAGGAGCAGAAGAGCAGCGUUGCAUCUGGUAUUCGUGUCUCUAUUUCUCUUCAGUUUCUGUACUCGUAUAUUACAUACUCUAAUUCGCUAGAAAUGUUGUCUUCAAGUUAUAAUGUCAUCAACAGUCUGCAAAAACAGAGUUGCGAUAGCAGGUAGUUCUAGUUCAGGUCAAUGGUACUGGCUUGAAUACUGAUCAUCAGUCAAAUGUAGAACGACCACUGGGAUUCUGUGAAAGGUUAGUUUGAAGAAGUGAAUACAUUGUUUUUCAGGAAUUUCUAUUCAUCGUGCGCGCAUCGCAGAAAACUCUGUUCAUCUUCCUCCUCCAGCUGCGGUGGCCGGACUACGGGGAACGGGGUCGCUGGGGCCGGCUGUGGCCCCCUUGUUUUUCUCGCUGGAAACAUGCAACUGCGUUGCUGAUAGAAACCUAAAACACCGAUGUCAUGUUACCGUUUCAUGUGAACAAGACACACACUCUGCAAGUAAUAUGCCAGCAUAGUUGAAGAGCCGAAGAUAUCUUGAAAAAUUACAACUGAAGAUGUGCAGAAGGAUAGGUUCAAACCAGAGGAACUGUUUAUGUUUACCUUCCCGCAGUAGUCACAUCUUGUACCAACCUACCGAAAAACACAAUAAAACAGGAUCCAUCGUGCCAUUCAUUACCGAAGAGGAAAUGGUCUUGCUUGGCAACCGCGAAGCAUCUUGUGGAACGGUUCUGUACCAAAUGGAUAUUGGAUGGUUUCUUAGUGCUAAUGCUUUUUGUGUCCUUGACUUCCCUAGCAAUUUGUAACUUGAUGUCUUUGUGCACUGCAGGGAAAGGAAGUGAUCCUGAAUGGAACGAGACCUUUGUGUUCACCGUCUCCGACAGCACAACGGAGCUAUUCAUCAAGCUCCUGGACAGUGAUGGUGGCACGGAUGACGACUUUGUUGGUGAAGCAACGUAAGUACUUGUAACCGAUCAUGCACGCACAAGUACAAUAUAUACAAAGUGACACACCACCAACAAUAAAACUGGUUUUCGUCGCUCUUGCGGUUUGCAGUUUUGAAGAUGCUUUGGGAUCCAAACUUUAACGUUUGCAGUGUUCAUUUCAAUUGUGUGCCCUGCUUCUGUAGGGUUCCUCUGGAAGCAGUUUUUACAGAAGGAAGCAUCCCUCCAACUGUUUACAAUGUUGUGAAAGACGAAGAAUAUCGCGGGGAAAUCAAAAUUGGUCUCACCUUCACUCCAGAGGUAAUUGUCUUACAUAGUCACAUCCAUUCGAAAGCUGGAUUUUGAAAUGUGAUACACUGAAAGGUCUGUAUCUUUUAUAAAAAUGUUUUUGGAUUAAACAUAAACAAUCUUUUCCAUAAAACCUUUUUUAAAAAAAGAUCACACGCAAGCGUUAGUGGGUAGUUUCUGUUUGCUAGCAACUUAUGUGAUAGCUGCCGCCGUCUGUGGAUGUCUCUUCUGCCUCCUUUUGCUUUUUCCUGUCUAGUUUCUGUCUAUGGCAAAGAUAAGUACUUUGCGUAUUUUGCGUUAGUGGGUACCUUAUCUCUCUUUCUGUUGCUUUCCAUUAGCCUGAAGAUUAGGAGCAGGGUUUUGCUCUGAAUUCGUCUACAACCUGCUGAAAUGCCUCUUCUGAUCUAUUUGCAGGAUUCUCGUGACCAGGGUUUCUGAGAGCCAGUCUUCAAAAGAAGCACAUUCCAUGAUGUUUUACCACAAUCUGAAAUGUCUGCGACUUGUUACUCUAAAACGAGACCCCGUAUUGUUGGCUUGUUGUGUACUGAAAGUAUGUAAUAAUGCUGUUGGCCACUUGUAUGAACUACGGCUGAAUCCCGCUCUCGAUGUUCAUCAGUUAACCUGUCGUAAUUCCAACAGGCCGUGACUGCCGCAAGAUCUCACCUGUCUGCGCUUUUCUCUGAAGGUGUCCAUUCCGUGCUCAACCGGGACAGGAUCCAAGAAAUCAUCAUCUUGCGUUGCAGUAUGCACUAGGGACUCCGGACAUCUCAUGCAUGGUAAUCAGCACCGUGCAUGCCUUGCUCUGACACCCAUGUCUCGGAUGAUGAGACUCGACCGUGGCUUAGCGUUCACUCAACCUCAUGCAGAGAGAGGCCCCCCGGCCGCGGCCGGUCUUCUUUGACCUUCCAGUUCCAGCUGCUGCACUUCACGGCCGUAUCUCUCUGCCUCCCCCUGUCUCUCUCUGCUGGGCCAGUAGAUUAACCUAAGCCACUAGGAUUUAUUAAUCGUCCUAGGCGACGAUCCUUGCCAUGUGAUCUGGGCGAUAAGAUAUGUAGGGAUGCUGUUGAGGCUGGCGUGGUCGCAAGCGAACAAAAAGGCUAGUAACUCGAAAUCAUAGUUUCAGCGGGGCGGCGACAAAGCACCAGCUUGUCCGGGCUCCCCAUGUCCGCUUGCUCGCCGCGGCGAGCGGAAAUGACGCUAAAGACCCCUGGACUGGCCUGGAGGAAGAAAACACAGGCGGGGUUGCUCCGGGUGCAAACCUCCAGCAACAAAGAAACAAGGCGAGCUCACGAUCAUUGUUGCUGUCUGAAUCAGAUCUUUGCUCGGAAGAACAUGGCAACAAAGAAGCAUGCAUGUACAAUCUCCGCUUAUGUUGGAUUAGAUUCAGAGUUGCUCUACUGCUCUGCUAGCUAAUUACAGUUACGGGCGAGCAUCUAUCGCCGUGUGUGAUUGAGCGAGAGAAAAAAAAAUGGAAGCUGAACCUAGAACGAAAAACCUGCGCGUCCUCGAUGGAUCCUAGUUGUGCAGCGGGUUGGAGCCCUGCGGCACCAGCCUCUUGGACUCGCCGAGCACCGCCUCGGCGUCCCGGGCUGCGGCCGCGGGCGCCGUCGCGCUCGCCGCUGCUACCGUCGUCGUCGCCGCCGCCGCCGCCACCCGGCCGUGCCGCCUCCACGCAGCCACGUCCGCCCUGGGAAUUCGGUGGCCGCCGCAGCAGCCGAACGCGGCGAGCUCGGUCGCCAGCAGCAGAAGCAUCGCGAGCAGCAGCCGCACGCUCGUGCCGUGCCUCUCCAUGCUCGCCCGGAGACGCACGGGGAGGCCGGGAGGGAAGGAGGGGAGGGGCGCUCUCGCUGGCCUCGGACUCGCAGGAGGAGCGCUCUGCAAGUGCAAUGCCCGCACGCGCCGCCGUGUCGCGCUGCGUGUCCAGUUGAGCGUGUCUGGUGGUAGUAGGUGCCGGUGCGCCGGCGCUAAAUAAGAUGGGGCUGGCCACCGUUAGUCCUGACUCCCGAGAGUGAAAGGCUUGUGCUUUGUCUGAACGAAAGGUGGUCACUUGACUCGGCGAAAACAGCAGCCGACCAACCUAACCCCCGUGUUCGUGUGAUCGUGUCGCGCAAAUCUCAUGCGCCUGACGCCUAAUCGCGAGGCAAGCUUGCCGACGUGCCGGAUGGGGUGGCAUCGGUCGUGUCUGGUUGCCUAUGUUUGUGCGGUCAUGUCCCUGUACCUCUCCCUGUGACUCAGUGGUAUGUUAUCGAUAUCUCAGUGACUCAGUGGAAUGAGCGAGGCGAUUGGUUUUUGUGAUGGCUGUGAAGUUACUAUUGGGCUGCAGUUUGUGAAGAGGACCUUGCUUGCAUCACACAGAAAGCUUCAAAAGCGACGCUGCCGCAUUUCUCUGUUGCAUGCUUUUAUCCCGUCGGUCUCACAUCAACUUUGCCCAUCUUUUGAAUAGGCAAACCACUGCUGAAUUACAAGACACAAAAGUUUUGCUAGAAAAAUUACACUAAUUAAGAUGACUGGAGAAGUGGAGAUAGCAGUCAGCAGCAGACUGGCAGAGCUUCCUAUGAUUCUGAGGCAGACACGGGCCAAAGUGUGAAGUGGGCCAGAAGGCGUGUCUCCUCCCAAGCCCGCUGCUUCGGCCCACCAGAUGGGAAAUUAAAAUUAAAAUUCCAAAAAGGGGUGCCGGUUGAGAAAAAUUUGAAAAAUGGGUGCCUCCCGCCCGAUCAUCGGGCGGGAGGUGUGGGGCCGGGGACAUCCCGCCCAACCAGCGGGCGGGACCCUUAAAAAACUUUUUCCAGGCCCCCCGAGGGCCCCUUCGCGAAUAAGAAACUUUUCUUAUUCGCGAACGGGUCCCUGAGGGAGCAUCCCGCCCGGCCAGAGGGCGGGAGGCAUCCCGCCCGGCCAGUGGGCGGGAUGUUUAGAGCCAUUUUUUUUAUUUUCCUUUGGAAUUUAUGAUUUACAAUCUAUUUGAAAUUGAGACUGUUUUCAAAUGCAAUAUUGAUUCGCCAUAUUCUUUUGUAUACAUAUAAAAUUUUAAUUCAAUUUUACGAAGAAGAUUGCUCUAUCUAAAAUUCGUAUGAAGAUGGUUAAACGAUAACGUUUUGCAACGUAGAAUCCGAAUAUUACGACAGUACGAUAGAUCAACCGAUUAAAAAGAAAAUAGUAUCAUACAAAAACAGUUUAAAUAUAAAAAGUUCACCAAAUCAAGAGUAUCUACUCCGCAUGUCCCGAACCUCGCGCUCUCUUGGGCCUCCCGCCCCUAGUCCUAGGCCGUCGGCGUAUGUGGUCCUCCGAGUACGUAAAUGCAUCUGGAGCACGGUGAGGACGAGGCGGAGGAGGUGCAGGUGUGAAGGGGUCAUCCUGGGACUGUGCACCUGGAGCGUCAUAUGUCUGGGAUGGGCCAAUGAUGUCAGGCUCGGCGCCGCCGCCCACCAGCUCUGACCAAGUGGCGGAGCCGCCCUCCCAGGCGUCCCAGUCCGGCACACCGAAUGGACCGCCGUAUGCAGGAGCUCCCGUCGACCAUGCAUGCUGAGCAUAGCCAUAAGAGUACGGUGCAGCUGGCCUCGAGCCUGACGGGAGAGACGGUCCUGGAGCAUAGGCGCCAAACGUCUGAGGCUCCAUUCUUGCAGGAGGAGGUCCCAUUGCCGUCGAGUGCAUGACUACAAAACGAAAUGAAAUUAGUCGUGUAAAUCAUAAGUGAUUGAAAUGGCAAUUAUGAAGAACUUACAGCUUGAACUAGCGGCAGUACCGCUGGACGCUGCGUGCGGUGCUGUAGAGGUCGACGGGCCAGCUGUGUACACGUGGGCGGACGCAUGAGAUGAACUGGAGGUCCCCACGUCGUCUCUGCCGCGACACGUCAGUGCACGUAACGCUCGCGUCAAGCUGUCUUGAAUCUUACGGAAGCUGUCCUUGUACUGUGCCUCCGGUAUACGCACUCCACGUUCAAUCAACGUGAUCUGAGAUGUAGCUUCGACCUCCGCGAAGUUGAUCAGAUCGAUCUGCAUACGUAAUGGGAUGCAGAUUACUAUUGGUAUCGAUAUUUUAGAAAAAAUAUUUAAUAAUUCAAGUUGCGAAACACGUACCGCGCCACGCUGGUCCUGAUCACGGUACGAGGGAUACGUGUCAGAAAUGGUCGGCUGGUGCUGAUCCUCCGCGUCAUGAAUAUGUGAACGAGUGACGUACGGACGCGUACGAAGGAGGUACCAGCUCAUCUGAAAAAAUUACACAACUGCAUCGGUACUCCUCGUAUACAGAAACGUAUAACAGUAAAUUAAAGAGCUUAAAAGAACUUACCCGUCGAUCGGUCCAAAGCGAACCCAUCGUGGGGCUAUCCUCGUCCCACAUCCCGUACAUCUCGGGUGGAUAAGGCUCUUCGCUGAUUAGGGGACGCGCUAUGGCGAAUCGCUCGUACGACCAUAGCUGCAGCAGAAGUGGGCAGCCUGUGAUGACGGCAGUCCUCUCCGUCUUCAAACAGGCCUGGCAAAGACCUCGGUACGUCGCAGCAAGCACUGCCGAUCCCCAGCUCCACCCAGGUACCUGGCCCGGCUCCGCAUCCGCAAUCGCGCGCGCGUAUUGCAUGAGCACCUUGUCCACGUAAUUGCCGGUAGAGUUGCAGAAAAGAGUCCAGCCGAACAACCAUAACAGAUACGCCUCCAGGUAUCGUGACACCUCGUACUGCCCAGCCAGAGGGUGCAGAUCCUGAGCCUGUAAUAUAUUUGUUCAAAACUUAGAGGUACUCACAUAUGAUUCAAUUAAAUUAAAUAAAAAAUAACUGGACGUACCCUAAAUUGUAUUACCCAACUCUUGGCGGGGCCGGGCAAAUCAGGUACGUUCACAACAAGUGGCGGGUUCGCGGGACCAAACCGCUCCUGCAGCUCCACCCUGUCAAGCCAGCGGUCGUCCAGGUGCAACAACUCCUUUGCUACACGAGGGCGCAACUCGUGAAGCUCCUGCCCCUCCACCGCAGCCAGGUACGACCUGUGCCGUUCAUCGAUGUGCGCGUCAAGGAGCUCUGGUGUCUGCGCCAUAUCUGCAUGAAAAAUAUAAGUACCGUAAGACACAUUCCUACGAACAAUUGAAAAUACUAUAAACUAUUUACAAUAGAACUAACCUAACAAAUAUUUAUAAAAGCUAUUCAAAAUACUGAAAUCUAUUCAAAAUAUAACUACCCUAAAAAAUAUAUCUAAAAACUACUGCAAUUAUAAAAACUAUUCAAAAUAUAACUACCCUAAGAAAUAUUUCUAAAAGCUAUUCAAAAUACCGAAACCUAUUCGAAAUAUAACUAACCUAAAAAAUAUAUCUAAAAACUACUGCAAUUAUAAAAACUAUUUAAAAUAUAACUAGCCUAAGAAAUAUAUCUACCAACUAUUAAAAUACUCAAAACUAUUUAAAAUAGAACUAUCCUAACAAAUAUUUCUAAAAACUAUUGAAAAUACUGAAUUCUACGUAUAACUACCCUAACAAAUAUUCGUAAAAAUAAUUAAUAAUUAUACGAUUAUAAUACCUCCAAACCGACGUGUGGACAGGGCUUCGCCGCUUCGUCUCCUCUCUUCCUCUCCUCUCCUCCUUUUCUUUUUUCUGAUUUUUGAUGAAUUUUAUGAGAAUUAGGGGGUGGGUGGGGGCUUAAAUAGUGGGGGGGGGGGACAUCCCGCCCGUUGGGAGGGCGGGACGUGGGCCUCCCCCCCGUUGGGGGGGGCGGGAUGCCCCCAAUGGGCGGGAGGCCCACGUCCCGCCCUCCCAACGGGCGGGAGGCCCCUCGGAGGACAUCCCGCCCGUUGGAAGGGCGGGAUGUCGCCUGACUUUUCGCAAAAAGGCCCCUGCGAAGAGGAUUUCCUCCCCCCGCCGACCCCCCGCCCGUUGGAUGGGCGGGAUGCUUCAUCCCGCCCUUUCAUUGGGCGGGAGGUGCCCAUUUUUCGAAAUUUCCCAAACCGGCACCCUUUUUUUGAAUUUAAAUUUCUUUUUAACCCUUUUUUUAAAAAAAUUCAAUGGCCAGUGGGCACGCUUUUCAGCAGCCCGGCCCAAACCCAACCAAGGACAGACCGGAGAAGACACGGUGCCCUGCUUUGCUCUGCUGCCUCCCGCACCACAAGCCCGUGCGCGCCGCCAAGUUUGCCUUUAUUCUCCCACAGGCCACAGCAGUUUUCGCCGCGGACGGCUCCACUUCGCCUCCAAGUUUCGCGGGGCAGGAGGGGCAGGGUGUGUGAUUGUGAAGAGUCAGAGGCGGAGCAGUCGGCGUGCGUGACGGCUCGGUGACGCGGUGGGGAUGGAGUACCGCGACAAGCUGGUGCUCGCGCCCAUGGUCCGCGUGGUAACUCCCCUCGACCCGAGCCCCUCCCACGAUUCCGUCCUCUGGAUUUACUUAGCCGUCUCUCAUCCGGGGGCAUACGACUUCGGAUUUGAGCUUUAGUCUCAAGCUCUGGAUCUCUAGAUUUAGGUCUCUGUUUUCUUAUGAACCUAAUUUGCUCUCGAUCCAGCUCUGCGCCCUUUUGUUUUAUGUCGGAAGUGGAAUAAUUAUGGGACUAAGCUGUGUCUUGGUAACCAUGCUGUUGGAUAAAUGACUGUAGUAAGCAUGCGACUAGGUUGUGGUUUGGUUUCCGCUUUUCCUGCUGCCAAUGAAGGAAUGAAGUUAUUAAUCAUUUCGUGGAUUACAAGCUACUGUAGUAAUAAACAAGUACUGAAUUAAUCAAAUACAUUUUAGUGGGGUUAGUUAUUUUUGCCAGUGCUAAAUUAGGGCGCUUAAAUUUUUCUCUCCUGUACAUCUGUUAAGUUUAUGAACGGACAAUGUCAUUUAGUAAAUGAAAAUAGGCACCAUUUUCCUUUACCAAUAAAUUCCCAUGCUUCCACUGCCAGCAUCAUAGUGAGUAACCAUUUACAACUUCAGAGGUUUUGAUUAACAGCUCAAGAGUACCAGCACUCCCUUUGGCAUGGGUCAUGUUGUACAUCUCAUGCCUAUGAAGCUUUUUUACUUAUCUACUCUGUGUGUCUGAAUUUUCCUUUCCAAACUUACUAUGUAACAUCUGCCUUAUUUUCUUACUUAUCUUUGCAGGGCACCUUGCCAUUCAGGCUACUGGCUGCUGAAUAUGGUGCUGAUAUUACUUAUGGAGAAGAAAUAGUUGAUCACAAAUUCUUGAAAUGCGAGCGUGUUAUAAAUGGUAUCAUAGUUCGAUUCAUAUUUGGCAUUCUGAUGUGAUCUAUUGGUCCUGCAACUAUCUCAAUUACAUUAGCAGUUUGGUCUACUCAUCAUGCAUCAAUUGCUGUUGCUAUCUAAUAUGUUGGGUAUCAUAGUAUUGCAAAUAACUUUACCCCAUAAUAUUGCAUCUGAAGUUGAUAUUGGAUAUAUUCAUCUUAACUGACUCUUGGAUGAUAGAUGUCUUGUAAUUGGGGAUCGGGGAAGGAUAGGGCAAAUGGCUGAAUGAGUUUAUGAAAUUUAUGAAUGAUUUAUGAUUUAUGAUGUGAAGUGAAUGCUAUUUACAUGUGAAGCUAGGGCGUUUUCCAUAGCACUUCAAGUAGUUGUCUUCUUUGUUCCAUCUGCUGUUUAGAUUUAUUGGACUUGCACUGGGCUGUAUAAUUUGACACAUCCUAAUCACCUUGCAAAUUGUUUGCCAGAAUCUCUUGGGACUACUGAUUUUGUUGAGAAAGGGACUGACAACGUAGUUUUCCGUACAUGCCCACAAGAAAGGGGUAGGGUUGUAUUCCAAAUGGGCACAUCACAUGCUGUGAGAGCACUUAAAGCUGCUGAGAUUGUGUAAGUUUUGUUUCUGAGACCUUUUAGCAUCCAAGUUCUGAAGUAAGCUGACAUAAAUGCUGUGUUUGUGCCAGGUUUGGUACAUAAAUUUGCUUGAUCUGAUAGCAUUAGAUAUAUGUUACUUCUUGUGUUUUGCGUAUUUCUUUAACUAUAGUAUUUCAUCCUCUCCAGGUGCCAUGAUGUUGCUGCUAUAGAUAUCAACAUGGGUUGUCCAAAGUCUUUCUCCCUUAGUGGAGGGAUGGGUGCCGCAUUACUCUCCAAACCUGAGCUUAUACAUGAUGUACUUGUCUUAAUUGUUUCCUUUUGCUUUUUCCAUACCCCAUAUAUCCACCGUGCUUACUCAGGCUAUGCAUAGUAAUGUAGAUUUUGACAACAUUGCGGAGGAACUUGGACACAACAGUGACAUGUAAAAUCCGUCUUCUGAACACACCUAAGGACACUGUGGAGUUGGCACGCCGCAUUGAAAAAACUGGUGUUCCUGCUCUUGCUGUACAUGGAAGGUAAUGACAUAUAGAAUUCUACUUUUGAGCUAGUGGUCUGGUUGAUAAUUGCAACCAUUCCUACUCUAGCGUUAGAAGCGUGCGAUGUGCCAUCUGCAUUUUUCAAUCAUGUCCUUAUGUCUGUCAAGCUAAAUUCUUGAGUUUGAGAUUUCUGGUUAAUUGCAACCAUUCCUACUCUCGCGUCAGGAGUGCUAUUUGCCAUCUGCAUUUUUCAAUCGUGGUCCUAAUGUCUGCCAAGCUAGAUUCUUGAGUUUGAGAUUCCAAAUGUCCCUGGCGGCACGGGUGAGGUGGUUGGGUUGCUUUUUCCCCCCCUUGUUGUGGUCCCAUCUUGGGGUGGGUGUUUCAGUGUUGUAUUGCCUUCUCUUUGAAUAAAUGGCAAAGCUCCCCUUGGUUUGCAAAAGGAUUCAAAAUGUAAAAUUUAUUCAUAUGCAGAGCUGCAGAGUUAUUGGCUCAUAGUGUCGUUAUAGUGUCUGUAGUAUGUAGCUCAAUUUCUUUGGAAGUUCAAGUUGUAUGACUGUCUGGUACUCUUGUCAUGAAACUGAAUAUACUUUUUUUUUACUAUAACGAAACUGAAUAUGAUGCAGGAGAUGUCAAAUAUAAAUAUUUCAUUUUUUUUCUCUGCUCUAAUUUUAUUUUUGGAUACAAAUCAAAAUUUUGUUAUUUUUUUUUGGAUAAUUCCCUUCCCCAGAACCCACCUCCUCUGGAAACUUUCAGUACUGAGUAUGCCAUUUUAUAACUGGUUUCCCUUAUGUUGGUCCUCUUUGAAACUACAGAAAGAUUAAAGACAGACCAAGAGAUCCUGCUAAGUGGGAUGAGAUAGCUGAUGUUGUGUCAGCCCUGUCAAUUCCAGUUAUAGCUAAUGGAGAUGUCUUCGAGUAUGAGGAUUUUAAAAGAAUUAAAGAUGCUACAGGUUUGUGUUUCUAUUAACACUGCCAUUUAUCGUCAGUUUGUGUUUUAAUUUGGGUUCUUCAGCUCUAUCAGUUAACAAUCUUGAAACUGCCUUUUAAUAUGCAUUUAUUGGCACUUCCACAAUACUUCUGAAUGCCAUCAAAUAUUAGUCAUAACUUUGUUAUUCAUGAUGAGCAAGCAUGCAGGAAACAUGGUUUCUGAAAAACUGUGAAUUGAUAUUACUGCAUCCUUGCUACCUGUGUUGCUUAAGGUGCAUUGGCAGGAUCUUUGUUUCUUGUUAUUAUCAAUGAUAGUUGAUAUCUUUGUUCCGAUAACUGUUAGGUGCCGCUUCUGUUAUGGUUGCUAGAGGUGCCUUGUGGAAUGCCUCUAUCUUUUGUGCCAAAGGAAAAACACCUUGGGAAGAGGUCAAAAGAGAGUAUGUAAGAAAGGUAUUUAAUUCCAGUGUUGUUUGUUUAUAUGAUGUCCUAUUCAUUUCGAAUUUGUGCAGAAACAUUCGAAACUUGUAUGAGUGCCUACCAAAGUUAGGAGUUGCGUGUUUUUCUGUUUGCAUUUAGUACUGAUAUCAUAUUAGUCUUUGGUGGCAGAGCGUAUUGUGGGAUAAUGAUGUGAAGAGCACGAAACAUACCUUGAAAGAAAUGAUAAUGCACUAUUCUUGCCUUGAGCUGCCUGAAGGGAAAGGUGUUAUAAAAUGUGACACUUCUGCAGAUUUAGCGUAAGUUCAGCCGACUUUCAUUUGUUUUCUUUUGCACAUGAUGUGUUAACAAAGGAGUAUAUUUUUACAUUAUUUGUCCAUCUAUGCUACUUGGAGGUUUACAACUCGUUUGCUAGUUUACUCAUCAUAAUGCUAUUCAGGUUGUUGUGUUAUGAGGACCAUUUGUAUAACUAGAACAUUUCCUUUGUUAUUCCAUGGUUCCAUUUACCUGGAUCCAAAUCUUUUUGACACAAGUGACCUGUUCAAGACAUGUUUCUGACAAUACCCCCCCUCCUCUCUCUCUCUCUCUCUCUCUCUCUCUCUGGCAAUGCAUAUCACCUCAGUGCCUUGAAUUUUGGAAACCACAUCAUGGAGCCUGUAGUUGUUCUAUUCGAUCUCGAUCUGCAGUAUUUUUUUAUGAAAAUUCAGCAGAUUUUAUUUUAUUUAAAAUAUUCAUAAGAGGAUGAUUUUCAUGAAAUCACUUAUUCUGCAACAUAGUCCACAUAUCCUGCAUGUCAAUUCAUGUUAAUGACCAAUUUCUUCAAAUGUUUCAGGAGACUAUACGGGGAGGAGGAAUACUAUAAUUUCGUUGUUUCGAAUAGGAAAUGAACGCAAUUUGAUGUUGUGAGAUCUCUUGUGGACCAGGUAUCUAUUUUCAUGUACAUUGGGUCUAGAGCUAGUGAAAAGGAAAUAAAAUAUUGUUGGAAAUUAAUGAAAUUUGGUAGUUUCAUAUAUCGGAGUACUUAUAUUACUGCUAAUAACAAUUACAUGCACAAAUAAGUAUGUUUGCUGACCAGGAUUUCAAAAAAUUAAACGGUAUUUGCUCCACUUUGUUGGCCAGGAAGUCUUUCCUAACAGUGGCAUGUUAGCUGGUCUAUAUGGUAUAUAAAUUAGAGGUAGAGGCUGUGCCUGUCAGAUAUUGAUCAAGAAGACAAGAACUGGCCAAACUAAAUGGCAUUUUCCCCAGAACCAAGCAGAACUGGUGAAACCUGUCUGGAACUUAAAGAAAGAUGUUGUUCACUUAUAUGUGUUAUAACUUGGUAUAACUUGUUGUUCACCUAAAUUGUAACUUUAAAAGUUUUUUUAAUGAUAUACAGUAAAAAAUUUGCUAUAGUUCAAUGAUCGUUAGGAAAUCGAGUAAUGCUUUCGACUUCAUGAAUGAUUGAACCUGUAUUUCUGCCUAACAAGCCUAGUCUCUCUGAAAAAUGUACUACCAAGAACCUUUAUAACCAAAUCUGUGUGUCUGAAAAAUGUAUUACCGUAAGCAACAUAUUGUAAUGCAAUGUAAUGGCUGAAAUCAAUGUGGAAUGGCACUUCUUCCUGUGAAUAACUUUGGAUUAAAAGUUUGGCAUUGUAGCUCCAGAUUGGCUAGUGUAGCUUGCAGUAUUGCCUUGAUAAGGCAUCGCAAUUUUUCAGUUCUUUGGGCCUGUUAAAUUGUUUAAUGAUCUUUUCACUUUUAUUUGCCAUCUACGCUGAGAUUCUCUUGCAGCUUCUGCUUGGAUUCCUAUCUCACUUCUAUUAAUGGGUUUCAGGGGGGAUCCAUCCUGCCAUCAAAGAACACGAGGUUAUUUGUUUUGGCGCUGUCUGGUCUAAGUCCACUGGUCCCGUGAGGAUUGACAAAUUGACUGUCUUCUUCGGGGCACUGGGGCUGUUGUUGUACUGGUAAUGGAUAGGUAUAUACCUGGAAUUAAAGAAAAAACACCAUAUUAUCUGAAGCUCAUACUAAUUUAUUUGGUACUAUAGAUCAUGAAAUCUUUUCAUGUAUUGUUGGUGGAAAUAUUAUGGUGUUUUUUUGGUGGUAAUUCAAGUAGACUUUGAUAUGUUGGCUGUAUUGUUACAGUCCGAUGGUGUAACAAAUAUUGAAAGUUUUCAUGGUAUAUCUUUGAUUUGCAAGCCUGGCAGUUAUUAUUUGUCACCUCACAUCGUGGCUCGUGCAGUAUGUUAAUGCCUCAUACAGUCAUACAGAUCAAGCUCACAAUGACUUUGGAGGGGAGGUGCUUUGGCACCUCUACUCCCCAAACAGUUGUGGUCUGACACUUGUUGCUGCAUGGUUGCUCAGAAUGGAAAAAAAAUUGUUACACCAAAUGCUUUGGUGGGGCUUCAGUCUACUUCAAAUGCUUUCUAUCUGCAUCUGGAUGGGUAAAAGCCUGCAUCAGCCAUGACAUCGCAGAUGAUUAUACUGACACGUGCAUCCCACGGUAUUCCCUUCCAGAAAUCCUCUUAUCUUUCAUAUAGUUUCUGCACAUAGACCAACAAUUGAUGUGGAUGCCAUCUUCGUGGUGCCCAAGAUGCAGAAAUGUCGUGCAAAUCAAGUCAUGUUACCGAAGAAACGCUCGAGACAUAACUAAGUCGACAAGCCAAACCUAGCGUUCAGUUCUCGUGGACCGAAAUGGCUGCAGACCAGAAAAAUCGUAUCGUGAACCGUUGGGCCAAAUAACUUUUGAUACCUUCAGAACGUAUGUACUGGAAAGUUCUGAAGCUUGGCUUCAAGGCUUAAGCAAGUUGAAUUACACGUCUGAGUAAGAAAAGAAAGGACGAAAUCUGCAGGCUCCCUUGAUACCUCAUGCAAGUUCAGUGAUUCAGUCGCUCUCGCUCAGUCAUGUGGAGCGGCUUGCGAUCUGAGAGAUCAAACCUCAAUCUCCAGUUGUCAUCAGCAAUUUAUCGUCUGAACAUUAAGCUAAACCGAGCACAUCUUUACAUUGAGGUCAUUCACACUAUAUUCAGGCGCAGAACUACUAUAUAGUAUAAGGUUCUGAAUUGCAGUCUCGAAAAGGGAUGGUGAGGGUCUGAAGUCUGAACUAGAACAUAACGAGAGUAAACUCUGGGUAGGUAACUACAGUCAAGUCACCCGACGAUCAAAGAUUCAAGGCUCAUCUCCCUCCGGAGAGGUCAGAAAUGGCGCUGGCGCCCGUCGUGGACGUCAUCGGGAACGCCAUGACGUAGGGGUCGAAUCCCUGGUCCUGCAUAAGCGCCAGCAUGCUGAGGCCCUGGUACGUCGGAGAGAGCUCCGGCAGCGGCACGUCGCCGUCCAGGUACUGCACCACCUGCCGCAUCCCCGGCCGCGCCCCCGGCAGCGGGUGCGAGCACAGCAGGCCCAGCCUCAGCACCAGGCUCGCCUCGCCCUCGGCGAAGUCGCCCCCCAGGCGGCGGUCCACCGUGUCCGUCACGGCCCCGGCGCGCCACCGGUCGAGCACCCAGUCCACCAGAACCUGGCGGUUGUCGCGCGCGUCCUGCACCACGGGCUUCCGCCCGCACGCCACCUCCAGCAUGAAGGCGCCGAACGCGAACACGUCCGACGCCUUGGACGCCUUCCCCGUGUGCCCCAGCUCCGGCGCCAUGUACCCCAUGGUGCCCACCACGUGCGUCGUGUGCGGGUCGGUGCCGUGGUCGUACAGCCGCGCCAGCCCGAAGUCGCCGAGGCGGCCGCUCAUCUCCUUGUCGAGCAGGACGUUGCUGGCCUUGAUGUCGCGGUGCACCACCACCUGCUCCCAGUCCUCGUGGAGGUAGAGCAGGCCGGAGGCGACGCCCUUGAUGACGCGGAACCUCUGCGCCCAGCUCAGGGGGACCUUGCUCAGGUCGUGGAGGUGCCUGUCGAGGCUGCCGUUGGGCAUGUAGUCGUAGACCAGGAGGAGCUCGCCCUUGCGCCGGCAGUAGCCGUGCAGCUUCACGAGGUUGCGGUGGCGGAGCCGGCCGAUGCUGACGACCUCGGCCACGAACUCCCGCAUCCCCUGCCGGGACCCGUGCGCCACCUUCUUCACCGCGACCUCCACCUUGGACGCCAGGACGCCGCGGUACACCCGCCCGAAGCCGCCGAUGCCGAGCAGCCGCUUGUCGCUGAACCCGUCGGUGGCGUGGUACAGGUCCUUGUACGAGAACCUGUGCGGGCCGAACGUGGCCUCCCAAUCCUCCUUCACCUCCGCGUACAUGCGCCGCCGCCGCAGGAGCGCGAAGACGGCGGCGCCUACAGCGAACACGAGCACCGCCGACGCGAUCGGCAGGACGAUCUCCAGCGUCUUGGACCGCGGCUUGGGGGUCGUGACCGGCAGUGUGGGCAGGGAGGAGAUGUUCAGCGCGGGGGCGGCGCCGUCCAUGCUGAAGCUCCAGCCGAGCACGUAGUGCCGGCAGAAGAGGAUGCCGGACGCCGACGAGAAGCCUACGUACGCGGUGUCUUCGAUGACGGAGGAGAGGUUGACGGUGGUGGAGAGCAGGGGCUUCUUGGGCCGGGGCGCCUCCAGGGGCGCCAUGGUGACAUUGACCUGCAUGGUCUGGCCGUCGAAGUCCACCCACACCUGCAUCGCCUUGCGGCUCACCAGGCUCAAGUUCCGGAACGCGCCGCCGGUGGCGUCGUCGUAGUAGCCGGCGUUGUCGGCGUCGACGGAGUUGAGCCCGUUGACGUCGAUCCCGACGUGGUUGCCGCUCAUGUCGUUGAACUCGGAGUUGAGGAUGGUGUCGAACUCGACGGCGAAGAGGUGGUUGGUGGCGUUGCCGUUGGUGGCGGAGCUGACGAGGCCCAGGAACUGGCCCGGCAGCGCGGAGGUGAAGUUGCGGCUCUUGGCGACCACGAACGCCAUGCCGUGGCUGCUGAGGUCCACGUACGCGCCGAUGAUGCCGAUGACGAAGGCCGUGGAGAAGGACCGCAUCGCCGUGCCGUUGGGCGUCCGGUGGAACCGCAGCGGCGCCGGGUAGAAGGCGUGGCCCUUGAGCUGGGGGGUGGCGUUAGUGAGCAGGAGCAGCCCGUCGGGCGUCACCGUGGCCAUCCCGUCCAGGGUGAGGUUCGCGCCCUUGAACCCGUCGAAGACGAACCGCUCGUCGGCCGCCGUCGUCACCGCAGGCAGGAGCCCGCCGACGCCGAGGAAGAGAAGCAGAACAAGCAGCGGCAUGGCUGCAGCGCCAACCGGUCUCCGUGCAGUGCAGGCUCGGGACUACCAGUCAGUCUACCACUAACCUCGAGCAAAGGUGGUUCGGCUGUGGCCUCGGUGGUGGCGCUCAGUGCUCCCGGCGGUGUUUGUUUAACACGGCACGGCCGUCGGCCGCCGUGUGCGUCUUCACCUCUUGGCCUCUGGCCGUGACGCUGACGCCGGUGUGAAGUUGACCAGAUUCGCACGUCAGGACUCGGGAGCACCACUAAAUCCUCAUUAGUCAUCAGCACCUACCUGCCGCUCCCGCGCUGAUGGCGAGGGGAGUAGGAGGGAGGGGUAAAAUUAAAAAAUCUCUCAUCUCGGGCCGUCGCUGUCCGAAUCACCUUGCGAAAUCAUACUGCCAUUGGAACGAACAAUCAGGUGCGUGCGUGCGGCCGAUGGUGUGGACGCGUGCGGCGUGCCCCCGUGUGCCGUGAUGCGGGUGCCUUGCCCCUCGGUUCCCAGCCGGCCGCUGAUCGGAUGCCGGAGGUCAGCGGGCAGCCGCAGGCCGCGGCGUCAAGCUGUCGUUCCCGGCCUCCUGUUUCUCGCGUCCCCACGGACGGAAGUCGCCGAGGACGACGCGACCGCCGGACUCGGGAGGACGCAAUUACGCGAGCGCAAUAACUUCGUCCCGUCCAGUCCCGGCCGCUCACCUUCUGCCAGCUCACCUGCCCCUGCCGCUGCACACCCCCCCCCCCCCCUGCCCUCUCGUGACCAGGCGGCGAGGCGAAGCUUCCUUCGCCAUGCCCCCUAGCCUUUUCCGGUCAGCCUUCGCAUCCCCGUGGGGGCCGGGGCCUGUCGCUUGCCCGCUCCACCCCCACCACCACCGGCCUCAUCUUCUCCGGUGGUUGGGGCUCGAAGAGACGCGAGUCGCCCUAGGGCCAGCCACCAAGAAAUUCACACUGAUCCGCGGCGAGCGUGCGAGAUUUUAGCGCUGAUGUAAUAUGCGAGCCCCUUUUGACUACCUGCGAGAAACCUUAAACAACCUGGCUUGGUAACGAAGCACAGCAGGAAGAAAAGCCAGCGGCGCGGAGUCAAAAGGGGCGCAGCCCACCAGACGGCACUAACCCAACUUGGCUACGCUCGCCCAGUACUGGUGCUGUGUGACGCUUAACCACUCACUGCUGUCAUCGCUGGCCAGGAUAUUUUAUCGGCAUUUUCCUUGACUUGGAUCAGCAUCUUCAGUAGUGCUGCAGAAGAAAUUCCGCGGGACGCGCCUGUCGCCCGGCAAACCUGUGCCUCGUACUGUGACCGUGGACGGGUCUGAUUGGUCCGCGUCACCAACGAACGCCCCUCUUGUGAAUUGCGAUCAGGCGGCCGCGUUGAACGGCGAGUCCUCGUCGGGGGUCAAAGCAUCGCCGCCGUUCACACCAGACAUUGCGAGCCACAGAGGGCCCAGGCGGAAGCUCCGUCGUGAGCUACUCCGCUACUUCUUCAGUCCAGAAUUGUUUCCGUGGAGAGAGAGCCCGUCAAUCUCGCAGCGUGGUCUGGUACGCCAUGGGGUGUUUCCGCUUGGUCGUCAUCCUCCUCCUCGCCGCGGCCUGCUCCGACCAUGCGGCCGUGCUGGCCGCCGAGGAGUUCGCCUACAACGGCUUCGGCGGCGCGGGCCUCGCGCUCGACGGCAUGUCCGUGGUGGCGCCGAACGGGCUCCUGGUGCUCAGCAACGGCACCAGCCAGAUGGCCGGCCGCGCGUUCCACCCGGCGCCGGUCCGCCUGCGGGACCGCCCCGGCGGCGCCGUCCGGUCCUUCUCGGCGGCCUUCGUCUUCGCCAUCGUCUCCAACUUCACCGUGCUCAGCGACAACGGCAUGGCGUUCGUGGUCGCGCCCAGCACCAGGCUCUCCGCCUUCAACGCCGGCCAGUACCUCGGCGUCCUCAACGUCACCGACAACGGCAGGGACAGCAACCGCGUGCUCUUCGUCGAGCUCGACACCAUGCUCAACCCGGAGUUCCAGGACAUGAACAGCAACCACGUCGGCGUCAACGUCAACAGCAUGAGGUCGCUGCACAACCACAGCGCCGGCUACUACGACGACGCCACCGGGGUGUUCAACAACCUCAGCCUCAUCAGCCGCCAGCCCAUGCAGGUCUGGGUCGACUACGACGGCGCCACCACGCGGCUCGACGUGACCAUGGCGCCCAUGGGCGUGCCCAGGCCCAAGAAGCCGCUCAUCUCCGCGCCGGUCAACCUCUCGGCGGUCGGGACGGACACCGCCUACGUCGGGUUCUCGGCGGCAACGGGCGUCAUCUACACGAGGCACUACGUCCUGGGAUGGAGCUUCGCCAUGGACGGCGCGGCCCCGCCGCUGGACACGUCGAAGCUGCCGUCGCUGCCGCGGUUCGGGCCCAAGCCCCGGUCCAGGGUGCUGGAGAUCGUGCUCCCGAUCGCCACCGCGGCGUUCGUCCUCGCGCUGCUCGUCGGCGUCUUCCUGAUCGUGCGGCGGCGGGUGAGGUACGCCGAGGUGCGCGAGGACUGGGAGGUGGAGUUCGGCCCGCACCGCUUCUCCUACAAGGAGCUCUACCACGCCACCAAGGGCUUCAAGAACAAGCAGCUGCUCGGCACCGGCGGGUUCGGGAGGGUGUACAAGGGCGUGCUCCCCAAGUCCAACUUCGAGAUCGCCGUGAAGAGGGUGUCGCACGACUCGAAGCAGGGGAUGAAGGAGUUCAUCGCCGAGGUCGUCAGCAUCGGCCACCUCCGGCACCGGAACCUCGUGCAGCUGCUGGGCUACUGCCGCCGGAAGGGCGAGCUCCUCCUGGUGUACGACUACAUGUCCAACGGCAGCCUCGACAAGUACCUGUACGACAAGUCCAAGCCCGUCCUCGACUGGGAGCAGAGGUUCCAGAUCAUCAAGGGCGUCGCCUCCGGCCUGCUGUACCUCCACGAGGACUGGGAGCAGGUGGUCGUGCACCGGGACAUCAAGGCGAGCAACGUGCUCCUCGACGGCGACAUGAACGGCCGGCUCGGGGACUUCGGCCUCGCGAGGCUGUACGACCACGGCGUAGACCCGACAACCACGCACGUCGUCGGCACCAUGGGCUACCUCGCCCCCGAGCUCGUGCGCACGGGGAAGGCGACCCCCGUCACCGACGUGUUCGCCUUCGGCGUGUUCGUGCUGGAGGUGACCUGCGGGCGGCGGCCGCUGGGGUGCAUCGCGCCGGACGACCAGAACGUGCUGCUGGACUGGGUGCAGGAACACGAGCGCAAGGGCGCGGCGCUGGACACGGUGGACCCGCGGCUGUGCGGCAAGUACGACGCCGACGAGGCCCGGCUGGCGAUCCGGCUGGGGCUCGCGUGCGCGCACCCGCUGCCCGACACGCGGCCCGGGAUGCGGCAGGUGGUGCAGUACCUGGAGGGCGACGCCGCGAUGCCGGAGGCCGCGCCGACGUACGUGAGCUACACGGUGCUGGCGCUGAUGCAGAACGACGGGUUCGACUCGUUCGCCAUGUCGUUCCAGUCCACGGCCACGUCCAGCGCCAGCCCCGUCUCCGGCGGGUUCUCGGCCGUGUCGGGCCUCUCCGGCGGGAGGUGAAGAUUGAACAAGACGGUCGCUUUCACAGCGACAAGAGUACUAGUUUCUUGCGCGUCAUGGCGAUGACUUGACCUGGCAUUUCUGUAACAUAGUUGUACCUCGACUGGGUAAAAUUUCUAGCAGUACAGGUUUAGUACCGGUAAGUACAAUAACCGUGGACAGUAAAUAUUAGCGUGAUGAUGUAACCUGGAGUGCGAUAUGCGAGGCUCGAAGCAGACAUUCAACGAUCAACGUCAUGUUCCAAAAAAAAAAAAAGAAAGAUCAGCGUCAUGAGCAAACAUCAGCGUCACGGCAUCUCUGAAAGAGAAGCGGACAGACCUGUCCAUCUUAUCUUUUGACCGCAGGACAGCACUGCCACGGCGGCGCGGCCGCUGGCAUCGCACUCGCGGCCGCCGCGCUGUUACUUGAAUAUGUUAUCGCGACGCCACCGGCGUGGCGUGCUUGUCGGUUGUCGCCGGCGGCGGCCACAAGAUGGCGGCGACGGCCGUUGGUUUCAUCCGGCAUCGGGCAGCGCGAUGCGAUAAUGAGCGCACGGCCGGGCUGGGCUUCCGCCGCGCCCGUUGUUUUGUGUCCAAUUGCAGCACGCACGCAUGGUGCUUGUGUUGAUUCGUAUGGUUGCUUGCUACGUUGGCUGCUUGGCUGCACGCUUGUUUGUUCAUUGCCUGUUCCCACCAAACUCAUUCAUAUAAAAAAUACCUCCUCAGUCUCAAAAUAUAAAUAUAGCUACUUCUAACAUUUAAAUUUUAUCUCAUAAUAUAGCUAUUUUAAGUUUCCAAAUGGAUUUUUUAUGAGAGGUCUAAGAUGCCCCUCCUUGCAUGCAAAUUAAUUAUAGCGUGGAGAUCUUCAUGCAACCCAAAUAGCAAAGCUAUAAUUAUUCUCUUAAUUAGUUCAUGAUAACUAAAGAAGUAUCAUAUAGACUUUUACUCAUCAUUCUUAAUUAAAAAAUCUAAAAGGGAAGUAGCUAUAGAGGGAGCUAGCACUCCAAACUCAGAGGAUUGUUUUUGUUGGGUGUGACCGUGUGAGCACGGAGAAUUCUUCUGGUGAGCAGGUUCCGUACAAAAGCGCAAAGGGUCCAAGGUUUUGACACCAUCCUCGUGCUGAGAGCCUUGCUUUGUUGUCGUUUGAUGCGAUUUUUCACAGGUUCUAGAAACGUUGCCAUUCACGAUUUCCGCGCACGCAACCAAGCUGACCCGGGGCCGGGAGUCCUGGUGCAGGCAGGAGCCGUAGUUCAGGGUGGAGUCAACAGUCAGCACUCAAUUGAGAAGUCGACAAGCCUCGAGCCGGUUGGCGGUGUUUGGUUCGGGAGAAGGAAACCUUGUCAUGUUAAAAAAAAAAUCUUAUUAUUCAAAAUUAUUAAAUAAAAUUUAAUUAUAAAAUUAAUUGAAAAAUUCUAGACUAAUAAGAUAUAUUAAUCUAUAAUUAGCGGAUGGUUAAUGUAGCAUCACUUUUGUAAAUUAUAGAUUAAUUAAUUUUAUUAAAUUCGUUUCACAAUUAGCACUCGUAAUAACAAAAAUUUUAUUUAAAGUUUAGUGCUCGGUAACGGACCAAAGUUCAGCCGAUGCGUGUCUGCGUCUGACUGAAGCAAGUGAUGGGGAUGCAGCGGAUACGGUCCCACGUGUCGCGAAGAUUUUUUUGAGUGACUCCACAUGGGUCGCGUUAAACAAUCCUGCCUCGAGCACGUGGUGUGCUAGCAUCCCUGUUCCUCGCAGAACAGUGAUGCUCACUUCAAAAAUGGGAAAGAAAAAAACAACUACAGUCUACAGUCCCGGAGAAUUCCCGCCAGUUACAGAAAAAAAGCCCAGCCCGAGGAGACAGCGGGGGCCUGUUUUGCGCACCCCGACCGUCGCAUGACCUGGGCUAUAUAACUGGGCCGAUCUGGACCGUAGGGCCCUCAACUCGUAGGCUGAUGCGGCGCACGCCGGUGGCCGCCACACACACGCACGCCGCAAGCGGUGCGCCGCGCGGCGGCGGCUAUCUGGGCACACUAGGCUGCGCGCAGGCCGACACUGACUGGCAGACGCCGGUCACCGAAGGGAAAGGUGCCGGCCCGCAUGGCCAUGCCCGUGUCCACACUCGUGGAUCACCCUCUCCAAUACAACACCAAGGCUUAGCGCUAGCAUUCCUCACACCCACGCCCGCGCCGCCCCGAUCGGAGAGGAGGAAGCAUCAGCAUGGACGCGGCCGUCUCGAAUCCGUCGUCGAUCAAGAGGUACGGCGGCGGAACCCCCCCUUCCUGCCCCCCUUCAGUUUCUGCGACCCGGCGCCGAGCGAGUUCUGCCCCCGCUGAUUUCGCGAGUUCGUCGGCGCUGCCGCGCCGGGUGCAUUCAGGAUCGCGCUGGUCACCGGGGGGAACAAGGGGGUCGGGCUGGAGACGUGCCGGCAGCUGGCGACCAAGGGGCUCAAGGUCGUCCUCACGGCGAGGAACGAGGCGAGGGGGCUGGAGGCGGUCGAGGCCAUCAGGCGCUCCAGCGGCGGCGGCGCCGCCGAGGUUUUCUUCCACCAGCUGGACGUCACCGACCCCUCCAGUGCCGCCCGGCUGGCGGAUUUCGUCAGGGGCCAGUUCGGGAGGCUUGACAUCCUGGUAUGGUUCCCCCUUGCUGCUCGGUUCGCUGGCUGAUGUCAUGAUGUGUGCUCUGUGAAUUUGGGGAAGUGGGAAUCGGUGCUGUUCCAAUUACUAGCAGAUACACCGGCAGAGAUAUGCAUUCCAUUUUGCUCUUUCUACGUUAAUUGAACUUGGUAUGCUUAUAAAUAUAUAAAAGUGGCAAAACGACCUCGUACGCUGUUGUGCUGAAUUUUGUUUGAGACACAUCAGCAUCACUUUUUCCCUUCUGUUGUCUGUAGAUCAAUAAUGCUGGGAUUUCAGGUGUUGACCGAGAUCCAGUUUUGGUUGCCAAAGUCAAGGAUCAGGUACUCUUAACUAAAGCAAAACAUCACAUACAAAGUACCGUUGCUUUGUAGGAGCAGUUCUUGAGCAAUUCCCAUGUAAUUCUUAUAUAUUUUUUUGAAAGGUAUAAUUCUCAUAUUUCACAAGAAAGCAAAAGUUAAUGUAGCUAUAGUUGCUGUUUCUAUAGUUGUUUGCUGUUGUCUUUCAAAAUGUUCAGGUGUUAUGUGGACGUCUUCGUUUGAGAUUGACAAUCUUUAAGUUAUUAAUUCAACAAGCCAACCACCAUGUUUAAGUGAAUUGCAUGUUAGACUGUACCUUCACCUAAAACCUGAUUAUUUACUGAAUCACAUGAUUAUAUUUCUAUGCAAACCAGAAAACUAAAAGUAUCUGUGUGAUUGAAGAAUAAUAAAAAUGUUUAUUUAUUCAAGGACAGGUUGAAGGCAUGGAUGUGAACCAGAGAGUUGAAUGGAUGAGAGAAAAUUCAAAAGAGACGUAUGAGGAAGCUAAACAAUGUAUAAGGACGAACUACUAUGGUGCCAAGAUUGUCACGGAGGCACUGCUUCCCCUUCUUCAGUUAUCCUCCUCCGGAAGAAUUGUCAAUGUUUCGUCAGGCUUUGGGCUGCUGAGAGUAAGUUCUGUAAAUACCAAGCUACUGCCUUUUGCAGGUCAUUGGCAAGAGUGUUUUGCCAGAAUAUGUCUGCAGACUGCAGUAGCAUGCUUGAAUGCCUCCCUUUUGUUUUUGUUGCACAGCAACAAAUAGUCUUUUGGAGAAGCAUUCUUGUCUGUGUCCACAUUCCACAAUUUUCUUUCAAUGAACCUUUUUCUUUGCUUUUCCUUUAAUGGUGGUCUCUACAUGACCACAAAAAUUUAAGUGAUGUCAAUGAUCAUUUCUACUGGGGGUUGCAUGCAAUAAAAAUGUACACUUUGUUUCUGCCCACUUCCCUUGUUCUUGUUCACUUUCGGUUAACGAAGGUCGUACCUUUUCUUUUCAAGCAGAACUUCAACAGUGAAGAACUUAGGAAGGAGUUUGAUGACAUUGACAAUCUUACUGGAAAGAGACUGGAGGAACUGCUAGAUUUGUUCCUAGAAGAUUUCAAGUCCAACUUAUUAGAGGCACAUGGGUGGCCAACAGGUGGAUCUUCAGCCUACAAAGUUGCCAAAGCAGCCCUUAAUGCAUACACAAGGAUUCUUGCUAAGAAGUAUCCUACACUGCGUAUCAACUGUCUGACACCUGGUUAUGUCAAGACCGAUAUGUCUAUGCACAUGGGAGUAUUGACACUUGAAGAGGGCUCUCGCAACCCUGUAAAAGUCGCUCUCUUGCCUGACGAUGGCCCAACUGGUGCUUAUUUUGAUCUGAAUGGGGAGGCGCCCUUUGUGUGAUCAUAUUAUAUGAUCACGUUUCCCUUACUCAGUUUUAGAAUAAAAGAAAGGGUUAUAGAGUAGUUGGUGCUGCUACUAUUGUAGUUUGACUUGUGUACUCAAACUAGCACGUUGAGGAAAUUGUCUUGCUCCACAUUAUGAUUCGUCGUCUUCUAUAUGAUCUCUCUGGAGACGCUUUCAUAUUUGCAAUUGACCGCUGAUCUCCCUGGAGAAGUUUGCAUAUUUUCAGUGGACCACACUUGGCAUGUUUGGUCGCACCAAUUCUUUACAUUUCCCCCCUGAGAGGGCAACUACUUCCUAGUUCCUACUACUGUGGGCUGUGGCCACGUUGUUCUGGGUUGGUGUCUAGAUGCAUAGAUAGAUGGUAGCAUACGAUGGUUAAAUGCUAUUUCUUCGGGAGCAUGAAGCAUGUCCUUUUGACUUUUCCACGGAUGCAAGUGAGUUUGUUCAUAACCACAAAGCAGGUGAGAAUUUACACGACUAGUUCUUCCAUUUUUGCUUUCAGAAAUUGUUUGAAUCAGGAUAUAUUGCUUCUGACUUAGUAAAUGCUCCUGCUUUUUUUUCGAGGUAGUAAAUGCUCCUGCUUAGUCAAGUUUAUUUGACGUUUUGGACAAAGGAAACUGUUUCUUUUCUCCUUGUUUUGUUGUCUGAACGUCACAGGAGGUAGUAUAUUUUAAGUAAGUUGGUGGUCAGUGAACAAAUUUAUCAAACAAAAGCUGCUGAUACUAACAAAUGCUCGGUUGCUCACUGUAUGAAACUUUAAAUCAACCCUCUUGGUAAGAAGACCAGUGAAUCGCCUGUGGCAGUGCAAUAGCCUUUUUAUUUGGAAUGUUCACACCUAAGUCAGGCUUUUCUGCAUUCUAUCGUGGAAGAUUGUUUUCAUGUUUGAUCUCUGCAUGACGUCAGUGUUUACCUUUAGUCGGUUUAUUCUGUGUCUUUAUUAUGCAGCUGUUCAGAAUUCAGAAGAUAUCCAAUUUCUUGCAUGGAUCACCUGCAAUCUGAUGCUGCCACCAUGAUUUGUCCCGGAUGAAAAAAAUACAGGGACCUGUCUUGUCAUCUCUGUUAACAUGCCCCACGUGAAGAAUUUGAUUUCAAUAUCAUCCAAAUAUAAAAAGAGUAUAAAGUUGAGAGGUACAUGUAAGUCUCCUUUUCCCUUUAAAUUAACCUCUUGAUAAGGCCUGCCCAUAGAACACCAGACUGACCAGAGAAAGUCAUCUCCUAGCGCCUUGUUGGAGCAGAGCUCGUGGGGCACGCUCAUGGAGGGAGCCAUCUCCAGUUCCCCAAGCACAAGGUAUGCAUCUCUCUCUUGCCAUGUUGGCUUGCUACCUGAACUGUGUUACAGAGUCAUGGCGGUUGCAUGCUAGGGUUGCCGUGGUCACCGGUGGUAACAAAGGGAUCGGCCUAGAGGUGUGCCGGCAGCUGGCUGGGAAUGGUGUCACCGUCGUCUUAACGGCUAGGGACGAGACGAGGGGCGCGGCCGCCGUCAAGAAGCUCAGGGAACUGGGGCUUUCCAAUGUCAUUUUCCACCAGUUGGACAUCACAGACGCAUCAAGCAUUGCUAGGUUAGCCGAUUUCGUGAAGACCCGUUUUGGGAGGCUAGACAUUCUGGUAAGUCUUCUUUCAAAGUUUUGAAGGUUCGCUGUAUAUGGCUGCAGACCUGUAAUGGCGAUGGGUUGAUGAAGGUGCCCUGUUUGUAGGUAAAUAAUGCUGCUUUUGGAGGCGUUGAGUACGCCCGAGAUCCUGCUUACGCAUCAGUAACCAGCGAUGAAGAGGUGAGAUUUACAUCUUCAGCUUAUCUGUGCAUGAACUUUUUAGUGAACAAGCUUGUUUGUUGAUGCGUGUGACAGCUGAGGGGCAUGGAUAGGGACCAGAGGCUUGAAUGGUUGUGGAGAAACAGCCGGGAGACUUACGACGCCGCAAAGAAAGGCCUGCAGACAAACUACUACGGCACAAAGCAUGUGAUCAAAGCCUUUCUGCCUCUGCUGCACGCCUCCUCCGAUGGAAGAAUCGUUAAUGUUUCAUCCGACUUUGGGCUGCUUAGGGUAACCUCUUUUGAUCACACUGUUCCAAAUUCCAAUCCAAUGCUAUCAAUUUCAUCCAAUCUCUAGCCCUUCUAUUCUACUAGAUAGCACGAAACGGUGACAAAAUCUCUUCCCGAUGCAGUUUUUCAGAAACGAGGAGCUGAAGCAGGAGCUGAACGACGUUGGCAACCUCACGGAGGAGAGGCUGGACGAGCUGCUGGACAUGUUCCUGAACGACUUCGAGGCCGGAAAGGUAGACGCGCGCGGGUGGCCGGCAGCAUUCACGGCGUACAAGGUGGCCAAGGCGGCCAUGAACGCGUACUCGAGGAUCCUCGCGGCGAGGCAACCCGCGCCGCGCGUCAACUGCGUGCAUCCCGGCUACAUCAAGACCGACAUGACUGCACACUCGGGGCUCCUGACGCCCGAGGAAGGCGGGCGCAGGGUGGUGGAGGUGGCGCUGCUGCCGGAAGGCGGGGUCACCGGCGCCUUCUUCGAAGACGGCGAGGAGGCGUCGUUCGUGUGAGGCUUGUGGUCUGGCGUUCAGAUUCGGAAUAAGGAAGCGAGCUGCAGGUGCCUGGUGUGUGGAUUACUGCUGAGCUGCGUACACAUCUGAAAUUGAAAUGUUAAGUACAGCCGAUGAAUCGCAUAUCAUGAGAAUGCGAUCUAGCGUUAUUAUUUUCGAUUUUUUUCACAGCUGCUUGAAGUUUUUCUUGCCAUGGGAAACGACUUGCAGUAGCUAGCAGUGUUAGCAUUUGCUUCGGCAUGACGUCACUGCUUGCCUAAGAUUCAGCUCCGCGACAGCUGCUGCCGUGCCGUUUAGACCAGUAUCUGUCUUAGGGCAACUACAUCGUCAGUAGUUUUAUAGAUUGUCUCAUACAAUUUUAGGUAGAAUUUUUGAUGAUGCGGAGAAGAGAAGGGAAGAAGAGACAAUAAGAUGGUUGCUUCGCGAAACAACAGUCUCAUAAGCUAAAAUUAAAGAUUAUAAGAUCGUUUUUUACUAUUAUUGUACGAGUUGUUGUCAUACUACCUAUAAUAUUUCUUUUUUCAUUUCACGAAUUAAGUGAUAUGGUGUACUAUGAGAAAAAAAAGAUAAUUUAUCGUAAAGGUUGUCUGUUAAGUCGUUUCAAAAUGAGAUAUCCUUGCAUGAACAUAUAAGACCGCCUAUUAGAUGAAUUAAUGUAUUUGCCCUUGUCCCGUUAUCCCGCUAUUCGGAUUUCUGACGAAGUAACGAUAUCCGAUCUUUGACCGACUUUCCAAUUUUGUAAAACUUGGACGAUUUUCUCCGCCGCACACGUACAUGCAUGCAUAUAUAUGUAGCCAACUAGCCAUCCAGAUGAAGAAACUGGGGCUCUUGACUCGUCGUCUACCUCACACGUGCAUCGUGUGAACGUGUCCAAUCUCGUGCAGUCGUGUUCACAUGUGAUAUUCUCUCCUGCGCCGUGCUCACGUGCAAUUUACCUACUGAGGAAACAGUCAAUAAAAAUGGCGAUCGUGAUCUCCUGAUCGAUCUCCAUGACUUGUUUGGAGCUGAGUUCGUGGAGCACGCUCAUGGAGUCAUGGCCUCAUGGGGGAGCCAUCUCCAGUGACCCAAACACACACAGGCCUAUGUGAAUAUGGUGUAGAAAGGCCCAUUCGGGUUGACCUCUACAGUAGGGCCGGCUGCAGGAAGGCCCAGUUAAUUUUACUAGGUUCUAUAAAUGGCUGUCCAGGCCUGGUUUCUAGAAGAACGAGAAAAGCCCAAUUAAGUUUGAGAUCUCGUUAAGUUUAGGCUCUAAAUUCAAGCAAGAAAAUCAGCAGCAUAGGCCUAAUUAAAAACUUCGAGAUAACCUCUCUGCAGCCAAGCCUAGCCCAAAAUAGCCACUGGAGACAACUGGUCCGGUCCUCUAUGGGCCAGGCUCAUUUUUCUCAGGACAUGCCACCGUUUAAUCACUGCAGGUCUAUUUUGGAAUGAAAGAACGAAAAAUAGAGGAAUGGAAAAAAAGUACAGGAACUAGUUGUAGGUGUAGUAGUAAAAUAGAGGAUUAGAAAAGAAAAAAUGUCCAGUUUAUAUUUUUAAAUGAUCAUAAAAAUCUAAUUUUAAAUCUUCAACUAUAAAAUCGAAUAAUAAGGACCAUCCAGCUGUUGAAACCAGAUGUUUUAAAGGUAAUUUUUCACUUUAAAACAAUAAAAAUAUUCAAAUAUCUCUGCUAUUAAUAAAACCGUAGCGUCUGCCGGCAGAGCCACGGGCGGCACGGCACCCAUCCACCCGACUCUGCGGGUGAAAAGCACAUGUUAGUUCUGCGGCGGUGCUGUUGCUGCAGUCUGCAGGCAGUUGAUGAAUGACUCUGCUCACCUGUAUUGUCGUUCUGCCUGUUGUUGUUGGCUAUAUAUUGACUUCCUCACCUGAAUGACUCUAAGAAACUUAACUGUAAUCACACAUACUUAUGAGCCACACAUAUGCUGGGAACUAUCGAUCCACUCGAAGGUUGCUGGUUGGCGGAAGCACUGAACAAGGCACGGAGCUGCUGGCAUGUAUCACGUUCACGUGUACGGAUGUCGUCCGUCGUUGCCCACGUGAUGGCCAACUGAUUAACACGUGCCAACGACACUAUGCUAGGGAAAUAGAUCGUCGGUAAUACCCUCUGUCUCUCAUAACAAGCUUAAAUGGUAUUGGUUGGUAAUUUUUCAAUUCAUGUCGUAGAUAUUUUAGUCCUUCAUCAGCUGAAAAUUGAUGGGUGGAGGCAGCUAGCUGGAGAGCUACUGUAAGGGCAGCUAGAUAGAUAGUUACUGGCUGGAUAAUUAAAAGUUAUAUCCCGUAGCUAUAAAAGCUAGUGGCCUUCUGGAACUAUAUCUAUCGACAAGUAUCGGAGCAAGACAGCUCCCAUCCUGUUGCUCGAGCUCGCAGCGCACGCUCAUGGAGGACGCCAUCUCCCGUAUUCCUCGCAACACAAGGUACGUGCUAUUGUAGGAUCCGGUGAGUUCCGAUCGUUGAGUAACACAUGCGGAACCACUCGUCGUGGUUUGCAUUAUACUGUUGGCAGAGUUGCCGUGGUCACCGGCGGGAACAGAGGUAUCGGGCUAGAAGUGUGCCGGCAGCUGGCGAGCAAUGGCGUCGCCGUCGUCCUGACGGCGGUGGACGAGAAGAUGGGCGCGGAAGCCGUCGAGAAGCUCCAAGGGUUGGCGGUGUCCGACGUCCUUUCCCACCAGUUGGAUAUCACGGAUGCUUCCAGCAUCGCUCGACUGGCCGAUUUCUUGAAGACCCGGUUCGGCAAGCUGGAUAUCCUGGUGAGCGAACCUCGUUUUCCCCAACUUCUCGAAAGAUCGAUUAAUACGGCUGCCGGUGACUGAUAGUAGAAUUUGUGAGCUAUUAAUUUGUAGGUGAAUAAUGCCGCGGUCUGUGGGGUUGUGUUCUUCCGAGAUCAUGCUGAUGCUUCAGUAACUAGCGGUGAAAUGGUGAGCUUUUUUACAUCUUCAGCUAGUCACACCUUCAUGGACGUGUUCUGUGCUCUUCUGUCUAACACGGCCAACUGAAUUCUGCUCUUCCAUCUGUUGUUGUGUGCGACAGUUCAAAGGCAUGGAUAGGGACGAGAGGCUUGAAUGGUUGUGGGGAAACUGCAGGGAGACGUACGACGCUGCCAAGGAAGGCCUGCAGACAAACUACUACGGCACAAAGCACGUGAUCGAGGCGCUGCUGCCUCUGCUGCAAGCCUCGUCCGAUGGAAGGAUCGUUAACGUCUCCUCCGACUUUGGGCUACUAAGGGUAACUUAAUGUUGAUCACACUGUCCCGAUCCGGCCAUUGGUAGUUCCCAAUUGGACCAGAUCAGAGUUCAGUCUUAACAAAAGUUCUUACCAAAAUACAGUGUUUCAGAAACGAGGAGCUGAAGCAAGAGCUGAACGACACUGACAACCUCACGGAGGAGAGGCUGGACGAGCUGCUGGCCAUGUUCCUAAAGGACUUCGAGGCCGGCGGGGUCGAGGAGCGCGGGUGGCCGUCCGCGUUCGCGGCGUACAAGGUGGCCAAGGCGGCUGUGAACGCCUACUCGAGGAUCCUGGCGCGGAGGCACCCCGAGCUGCGCGUCAACUGCGCGCAUCCCGGCUACGUCAAGACGGACAUCACCUUGCACUCGGGGCUCUUGACGCCCGAGGAGGGCGCGGGCAACGUGGUGGAGGUGGCGCUGCUGCCGGAACGCGGGGCGACCGGCGCUUUCUUUGAGGAGGGCAAGGAGCUGGCGUCCUUCGUGUGAUGUUUGAUCGGGACGACACGCUCUUGUUCAUCCGCCGUGUGUUUGGAUCGCUCUCGGUAUGUAUGGCUUGCUUGAUUGAGAGUAUAUCGUAGGUCUCGAGCUGGACGAUUGUGGUGAUAAACUUUUUAUGUAUGUGAAUGAUUGUGGCGAUGAACUGACGAUGUGUGCCACUAUUUUUCGUUUUUUUCAGUGACGAAUUUGCAAACAUAGCGUGUACAAAGGUACCACAUGAUCAAAUAAUUGCAACCACGCGGUUAGUCCUAUCGACUGAAAUUUCAUUUCUACAAUCGAGCCUAUUUCAAGAAAAAAAUCUGGUCAGGUUCAUUUCUGUUCAUUAUAAAAUUGAAAUUCACAGUUAAGAAGUAAAUAAAUUUAGAAUUUCUUAUAUUAUUUUUCGAUACAAGAUGUGUCAGCAGUAUUUUUGAAUGAUGUAGUAUUUGAUGAAAGGUGUACUUGCGCGUGGGCUAAGCAACGUUUAAUGUUCAAGACGGACCAUUUUUUAAAUUAAAUAAUACAAGUUUUAUAUAAAAACUGGUUUAGGACAUAUUUGGCAAAGCUUAAACUUUAGAAUUCUUGGAGCCAAGUAACUCCAAGAAUUUGGAAAGCUGGGCUAUUUUAAUUUUUACUUAAAAGUUAAAGAUUCUAAAUAAAAAUCAAAACAUUUUCACAACGAACCGUAAGCCACUAGUUCUGUUGGACCAAUUAUCACCCACACGCGGGAAGAGAGGAAUUUAGCUCAUUUAGAGCAUAUACAAUAGUCCUCAAAUCAGACCCUCUACUUACUGACCAAGAGCUCUCUCUAUUUUUUGAGGGCUCGUAGAGGGCUCGUUUUUCUUACAUCAGUACAUAAACUCAUAUUCAUCUUUCUCAUCUAUCUCGGUAGACUUUAAAUCCAGGACUAAUGCUCUUAUUAGUUCCGGGUCCAAAUUUUAUGGACGGCAAAGGACUUUUAGUCCCGAUUGGUAAAUGACCAUUUAGUCCCGGUUGGUAAAGGAUCCUUUAGUUCCGGUUGGUAAUUUCAAGUCGGACUAAAUGGUUCUUUGCGGGAUAGUUUAAAUGGAAAGCAUCCUAUUUAAAAGUCACAUAUGUUGUUUAGGUGGGAUGGUAACGAAACUACACGCGAGGCAAGAUGUCUUGGUUUGAGUUCCGCGGAAUGCAGUGGUGCUCGCCAAUUAUUUUUUAAGACCUGGAUAGGGGGCUCCUAAGGCUAGUUUCGAGUGAGCAUACACGCAUUUAAUACUACCAAAUUAAAAAAAAGUUGAUGCAAAGUGACCACAUAACAUUUUAUAAAAUACUAUCAACAUUUACUUGAAUUCAGUCUAACGGACCAAAAUGUUUCAAUCCUAAAAUAAAGUUACACAUUAGGGAAAAUUACGAAUCUACUGAAAAUGAAACCCUGAACAAUGAAAAUAUAAACGAGAAAGAUAGAUGCUACUACUAGUCAUCACCAACCCUAAUUAUCAUUUUUUUUCUUCCUCCUCAUAUACAUCUUAGUAGGUAGAUGAGACGUUGAGGAUGGAUUGUCCAGAUAGAGUACAGUGUCGAAGUUGGACUAAGUUAACAAGUUGAUUCUGGAGUUUUGUCAUGUAGGCCCCUGUAUCGCUGUACAUCAGGACUGUUGAUACAGGUCAAUUCUCACGUGUAUCACGUUGUUCUGGCUUUGAGCCGCUCGGCAGCAAGCUCCCAGCAGCUGCAUCGUGAUUGGCAGGGUCGAUUUUACACCGUGAAGGAACAGCUUGACUGCAGCGGCUGUUGCUGGCUGCUGCAGCUGCAAGCUUUUCCGAGAACUAUUGACCAGUGCAAAUUAAAUAGCUCCACUCAACAAGCGACCGAGCAUGUUGCUAAGUUGCAAUAAUAAACCCACCAGCCACCACACUACAAAUUAGAAGCCCUUGCUUGAAGCAAAACGGAACCCAUACAAAAUGGAGGCCGCCCUGAUAUGGAAGCCUAACUUCGUGGUCAUCCCAUGGCCAGCCACCAGCCACAUCACCCCCAUCGUCGACGUCGGCUGCCUCCUCGCCGCGCACGGCGCACCGGUCACCAUCAUCACCACGCCCGCUAGCGUGCAGCUCGUCAAGGGCCGCGUGAACCGUGCCUCCCGAGGCUCCGCCGGCGUCACUGUCACGAUCAUCCCCCAUUCCCAGCCUCUGAGUCCGGGUUGCCUGAUGGCUGCGAGAGGAUGGAUCAUCUCCUAUCUUCCGACCUCGUCCCAAACUUCUUUGACGCCGCCACGCGGUUCGGCGAGGCCGUGGCGCAACACUGCCGACUCAUGGCGCCGCGCCGGCCGAGUUGCAUCGUCGCCGGAGUAUGCAACAAGUGGGCACACGGCGUGGCUCGUGACCUUAGCGUGCCCUGCUUUGUCUUCCACGGAUUCAGCGCGUUCGCCUUGCUGUGCUGCGAGUACCUGCACACCUACAGGCCGCACGAGUCUGCUGCGGCGUCGAUGGACGACCGCAUCCACAUUCCGGUCCUGCCGCCUUACGAGUGCAAGCUCGCGAUGAGGCAGCUACCGGUGCAGUUCCUUCCGUCGUGCACCAUUCCUGAUGGCCGCCGUCGAGAGACUCGGGAGUUCGAGAUGGCCACGGACGGCAUUGUCGUGAACAGCUUCAAAGAGCUGGACCACGGCUCGGCCGCGCGUCUCGCCGCGGCCACGGGCAAGACGGUGCUCGCCGUCGGCCCCGUCUCUCUGCUCGGCGCACCUAGCCUGCUCGACUUACAGGCUGACUCGGUCGAAUCCAGGCGGUGCAUGGCCUGGCUGGACGCCAAGAAAGCCAAGAGUGUGCUCUACGUUAGCUUCGGCAGCGCUGGGCGCUUGCCCCCGGCGCAGCUGAUGCAGCUCGCCCGAACGCUCGUGUCGUGCCCAUGGCCUGUCCUCUGGGUCAUCAAGGGCGUAGACUCGCUGCCAGGCGGCGUCAAGGAGUGGUUGCAACGUAACACCGACGCGGAUGGCGUCGCGGACAGCCAGUGCCUCGCCGUUCGCGGGUGGGCGCCGCAGGUUGCCAUCCUGGAGGCUGGAGCACCCCGCAGUCGGCGGCUUCGUGACGCACUGCGGCUGGGGCUCGACGCUGCAGAGCAUCGCCGCGGGCGUGCCCAUGGCUACCUGGCCGCUCUCAGCGGAGCAGUUCCUGAACGAGAAGCUCGUCGUCGACAUGCUUGGUGUCGGCGUGUCCGUCGGCGUGACGAAGCCCACGGUGGGUCUGCUGACCAGCGGCAAAGGCGGCGACGGCGAGGUGAAGGCUGAGGUAGGGUCAGAACAGGUGAAGACGGCGUUGGAUAAGCUGAUGGGCGGAGGCGUCCAUGCGGAGGAAAGGAGGAGGAAGGCUCAGGAGCUUAAGACCAAAGCCAAAGCUGCUCUGGAGCAUGGAGGAUCUUCCUACCUGAAUCUGGAGAUGUGGUUCCUCAGUUAUAGUUGAUCUGAUCAGUCAUUUUUUUUCUGGCCUAUAACUUUGUGCCGUUGCCUUUUAGCUUGAAUAAUAAUUUUGAACGAGUUCGAUAGAAGAAUGUGCUAUUUUUUUUAUAACUUUGGCAAGGAUAUUUGCAGAGUGUUCAUAAAAGAAGGGUGUGUGUACAUGGAAUCUGAGUAUUUUAUGGGAUCUGAGCGCACGUGCAUUUGUUUCUGUCAAAACACUUGAGCACUUGCAUAUUAAAAAUCGAGUGUUGUGGUAGAGGACAACACACGGAUUUGGGUGCGUCAAAUUUUGAUCAGACGGUGCAAAAAAAUAAUCUAAAUAAUUUAUAUACAACAAAAACAGAACUGGCAUAUUUUUACCACAUAUUAAAAUUGGAUCACUUAACACCUAAAAUAUAUUUUUAUUGGCAUCACAUAUUAACGCUAGAAAAAUAAAAAAAUAGCAGAAAAAUAUUUAGUAUUAUAAAAUCCCAGUUGAUAUUGUAUUACCCAAAAAAUUGGACCACAAACAGAUGGGGGCUCGUGUGUGUGUGCGUGGGAGGGGUGAUGGGCCAAUAUUCAGCAAAAAUUGAAAAUGGAGGUUAAAAAAAGCUAGGGAUGGAAAAAUAACAGAAAAAAAAUGAAAACUUGGCUCCCAAGAAGGUCAGGAUCAGGACAGAUCCUAACGGAAAAAAAAGAACGCCCUCUCUCCCCUAAUUGGCCAGCUUCUGCUCGGCAAAAAAAGCCACGAAGAUAGAAGACGGCGACCAAGAAAAGGGACAAAGCAAAGAAUUAACAAGAGGGUGUGGAAGAAGAGGGGCAUCUAGAAACAUCUCAGGUAAACAAAAAUAAAAAAGAGAAUUGUUUACUUGUUGCUUCCUCUCCCCACCCCCAGAACAUACCCUAAAGAUCUUGCUGCAUCAUCUUACUAGUAUUUGCAUCAGACCAAACAAAAAGCAUAGAAAAGUUAAUCCUCUUUUGCUAGAAAGCAAAGGCAAACAUUGAUGUUUAAAUAACCAGAACAAUCAGAACCAGAUUACAGGUGAUAUGUACCCCAGUUAUAGGUUUAUGUACUGCUAUUUACAGUAGUCAUGUGACUGUAAAAAUAGUUAAAUUACACAGUAAAACAAAUGUAAUAUUGUUUUUAUUUUGUGCUGAUUUCUAUCCAUGUUCAUUGUAGUGGAGAUCCAUGAUGCAAGAACAAUAAAUAUUACAGGUGCAUUCUCCCCCCUUCCCCCACCCUCACACCUAGUUGUUAAUACCACAGAUGCAUUAAAAAAAGGAGCAGAAAAAAACACAAAGUGUUGUUUUGAUUAUGCGAAAAACAGAUUGCACAUGCUUAUGCCACUAUAUAUGAUUUAGAUAAACUACUCUACCAUAGAUAAUACAUAAAACAACUUCCAACUUCUGGUAAGUUUCUAUAUUAGGAACAAAGUUAAAAAGAUAUGAAAUGUGUCUAGAAAAAUUAACAUGAAGUAAUAUUUUUAUAAGGUAUCUCAAAGUUACACCGCUAGAAACCAAAACUUACAAUAAAUGUCAGAUUGUAAAAAGUAGAAAUAAGUAAUCUGUAAAUGACCUUAUAUGAAAAAAAUAAGGUGUUUUAAGUAUUGUAUAACAGAACUUACAAUAAAAAAUCUGACAGUUGCAGAUGGAUACCACGGCAAAAAGCAAUCAAGGUGUGCCCGCUUGCUCGAUCCUAAACAAAGAUCAUGAACUGUCGUACUAUAAAAUAUGAUGGGGACAGGGAUACCUUGGUCAAAAUUAAGAUGUAGUACAAGACUUUAAUGAAUAUCUAAAUUCAAUAAUAGCAACUCCAUAGGUUUGCCCCCCCCCCCCCCGGAAAAGAACUAUGAUGUUGAAUGCUACAACUUUUGUUAUUAGCAUUUUCUAAAAAAAUUGAUUUGCAGGUGUCAUACACAGGGCUAUUGUUUGAGCAGAUAAGAAAUUCACAAGAAACUGAACAAGCUCCAAUGCAUGACACACACGGGGCAGCAUCAUACAUGGACAUCCUUACUGGACAAUGUGGGUUUGAGGUAAAAAAAAUUAAAACCAUUGAUAUAAAGCGCAAGAAAAAUAAAGCUUGUUUUGAUAUGUUGUUUCUUUAUUUAAUGCAGGAGACAAUGAUUCAGCAUUCAAGAUCCUCGGAAUUUAGUCAUAUACAGUGAAAGAAACCAAAAAGCGGAUGAGCAGCUAGAGCUAUCAAAGUACACCUUACCAACUCAUGAUGAGACAAACCAAAGGAUUAUGCCGAAUAUAAAUGAUGAGGUCAGUGUGUGUGUUUAGAAAAAAAAGGAAGGUUUCCAUAAAAAAAAUAUAACACAAGAUGACAUAAAAAUCUUAAUACUUACAUCUGCAAAACACAGGGUGCUCCAAAAAUACAAAUGCUACCUUUGCAGGUGGGGGUAUAUGAGGAUGUUGCAUCCUCUCUGAGCAAUUCAAAUUUACAAGGGGAUGAGGUUGCGCAGGAAAUCCAGAGUGAGGAGGUACACGUUUACUUUUGUCUACUAUUUUAGGAAUCAUCUUAUACCAAAAAAAGUAGUAUACAAAAAUGCUUAUGGUAAAUGAACAGAAUAUAAUAAUCAACUACACGGGGGGAGAUGGUGAUGAACAUGAUGCUUGCAACUGGAGAGAAGAUAUUUUUAAAAACAUGCACAUACAACAGGUAAAUUUUGCGGAUGAUGUGAGUGAGCACAACACAGAAGGGGUGGCAGCUACCAAUGAAGAUAAUAUUGGUGAAGAUAUAGCCAAUGGGAGCCAGCUCCUAACUGAAGAAGAAAUUGAAGAUUUUAUAGAAGGAGAACAAAAGGCAGCGAGUGAGGGGAACAAUACAGAUACAGAUUGUUCAAGUAAAUACACUUCCCAAAUAGGGAUGGAGUUCAAUGACAAAGACAACGCUCACCAUUUCUUCUGCUUCUAUGGGUUUCUUGCUGGAUUUGAGGUAGUCACAACACAUAAUACUAGAACAACCAGUAGGAAGAGAAAUGGAGAAGUUGUCAAAGUUGAAAUGAAGUUCAUCAGGCAUGGCAGGGAAAAUAGUCUGAAGAAACCACAAGAGGAUGAGCCACCCAUACUUGAGGGAGAAGAUAUCAGGAGCAAAGGCCAAAAAGAAAAACUAAUGUGCAGGUGAAGACAAAUUGUCCUGUGGUAAUGGUAGUCAAAGAAGAUUGAGGGGUGUGGAAGAUUGUUAGACUUGAUCUAGAUCACAACCACGAGCUCAGCCUUGGGAACAGAAAUCAACUUUUCAGUGGCAAGAAAUAUAUGACGGAUAUGGAGAAAGCACUAAUCAGAAUACUGAAUGACAACAACAUUCCUACAAGGAAGAUGAUAGCGAUAUUAUCAUAUCUCAGAGGAGGGAUACCUGCGCUGCCAUAUAAGACCAAGGAUGUGGCAAACUUUAGGAGCAAGAUAAAUAGAGAGAUAAAUGGCAAAGACAUGAUAGAAAAAAAUUGAAGAUCCCACAUUCUACUACAAAUUUGAUGUAGAUGAAAAUAUAAAAGUCAGAAAUAUUUUCUGGAGAGAAGGAGCUUCACUAAGAUAUUAUGCAGAAUACAGCGAUUGUGUUAGUUUUGACACAACAUAUAUGACAAGCACAUAUAACCUACCUCUUGCACCAUUUGUUAGGAUAACAGGGCACGGGCAUACAUGCAGCUUUAUAUGUGCGUUUGUAUCUGAUGAGAUGACAGAGUCAUUCAUCUGGAUAUUUGAAACAUUUCUAGAUUCUAUGGGAGGAAAACACCCAAAAUCAAUUGUUACUGAUCAAGAUAAGGCUAUGAAAGUAGCUAUUGCACAAGUUCUACCAAAUACAGGGCACAGAAACUGCUUUUUCCAUAUCAAAUACAAAUGCUACAAUAAGAAUGGGAGAUGCUUUGCAAGCAAAAAGGGGCUGCGAGAGCAAUUUGAAGAUGUAGUCAACGUAUCAUUAACAAAAGAAGAAUUUGAAUUCCUUUGGAAGAAAAUGAUAAAGGAUCAUGAUCUACAGAAUAACAAGUAUUUCAGCAAGAUGUGGGAGAACAGAAAAUGGUUUAUACCUAUAUACUUUAAGGAUGACUUUUUCCCAUUCAUACAAAGCACGGGCAGAAGCGAGGGGGUGAAUGCAAGGGUAAAAGAAAAUGUAGGUCCUACAUACAGUGUGAUUUGUUUCUUGAAAGAGUACCAACAGCUUAUUGAUAUCUUGAACAUUAAAGAGGAGACAGAAGACAAUCAAAGCAAUGAGAAAAGACCCAAAGAAUUGCUUUAUGGCUACAAUAUAGAACGACAAGCAAUAGAGCUAUACAACAGAAAUUUUUUUAAGAAAUUUUAGUUCCAACUACAGCUAACUGAGAGGCUGAAAUACAAAGAGAUAGAGCCACAGAAAUAUUUUGAAGUGUGGUAGAAAACAAACCAAAUCUACAAACCAUACAAGCUGAGAAAGUAUAUCGUGACGACUGACCUGACAAAGGGAAGAGAAGAGUUCAGCUGCAUAUGCGGGAAGUUCAACAAGGAUGGUACGCUCUGUUCACAUAUCCUGAAAGUUUUAGUUGAAGAAGAAAUAAAUGAGAUAACAGAAAAAAAUAUAAUAGAUAGGUGGAGGAAGAAAGAUAGGAAACUAAAGAUGCCGCUGCAAGAUGUAGUGCCAAAAACUCAUGAGCUUAUGAGACACAAUGUGCUAUCAAGGAAGUAGCGAUUCUAACUUCUAAAAGUGCGAAGAAAGAGGAAGCGAUGGAAUACCUGCUUGAUGAAUUCUUCAAAAUAGAAGCAAACCUGGAGCUUAUCCUAGAUCCUCCAACCAAUGCACAAUCAGGGGUGGCUAAUGCUGAUGCUGAGGGGGGUGCAAAAUACAUAUAUGCACACACUUGCAGAACUUAAUGACCCAGAUAGGGUAAAACCCAAGGGGCGGCCAGCCUUACCAACUAGUUUGAAGCCGCUGGUAGAAGAAAUUAGGAAGAAGAUGAUCAGGGAGGAGAAGAAAAAAGCAAGGAAGAGAAAUCCAUUGAGUAAGUUCAUUUCUGGGAUGAAAAAUUAUUAAAAUACAUUUUUUAAAAUAAAACUGUACCCCACAGCCAAAAUCAUCAAAAAUUAACUUUUGAAAAAAAAAUGAAAUUUGAAUGCAGGUCUGAAGAAGAAAGUUAAAAAAGGAGAAAGAAAAAUCAAGAUGCUAAAAACUAACCUUAAGCAAAAUCAAAAUGCUAGAAAUUGGGGGCUACUUUCAACACAUAGAGAGACAUAUUGGGCAGAAAAAAGGAGGAUCCCAUAUUAAAAUUGUAAUAGGCAGAAAGCCAUUAGCACAGUGACAUGUUUUUGUCUGCGAUGAGUGCAAAAUGGUUCAUCCAUUUAUUCUAUCCUAUUAAACUAAUUCAUAUAUUUGUAAUGGAAAAACAGGUCUGUCGGAGGAAUUCUCCAGCCGGGUGGCGGAAUGCACCCGCCUAAUCCUAGUUAAGGAUGGGUUUGGAAGAGACUUAGGAGUGCUCGAUCGGCGAACAGAUGAACGCUGGAAGGCCACAGAGAUUUAGAGUGGUUCGGGCCGCCGAAGCGUAACACCCUACGUCCACUUUGGUGUUGUUUUGCUUGAAGACUGGAUGAAGCUUAGCAUACAGCUUGUGCUUAUGCAGCCUGGAACUUAGAACGUCUAGCGUGAGUGUUUGUGAUCCCGUGUUCUAGCGAGUGCAUUCUCCCUUUUAUAGUCCAAGGGGGAUGCUUACACUGAGCGGGACCCCGACAUGUGGGUCCGGCCAACAGGAGCUUGUUCUACGAGAGAUAUGGAGGUCAUCUCCUCGAGCUCCUCUCUGUAGUCCUCUCGAUCGGGGAGUUGAUGUGCGUAUCCAUAGUCGGGAUACGGCCGUGUACAGCCUUGUCUUGUACAGUGUUCGGUGUCAGCGUUGCCCAACAGUGAAGCCGUGCUGUCACUGUUGGGAUCGAACCUCCAGUCAGGGGGCGAGCCAGCGCUGACUCGUGCCAUGCGCACUGUUACAUCGCAAGCCUUAGCACGCCUAUUACAGACCAUCGUCACACGCGCAGCGCCAUGACGGGACUGCACACAGUCCGCGCACUGUGCGCGGUGAUACGACGCGCCGCUUUCAGAUCAGGCGGGCUUACCGUGGUGUCAGCUUACCUGCCCCGUGUGCCAGUGGCAGGCCGCACCUUUUGACCUUGGCGCGCCCAGCUCACCUACCGCAUUGAAUGCUGGUAGGUGGAGAGGCGACCCGUAAGGGGCCUCCGGCCGCAGGCACGCGGCGGGGUCAGCCCCGCUCCUCCCGCCGGGCAGCACAUGGCGGCUCCGGACCCCUUCCCGGGGGAAAGAGGGGUCCGGGGCCCCCGUGGCCGGCCGGAGCGGGCUGACCUGUGAUGGUCUGGCCAUCACACGUGGCGGCCCCGGACCUCCCAGGGGAGGCCGGGUCCGCAGGGAUUACCCGAGAGCUCUCCCGCCCACGUGGGUGUGCAAAGGCCCCGGACCUCACGGAGCACGGGGAGGGUCCGGAGACCGUGGUCCCAGCAGUCAGGCCCGGAGGCCGUAUGCCACGUGGCCCAGAGGCGAGGGGGAGCGUGGAUUAUGAGAAGUCCCAGGGCCUGGACACCCUAGCAGGAGGUACCCCUAUCUGUAUGUACCGACAGAGGCCCCCGGGCCCACCUCGGGAGAGGGAUGAACCCGCAGGUGGGGCCAAAUCCCAACAUCGCGCCGGGUGUACAGCUCGUUCCUGCCAGGCGAGGGCACGGAUGUCCUUUCGCCCGUAGCGGGAACCCCGAGGGACCCAUCCUCCGCGCGCAUCGGGCGCGUCAGACGGUUCAGAUUUUUGUCUCAUUCGAACCCGCCGCGCGGCUCGGGCGGUUCAGAUUCCGCCCUUCCCACGAUCCUCCAGCGCCCACGCCAAUGACUGGUGGACCCGAGCCCACCGGUCAUUGAGUGUGAGGGUAGGGGAAGGCGGCGCUGGCGACCGCUCGGCUUCCCCUCGGUCGCCGCGGGACACAAAGGGAGGAGCAGUCUUUUGCAUAAAAGGUAUGCGCCGAAGGGAACGGCUACCUUUUCGCUCUCGCCAACAACAGACGCCGUAGCGCCCCUUCGUCUCCGCAUCCUUUUCCGCGAUCAGCUUCCUUGCGCCCGGCACCUCUCUCUACCUUGCUCCUUCGCGAUCCACCCCAACAAUUUCCAUGGCUUCACUUCCUUUCCCGUGCCGCUUCCAGACCCAGGAUCAGCUGGACGCGGUGCGACGCCUUCUAGGGUGGACUGCGCCGGCGAAUGUCGGGAAGGUCCAGGCCGGCGAGGUCCCCCUCCGCGAGCUUGCCGCGGGGGAGUUCGUCCUCUUCAACUCGUACAUUAUGUGCGGGUUGGUUCUUCCGAUCUCCUCCUUCUUCCUCCUGCUCCUGGAGGAGUUCGGCCUCCAACUUCAUCAUCUCACCCCCCACUCCGUUCUCCUCGCGGCGGUCUUCGCCCAUUUCAUGGAGAUGUUCGUGGGGGUGCGCCCCUGCACCACCAUCUUCAAGCACUUCUACUCCCUGGUCGGGACCGGGAAGAAGCGCGGCGAGAUCGGCGCUUACUACUUCCAACUCCGGCACGGGAUGUCGGGCGCCUACAUCGCCGCCUUCUCCAGCUCCAAGUGGGAGGACUGGCGUGAAGGCUGGGUCAUUGCGGUGACGGACCCCCACGACCGCCUAGAACUGCAGGAAGGGGGCCCCCAGAGCGACCGGAGCACCUGGAAGGCCAGGCCGUCAAUUCCGGCAGAGCUCGACCCAGUCCUGAACCGGAUCAAGAAGCUGGCAAGGAGCGGCCUGACUUCUAUGAUGGUGCUGGGCGACUUCCUGAAGCGACGAAUCGCCCCCCUGCAGCAUCGGUCCCGGAUGGCCUACGUGUACACGGGGCUAAACGACUGCUGCAGGAUCGCGCGGGGGCCCGGCGGCGACUUCACCCGGGCGGAGCUGGAGGCGGCGAUCCGGGCGAUGACCGGCGAGGCGUUCGUUCCAGAGUCCCUGGUCCUCCCGAGCGGGGUGAAGGCCCUGUGCGAGGACCAGGCUCUGCGGUCAACGGUCCUGGCGUCGAUGCCGACCCUGGACGAGGGCGGCCUGGCGGUCCGGCAACUGGGGGGGGACCCCAACCGCGGGCUCCAGAUCCCUGGCACCACACCGGACCGCCAGCAACGCCCCAGCGGAGGUGCCGGGGAGCCGGGACCCAGAGGUCCGGCCCCCGGCGGGAAGGGAAAAGAGAAAGCGCCGGUGCCAGAGCACCGGCAGAAAGACUGUGCGGGUGCUGCCCCGGCCCAAAGGAGCGGCGAGGCUCAGGGGCGGCACCCGAGCGGCGCAGCCAAGCCGAAGGGAGCAAGUUCCGGAGGCUCCAGCGAGGCGACGGCUCCUUGGUGGGGGAGCCGGCGCCCAAGCGCCAGAAAACCACGGGAGUGGAGGAGCAGAGCGGUGCUGUUCCUCCUCUCCCACAGCACCGGCCUCCACCGGGACGACAGACUCCACCGCCACCACCGUCAGGGCCGCGCCCAGCGACACCACCACCGCCGCCCGAGAACGGACCUCCGUCCCCAACGCCGCCGCCAGGGUCCUCGGCAGGGAGGAAGGUCCCCCGGCCGCCCGGGGCAGAUGGGAGUGGUACGACUUCCCGUAAGUGGUCUUAUCAAGGUUUUUCAUUUUCUUCCUCAGCUUCUGGUGCUUAACCAAACAGGUGGUACGGCAGGCCGCAACCUUCAGAUGCUCCAACUGGGGGACCCGGCCCCCAGCCAGCGCCGGAGUCCUCGGCAACGGCCCCAGCAGGGCCUCCGCCAGGAGCAGCCCCUGAAGCCUCCGGUCCCAGUGGUCCGGAGCUGGAGGCUACCAUGCUGCCAUGUCCAGAAGCCGCCCCCCAGGAGGAGGCGAUCAGGCCCACUGCGACGGCAGAUGCCCCGGCCACAGCGCCGGGCGCCGAGGUCGGGCCUUCCCCAGCCGAACCGGCAGCUGAGGGAGUCGCUGCUACGGCGGAGGCUGCUAGGCCAGAGGCAGCGGCGACGGCGGCACCGGAGGCAGCGAAGGUGGCGGCUCCAGAGGCAGCAGAGGCUGCGGCUCCGGAGGCCGCCGAAGUCGCCAGUAGCGCCGCCCCACCAGCGGAGGAGGAGGAACCGGAGGUGGUGCUGGGGAGGCCUCUCCUCCCGAGCACAGCGGAGGUCCCACUCCCCCGGCUCAUAGCCAAAUGCCAACAAGCUCAACUGGAGCUAGAGGCUGGCAUGCGACGGGAGUGGGAGAAGCUGGAGGUGGAGCGCCAGCGGCUCUCCGACUGGGAGGUCCGCCUGGGGGACCGCAUCAACACUGUAUCCGCCCGCUACGCCGAAGAGCGCGCCAAGCUCGCACAGGGACGCGAGCUCCUGCGGGAGGAGCUGGAGCAGGCGCGCUAUCGAGAGGCAGCAGCGCUCGAGCGGGAGAAAGCAGCCAACCGGCGGGAAAAAGAGGCCCUCGAGGCGCAAAUCGUCGCGGAGAGGCUGAAGGAGGCGGCGACGGCCAGGGAGCGGGCCGCCCGGGAGCUGGCGGAGGCGGCGAGGGAGGCGUUUACAACGGCCGAGGCGGAACAGGCCUCCCUUGCAGAACAGGUGGUGGCGGCAGCGAAGAAAGAAGAAGAGCUGGCCGCCCGAGAGGCAGAGGAGGUGGCCCGGCUGCAGGAGCUCCAGAAGCGGGAAGAGGCCGUAAAGAAGGAGCUGGCAGCCGGGUACCAGAGGCUCCAGGAGCGCGAGGCAGCGCUCCAGGAGAGGGAGGCCAAGGUGGAGGGGCUCCUGGCAGAGCAGCACGUCGGCGCCAACCGAUUGACAAGAUGGGUUGGCACAGUGAACCCUCUGCUAGAGGCGCUCGGGGCCAACCCCAUCUGGGUGCCGGAGGCCCCUUCACCUUACGGCGCCGCACUCCAGCUGCUGGACUCCACCGCCAGGCGGCUACAAGAUGCGGAGGCCGGCCUACAGGAGCUCCUGGAGGCAGAAGGACGAGCAGUUGCCCGGGCGAUGGCGGAGUACAUCCUCACCAGCUUCCGGAGCCAUGAUCCUGCCGUCCAGCUGACUCCCGUCCUGGUCGGGCCCCUCCAGGCAACGGUAGCCGCUACGCGGGAAGGAGUCCAGGAGGCAGUGGACCUGGUCGCGGCCCGCCUCCGGCGACGUCCCGAACCUGCAAAGAGCGGAAGCGCCUCCGGACCACCAGAGCAGUAGUGCUAGUAUCUUUUUGUUAUUUCUUUUGUAAUAUAAUUUUUGUUAUUGUAAAAUGACUUCGUAAUGCUGUACAUAUUAUCAGUGAUGCAUUUAAACAUUUCGUGCGUCUACUUUUUUGAAAAACUUAGCUGUUUUCGAGUACACCGAGGUCCCCUGGCCCCCUGGGAGGUAGUCGCGAUAAGUCGGGACUAGCUGCCAUAGAACCGAGGUCCUGCACAUAACUUACGAUCGGCGUUUAGUAGACAUCCCCACAGGUUCUCGGUCUGGCCAGCAGAGGCCUCUUAAGUUGCGAAGCGAGUCAGAGCUCUAGGACCCAUGUUUAAGGGCUAAAAGGGGUCCCGGUCCCCUGGUACAUGGUUCAAGGUGCAACGGCGCUUACCCUAGGAGGGCAGGGCGUGUAGGUUUAGGGUGCGGAACCAGGCUAAGCGGCUACACAGCCCUGGACCCUAGCAAAGGGCGAGCGCGUUUCCCUGGAGCCAGUUAACAGGGGUCCGGUUCCUUUUUUCCUUUGAGACAGAGGUCCGGGGCUGGGACGGAGCCACGCAAUUUAAGAAGCCGCCAUGACACAGACGCGGAAAACAUGUGAGGGGUUAGCGUAAUCAAGAAGCGAAAAGAUGUAGACUUGUAUAGACUUCAAGGACACAUUCGAGAACAAACUUUCCCUUAAUGAAUUGGUACAGAAGAGUUGUGCGAUGUACGCCAGGGGCCGGGUUUACGAGGGCGGACCUCCACCGCCCUGGUCCGCACGUUAAUGCUACCAAUUACAAGGGAAAAAUUCUUCCUCAAUCGGGUCCUAGGGAUAAAACUUACGGAGGUGUUCAAUGUUCCACGGAUUGGGUAGUUGCAUUCCAUCCUCCGCAGCCAAACGAACAGAUCCGGGACGGCACACCUUUGUAACCUUGAAGGGCCCCUCCCAGCUGGGGGAGAGUUUGUGCAUACUCUCUCGGUUCAGGAUCCGCCUUAGGACUAGGUCCCCGACCCGGAGCUCCCUGUAACGCACAAACCGUUGGUGGUAGCGCCGGAGCGCUUGGUUGUACCGUGCGUUUCGGACUGCUGCUCGCCAUCUGCGUUCGUCAACGAGGUCCACAUCCUGGCGACGCUCCUGUUCCUGCAUUUCCUCAUCAAAAGACCGGACUCGCAGAGAGCCCAUGGUGAUCUCCGGGGGAAGGCACGCCUCGGCCCCGUAAACCAAGAAGAAAGGGGUUUCCCCUGUUGCCCGGCUAGGUGUGGUCCGGUUUCCCCAUAACACACUUGGGAGUUCUUCAAUCCACCUUGCGCCAUGCUUCUCAAGGUCACAGUAGGUCCGGAUCUUGAGCCCUCUGAGGAUCUCAGCGUUGGCCCGCUCAACCUGGCCAUUACUUCUGGGGUGCGCCACUGAGGCGAAACAGAGCCUAAUGCCCAUAUCCUCACAGUACUCCUGGAAGUACUGGCUCGUGAACUGGGUCCCAUUGUCUGUGAUGACGCGGUUCGGGACCCCGAACCGGCACACAAUUGUCCUGAGAAAAGCAGUUGCUGACACCUUGGUGAUAUUGACCACUGGGGUUGCCUCCGGCCACUUAGUGAAUUUGUCAAUGGCAACAUAGAGGUACCGGUACCCGCCAACGGCCCUAGGGAAAGGUCCCAAGAUAUCCAACCCCCACACCGCAAAGGGCCAAGAGGGAGGAAUCAUCUGCAGAGCCUGAGCUGGAGUGUAGGAGGCCAGACCUCCUUCUCCCGCAGGGGGGUCCACAGGGGCCCCCUGCGAGAGAAACUCGGACCUCUCGGUGACCAGCACCAUGCUGAUCACUUCGGUUGUUGCUGCAAGAUAAAGAAACAGCGUCUCACCUGGGUCCGGAGCGACCAGGACCGGUAAGGAGGUAAGGUACUGCUUCAUCUCUUGGAAGGCACGUUGUGCCUCUUCAGUCCAUACAAACGGGCCGGACCCCCUCAUCAACUUGAAGAAGGGAAGCGCCCUCUCCGCCAGCCUCGAAAUGAAACGGCUGAGGGCUGCAAGGGACCCCGCCAACCUCUGUACAUCUUUGAGGCGUGUAGGAGGCCUCAUCGUCUCGAUCGCCCGGACCUUAUCCGGGUUGGCCUCGAUUCCCCGGUGGGAGACCAGGAAACCAAGGAGCCUUCCCGCCGAUACGCCGAAGACGCACUUCUCGGGGUUAAGCUUGGUGGAAGUCGCCCGUAACUUGUCGAAGACUUGAGCUAAGUUUUCUAAGAGGGAAUUCGACUCUCUAGUCUUGACAACGAUGUCAUCAACAUACACCUCGACUAUAUCUCUAACCAAAUCACCUAGAGUGAUGUUCAUCGCUCGAGCAAAGGUGGGUAGAGCAUUAAGCAACCCAUAAGGCAUCACUAUAUAACAAUAAAGACCAUCCACUGUUACAAAAGCUGUAUGCUUCCUAUCAUCACUAGCCAUCUUGAUUUGAUGGAAACCAGAAUAGGCAUCUAUGAAGGACAGCAAAUCACACCCGGAGGUGGAGUCCACAAUCUGAUCUAUACGCGGGAGUGGAUAAGGGUCUUUUGGACAUGCCUUGUUAAGAUUGGUGUAGUCGAUGCACAUCCGAAGCUUCCCGUUGGCCUUUGGGACUACAACCGGGUUGGCCAACCAUACAGGAUGGUAGACCUCCUCGAUGAAGCCAGCCUGCAGCAGCUUGCGGACCUCUUCACGGAUGAAGUUUUGCCGCUCGAUGGACUGCUUGCGUGGCUUCUGCCGGACCGGCCUGGCGUCAGGGUGGAUCCUCAGAUGAUGCUCAAUCACCUCCCUAGGGAUCCCGGGCAUCUGUGACGGUUCCCAAGCGAACACGUCAACAUUUGCCCGGAGGAAGGCGAUGAGCGCGCUUUCCUAUUUCUCUCCCAGGUUACCACCGAUGCGGGUGGUCUGGGAGGUCUCCGCUCCGACCUGGACGGUCUUCACGGGUAGAUCGUCCGUGUCAGACGGACGGACCUUCGGUGCUUUGGCCAGGGCCUUGGCUCGUGAGGUCGAGGGGUCGGACCCCUGGGUGCCAGCUGCAGGGGCAAGCCCCGUAGCCAGCGCAUGGAGCUUUUCGACCGCUACAACAGCAGCGGCCCGAUCGCUUUGGACGGUGAGGACGCCCGCCGGAGAGGGCAUCUUUAGGACCAGGUACCCGUAGUGGGCAACGGCCAUGAACCGGUACAGGGCCGGUCUGCCGAUGAUAGCGUUGAAGGGGAGGUUAACUUCCGCGACCUCGAACUGCACGUUCUCGGUACGGAAAUUGUCCUCCGUCCCGAAUGUAACCGGUAAGGUGAUGGUCCCUACCGGGUACACGGGAUCGGGGCCCACUCCUGAGAAUGGGCGUGAUGGAGCCAGCUUGGACUCCGGGAUCUGCAGGUGCUUGAACGCCGCAUAGCUGAUGACGUUGAGGCCGGCGCCUCCGUCAAUCAGCACAUGGUGAAGGCGUACAUUGGCGAUGGUGGGUGCCGUGAUGAGCGGCAGCACCCCUGCACCCGCCAUGUUCUCUGGGCAGUCGGAUGGCCCAAAGGAGAUGGUGAUGCCCUUCCACCGCUGGUGGGGCGCCGCCCUCGGCACCCCUGGUUUCACCGAGAGGACCUCCCGGCGAAGGGCCUUCACGUCCCGUCUGGAGACGAGCUCCGAACUGCCACCGUACAUAACAUACAGCUUUUUGCGGCGCUCAUCCCCGCCGGACUCGGAAUCGGACUGCUGGAACAGUCCCUUGAGGUCUUUAUUGGGGGUUUGAUACCCCAACUCCCUCUCAGUCGCAGCUGCGUCGGCAUCAGAGUCUUUCUCCUUACCGGACCGCCGCGGAGGGGAGGAGCCUUCCUUGGAGGCUUGGUCACGCCUCUUGCUGAGGCGUUCCGCGAGCUUCUGGAUCUCGCGGCACUCAGCGGCGCUGUGGCGAGCCCCAGGAUGAACAGGGCACGACCCGGGGUCGGUGCGCUGCUGUCGUGGGCGCUUGCCGUGGGAGUUCUGGCCCCCGGUCGUUGCAGCCGCAACGGCCGGAGCCCCGACCCGCGACUUGUCGAAGCCACGGUUCUUCUUGUUCUUCUUCUUGCCGCUGCCAGGGGCAGCGACACUGGGCCCACUCGUUUGAGCGGGUCCUACCUGAGUUGCAGAGUGCCACGCACGGCCUUCUGCAGCUCGGGCGCACUUGUCCGCCAGAGCGAACAGGGUGGUGACGGCUUCCACCUGGUGGGUCGCCAGCUUCUCUAGCAUCUUCUCGUCUCGGACCCCCUGUCGGAAAGCCGUGAUAAUAGAUGCAUCGGAGAUACGUGGGAUGGUUCCACGUACCUUAGUGAAGCGGGAGAUGAAGGCCCGGAGGGUUUCCCCGGGUUGUUGCCUCACGGCGUGGAGGCCACCUCCACGCCAUGCUGCUGAUACGCACUGGCGAAGUUCGCAGUGAACUGUGCGCAGAGUUCUCCCCAGGAGUGGAUGGAUCCCGGGGUAAGGUUCAUGAGCCAGGUCCGGGCCGGCCCGGUCAAGGCUACAUGAAAGUAACUUGCCAUAACGGCUUCGUUACCCCCAGCCGCCGUGAUGGCGGUGAUGUAGACCUGCAGGAACUCCGACGGGUUGGAAGUCCCGUCAUAUUUUUCCGGCAGGUGAGGCCGAAACUUGGACGGCCAGGCGACUGCUCGGAGGUGGCCUGCGAGCGCUGCGCAGCCCACGCCCGAAACCGGCGCCUGGGCUAGUCCUUGCGGCCUGGCCACAGCCGCAUCGAGCUCGGGCGCAAGGUCCCGACCCUCAAUGUUGAGCCGUCGGUUGCAUGCUCGCUCGAUGGAGAUCCUAGCAUCCUCUCCCGCAUGCCUGCGGUUGAGCUCUGCCCGGAGGUCCUCAGUCCGUGCACUCCUCACUGAUGGUGAGUGCACAGAACCGGAUGCGCCGCCUUGACGACGGCGCUGCCUGGACACAGAUCUCCCCGCUGAGCCUGGGGAAGCCUGUGCCAGGUAGAGGAGGCGGUCGACGUCGUCACGCCAUUGUCUGUGCGCGUCUGGCGACGCCGCCUCUCCAGGGGGGUUGCGGAGCAACUCCCUGGCUGCCAUGAGGGGCCCGCUCGGUGGGAGCACCGAUUGGGCCACGGAGUCCCGCUCCGCUGCGCGUGGUGGAGCAGCACGCGGAGCCACCCUGGAGGCGGGAUGGCGCGAGGCGCGUGGCGCUGUUGACGCCACUUCUUCACCGAUCAGGAGGUCAUGGUGACCAUUUUCCUGCGCCAUCAAGGUCACGGUGGUCGACCAAACGCAAACCAAACCUAAGUCCCCUACCUGGCGCGCCAAAUGUCGGAGGAAUUCUCCAGCCGGGUGGCGGAAUGCACCCGCCUAAUCCUAGUUAAGGAUGGGUUUGGAAGAGACUUAGGAGUGCUCGAUCGGCGAACAGAUGAACGCUGGAAGGCCACAGAGAUUUAGAGUGGUUCGGGCCGCCGAAGCGUAACACCCUACGUCCACUUUGGUGUUGUUUUGCUUGAAGACUGGAUGAAGCUUAGCAUACAGCUUGUGCUUAUGCAGCCUGGAACUUAGAACGUCUAGCGUGAGUGUUUGUGAUCCCGUGUUCUAGCGAGUGCAUUCUCCCUUUUAUAGUCCAAGGGGGAUGCUUACACUGAGCGGGACCCCGACAUGUGGGUCCGGCCAACAGGAGCUUGUUCUACGAGAGAUAUGGAGGUCAUCUCCUCGAGCUCCUCUCUGUAGUCCUCUCGAUCGGGGAGUUGAUGUGCGUAUCCAUAGUCGGGAUACGGCCGUGUACAGCCUUGUCUUGUACAGUGUUCGGUGUCAGCGUUGCCCAACAGUGAAGCCGUGCUGUCACUGUUGGGAUCGAACCUCCAGUCAGGGGGCGAGCCAGCGCUGACUCGUGCCAUGCGCACUGUUACAUCGCAAGCCUUAGCACGCCUAUUACAGACCAUCGUCACACGCGCAGCGCCGUGACGGGACUGCACACAGUCCGCGCACUGUGCGCGGUGAUACGACGCGCCGCUUUCAGAUCAGGCGGGCUUACCGUGGUGUCAGCUUACCUGCCCCGUGUGCCAGUGGCAGGCCGCACCUUUUGACCUUGGCGCGCCCAGCUCACCUACCGCAUUGAAUGCUGGUAGGUGGAGAGGCGACCCGUAAGGGGCCUCCGGCCGCAGGCACGCGGCGGGGUCAGCCCCGCUCCUCCCGCCGGGCAGCACAUGGCGGCUCCGGACCCCUUCCCGGGGGAAAGAGGGGUCCGGGGCCCCCGUGGCCGGCCGGAGCGGGCUGACCUGUGAUGGUCUGGCCAUCACACGUGGCGGCCCCGGACCUCCCAGGGGAGGCCGGGUCCGCAGGGAUUACCCGAGAGCUCUCCCGCCCACGUGGGUGUGCAAAGGCCCCGGACCUCACGGAGCACGGGGAGGGUCCGGAGACCGUGGUCCCAGCAGUCAGGCCCGGAGGCCGUAUGCCACGUGGCCCAGAGGCGAGGGGGAGCGUGGAUUAUGAGAAGUCCCAGGGCCUGGACACCCUAGCAGGAGGUACCCCUAUCUGUAUGUACCGACAAGGUCUAUGGACAAGAUAUCCAAAGAAACUAUUUAUAUAUUUGCAGCCUACGUUCUAUGUAUUGUAGAGUCUUUUGAGGAAUGAUCAGCAGAGCAAAAUGGUGGGGGGAAAAGGCAGGUUCUCUUGCAAAAAAGAAAAGAAAACAGAAACAAAUACAUGAGGGGGGGAUAAUUAAAAAUGACUAUCAGCCUAGGAAGUCUAAGAGAAGAGGUAAAAAUCACUAAUACCUUAGAUGUCACAUUCAAGAACCCAGUGCUUCAUUCCACAGUUUCCGGGAAGAAACACUAGAUCAUUUGCCAUUUUGAUUCUAAUGUUGUUGAUAUCUUUGGAAUCGAAAAUAUUAUGCAGUACCAUCCUCGGAGAUUUCCAAUGCUCAAGAAACAUCAUGGUGUAGAUUCCAGAGUCAACGCUGCACCAAAUGGAAGAAAAAGACAUAGUGUAGAUUUGCAAAAAUAGUCAUUUCAAAAGAUAUUUUAUCCUUGAAAAGGUAAAACUAACCUAUUAUUGGAGGGUUGGUUGGGUACGUCUGGGUACAACAAGUCAUAUCCAUCAAAGUUUAUAUCAACAUGAAUAUACCUGCCCCAGUGGAACAGGAAAGAUGGAAUCUACAGAAACAAUAAAAAUGGAUUUGAGAUGGUACACAUAUAAAAAAUAGACAAAAAAUAUAUGUAAAAUUUGAAAAUGAAACUAACCAAUCUAUCUCUGACAAACUUUUGAUACUCAUGAUCUUUGUGAUGAAAAGGGUCCAGAAAAACAAACUUGCUGUCUUUGAUAUCAACAACAAAAAGGAACCAGUGCUCGUUGAAUAAGGUUGGGAAAUACAACUACAAAGAAAAUACAAAAAGUUUGAGAUGAUAUAUGUAAUGUAAAAUAUAUGAAUCGGUAAUAUUGAAAUGUAGAAAAUGGGUUAUAGAUCAAUGGUUCAAAAAAUUUACAUUGUUGGACAAAUUUAGGGGCCUGAGCCCAUUUGAUCUUUUAAAAGUACAAGAUAAAAUUUUAGUGUUUGAUUCGUCUGAAUUCUUUAGUAAAUUUUCCUUAAAAGACAGCAAAAGAGAGAGAUUAAAAGACAUUUAGACAAAAGCAUCAUAAGAAACUUGGUUGGGGGGGGGAGGGGGGAGGGAAGAUAGUUAACGAAAUAAAGUAGAAAAAAAUAAAUUAUACUUACAACAAUAUUUGAGAAGAAGAAGUGGCAUUUAGAUUUGUCUGGAUGGCCAUUUGGCUUGAUAAAUAGACUAUAGCAGAAAGCAGAGAUAACAAAUGAAUUUACAAAACCAUCUGGCUUCAAAGACUCUCCAAGAGACUAGAAUGUGCAGCAAACUUUUUCAAUGCUAAUAGCAUCCUCACUACCAAAAGAAAAUAAUAUAUUAUGAACCAUAUUAGGGGCUCCGCCAAAAAUAAAGAAAACUGAGAGUGGAAAAAAGUAUAAUAAUGAUGAAAAGCAAGAAAAUAUUCUUACUUGCUAUAUUGGGAAUCAGCCAAAUGACAAAUAGCAUUAUAAUUUUUUAUUUCAGAUUGACAUUCAGAAAUCUUGUUCUUUGGAACAACAUAAUCACCACGAAACUAAGGGCGUGGGAACACUGCCCUCCUAGGUCCAUGAAGUGGUAAUUUCCCACCAGUCAAGAAUUCUCGAGCCUUGUACGGGCUCUUGGAUCCAUCAGCUGAAGAUAGGAAAGAUGGGUGAUAUCCAAAAGCACCAGGGAUAAGAGAGCCAAUUUUUUUAGAAGCAGAAAAGUCACUGAUAUUAAGUUUCUUGUUGUAUAGUUCAUCAGAUUUCUUUGUCAUUUCACUAACAUUCUAUGAAAGUGAUUUUUGUCCAACAAAUUGAACCUCAGGUGAUCCCUUGCAUAAAAAAAGAAAAAAAAGAAAAAAAUAGUUAGAUAAAAUAAUUUUACAGUGCCAAAACAGUAAAUUUACAAUGCCAAGUCACUAAAAAUACUGUAACCAAAAUACUGUAACUAUAUGUCACAACAACUAUAAAUUCUGAAGGGAAAUACUAUAACUGCUUUCAUAUACAUCUACCUUUGUGUUAGUGUGUCUGGACUAAAAAUCAUGGAGCGAUUGUUGGGUGCGAAUCUGUGCUUCUUGGAUAAUACAAGAGUAACUUUUUGGGUAGUUUCCUGAAGAAUGCAGGAAAAAAAUUGAAAAAGUGACCAAAGAAAUGAAUAAUAUGUACAAAAAAUUUAAAAAUAUAUAGGGGGUAAAAAAGAAAAAGAGAUACAACACAUACAGAUUCAGCCAUGUCUUGGGAACCAUUCUCUGAGCUAAGAUGCUCCUAUUUUUUUAAAAUACAAAAUAGUUAGUGCUACAAAUACAAAAAGUCAUGUAUUAUACAUCACAGUGAAAACCCAUGAAAAAGGGGCAGAAAAAGAAAAGUAAAAAAGAAAAAAUGGAUUUAGAUAAAAGAUGUAGUGUAUAAUACCUUCUGGGUGCAAAAUUUUGCAUAUGUUGAACAUGGAUAAGGAGAGAUAGAGUCAGGCACAAAAUCGCCUUCAUCAUCCAACAUUAUAACAUCUUUACGUUCAUCUUUAGCAUUGGAGGUAUGAGAAUGCUUUGACUUUGAUCGUGGGCUAACCAAAUGAACAUUAGAUAAAUCAGCGAGAGGCUAUCUUGCGCGAAUUAUAUUGUUGUCUGAGAAUAAAUUUUUACAUGAACCCAUUUUAGACUUGCUUUUCUAGAAAAGAAGCUCAGCAACACCUGGGAGAGACGCAUUAAAAAAAUAAAAAAUAAGUCCCCCAAAAAAGUGACAAAAAAUGUAAAGAUAACCCAAACUGAACUGAACUAUUAAAAGAAUAAACCAAAAAAGAGCAAAAUUGGAAAGAAAAACUCCAUGAUCUUAUGGUUAGAUGGAUAACUGGAUGUAGGGAAAACAAAGUCUUGACUUUUGCGAACCGGAAAGAAAAAGGCCAUGAUCUGUAACAUAUAUGUUAUGAUGGUCGUUGUUGUAGAAAAUAAAGGUUAAAAAGGAAAGAAGCCAAAAAUGAUUAAAAGAGAGAUAGAUAUAACCAACUUUCCUUAGUCAACUUGUGUAUUACUUUAUCACUUGAGCUUGAUUGACCUUGAAAAAAGGCAAACUAGAACUAACUCAGUUGCAAAAAAUAAAACAAAACAUUUAAAAAAAAGGAAAGUAGAACUAUCAAAAAAUAUUGCGCAUACCAUCCCAGAACUCAAGUUGGAGGGCGUUUUAGAAGAAGAUUGAACGAAAUUAUCAUUAACAAUGUCAGCAAGGAAGCAUCAUUGGGACAUUGAGGAUCUGCGCCAGCCAAUAAACCCUAUGUGUGUCGGUGUGGAACAGGUUACAAAAAAUAUUUGGAAAAACAAAAAAAAGGCUGCUGAAAAAAAGAUAAAGUUAUAAACACAAAAAGGAGAUGUUGGGAAAAAAAUUCCUACUUACAAUGUACGUGAUUGCGUUUAGGAGGGCCAUUUGCAUACGGGUGUUCAACAGGGGCAGGGGGUGUGAUCAACACCGGGUGCGGAGGCUGCACAUUCUGUGAUAAAAGUAGGCAUACUGUUAGUCAGCUAAUACCAAAAAAAUUAAAAAACAAAUUAAAAAUAUCACAUGACAAACCUUUUAGGCUGCAUGUGCAGGAGUUCUUCGUAUCUGAACAAAUCUUCUGAUUGGUAGGGCAUUCUUCCUUAUUGGUGAUUUUUUUCUAAUGAAACGGGGCUAUCAGUAGGGAAGUGUGUAAUAAGGUCCAAGAUAUCCAAUACCAAUUUUUUUUAGUGAAAGCAUGAUUCAAAAGCUUCGAAAAUGUACUGAUCAAAUUCUCAGAAAGACUUGAUAUUGCAGUGACAUCUAAAUUCAAAGUCAAUCCACAAUUUAAACAACGAUUCUUAACAAUCUUGCGGAUCGAAGUCUUCAGAACAUCAGACAAUUUACAGUUUGAAACUGAAUCAAGUUUGUCCAUGAAGUUAUGGUCAACUAACAAAGAAUCUGACUCAUUAUCUAGGAUUUGAUGUUGUUGCAAUAAGAAAAAAAAUAUGGUGGUGAACAAUAAGAAAAGAGAAAAAAGACCAUGUGUAGAAGAAUAAAAAGAUAAAAAGAAGGACAGUAUAACCUUUGCAUAAUAUGUGUCAGAGAAAUCAAGCAAAGGUCUGAACCCAUAGCAACCUGGGGAUUUGAGGUCAAGAUCGCAAUAAAUUUUGCUCAUGUUCUCUUUCCAUACGGAUAUCCAAGGGAGUGAGACGGGACAUGAUGAGGACCAAAAUCAACAUGAUCUAGGUAUAGAACCUAUAAAAGUUUAAAAUAGAGCAAUAAAAUAUUAGAAAAAUAAAAACAGUACAACUCACGGUUGAGAUAAAAAUAGAACUAUUUACAGCAAGAUAAUAUAGGCAUCCACCAAAGGUUUCAGGAUCUAUCGCUUUUGCACAUUUAGCUUUAUUGAAACUUUUGAUGGAAUGAAGAAGCCAAUCCAAAAUAUAUCCACACCAAUUAAAGAACUUUGCAUUUCGGACAUCAGCAAAAACACCAAAAUGUUUGUAGCUUGGAACCAAAGAUGAGUUGGGGCAUAAGAAGCUACUUAGAGCAACUAGGAUGAAGCAAGUGAAAGAUUCUUCAUUUGAUUAAACUUCUAUAUUGGUGAUUUUAUUAGCAAAGAAAGUAACAGAAGGGAUGCACUGCUUGUGGAACAUCUCCAAAAUAAAAGAUUUACCAGCACUACUAUCAGCAAGGAAUGAAGUGCCGCCGCAAGGGAGACCAAGAACACAAUGGACAGAUUCUUUGAUGAGGAAAAUUAUCUUGCCAUCAAUAACAAUAUCACCAGAUUUAUGAUCAACAUUAUGAGCAAUCCAUUGCGCAUAUUUAUUGGGCACAUAGCACUUUGUGAAUGAAAGGAGUGAUCCAAAACCAGAAUCCUCAAUAACUUUCUUCUUUUCUGGAGUUAAAGCACCUAUUAUUUUGGAAAAUAUUGUUAUUGAGAAACGAGUGAAUGCAUCACUUGAUUUUGCAUGAGAAGGCUUCUUCACCUUCAAAAAAAGAUUAAAAAAAGAGCGUAAACACAAAUUUCACUACCUCAGAAUUUUGUAAAACCGAAAAAGAUGGAGGUCAACGACACACACAAAUGCUCACCAUUUCAUGGUAAGUUAGAAAAAUAAAAAAAAUAAUAUAAACACUAAUACAAAAUACCUCAUUGAUGCGGCGCGUCUUAAAAUUUAUUUUUAAAUCUCUGAUCUUCUUCUUGUACUGGAAAACAAUAAAAUUAGACUUUUUAAAUUAAAGUGAAAAAUGCACAUGACACAAAGAAAAAAGGGCUUCGCAUGCCCAUAAAACUUUUGCAUGAAAAGUCUAGGAACUUAUAUCUCUGUAACACUCUUUUAACAAAGCUUUCUUCAACGAAUCAACAUCGAUAAAGUAGGUGUCCUGAAAAAAUAAGAGAAAAUAUACAUUGUAGUCUCAUAUUUGUUCAUACAUCAUGUCCCUCAUCUGUGCCUAGGAUUUGUGAAUUUGUCUAUUCAACAUGAAUUAACAUCAAUUUACCUGAUAUCUAAAAUAAAUAGAUGCACAGGAGUAGGGGGUCCCCCUAUAGCUGCACUACUUACCAAGCUACGCUCAGAAAUCAAUCAGCCAAAAAAAUAGAAAAAAUUUGAGUCAUUAGAAAGCACCAUCUCCAGCCCCUUUUCAAUUUCUAUUUAUAUUCUAUAAUCUCUAACCAUAUAAACAAAACUAAAAAAAGCAACCCUUUGAUCUUUAUACUAUUAUCAACUUCAGCUCCAUCUCAUAAAAAAGAAUGUGCUCUACAUUAUUUCCAUGAAGCUUAAAUUAUUUUGUAUAAAUAUGUUCAAAAAUUAUCUAACAAAUAUCUUCAAAACAAAUCAAACUGAUUGACAAAAAAAAUACAGAGAAAUACUUACAUUAGAAUUACUCGUGUGAGCAUCAUCAGAAUCAUUGUUCUCAACCUUGUCGGAGUCGCUCAGCGGAUCAUUGAAAGGAACGAAAUCAGCAUCACUAUCGGAUCCGGAACUUAUAGAUGCAGCUAAAUCGUGACGUCUUUUCCUACCCAUCUGUACCAUAGCUUAGUCAAACAAAAGGGGCGUGUGAGUGGGUGUGGAAAAUACAGUCUAAUCUAAAUAAACUAAUUCAAAUAUAGCAGGUGAAAAAAA
rnacentral:lncRNA from 1 species